rnacentral:lncRNA from 1 species
AAAAAGGACCCUCAGAUCCUAUGAGUGCAUCUGNNNNNNNNNNNNNNNNNNNNNNNNNNNNNNNNNNNNNNNNNNNNNNNNNNNNNNNNNNNNNNNNNNNNNNNNNNNNNNNNNNNNNNNNNNNNNNNNNNNNGUGGUCGCAGGUCUCCAUUUUGGCCUAUUGGCCAAACCUUAGGUCCAUUAGUUUUUUUUUCUUCUCUAUCAUUCUAACCAUAGUCAUUCGUUCUCUAGAGCCUCACACUAAUGGUUGCUAUUGUACACAAUUUUAUUGACAACAACUAGCAAAAUUUAUGCUCUUGACACAGAUGUCUUAAAUGUCAGUUGUUGCAAUGACUGCAGUAGUACCAAAUGUCACAAGAUGUUAUCAAGUCCAUAGUGUAAGAAGCCAAGUUUUUUCCUAAUCUAGUCUCUUGUUCAUUGAUGAUGCUCUCUUGUUGUCCUCUGUCUCAGGAGACAUUGCUCUGGAAUGGUUCCAUUACUGGAUUAGGUCAUAGAAAACCUGGCCAGUAUCUCUUCUAUAUACUUAGCUUGGUGAAGAUAGAUAGUGUGUUGAGAGUGAUCAUGCACAAGUUCCAUGCCAAGAGUUCCAAGAAAGUAGGAAGUCAAGCCAAGAGUUUUAAUCUCGAAUUGGCUGCAAAGGUCUUGCUUAACCUGGAGAAACAGUAAGUGAUGACAAGAGUGUCAUCAACAUAAAGAGCAAUGAUCAUGAAUGAUUCACUGUCCACCCGAAUGUAAAGAUUCGGGUCUGCCUCACUAUGGAAAAAUACCAUACUUAGUAUAAAAUUGUGUGUCCCAAGAUCUGGAUGCUUGUUUCAAGCCAUAGACAGCUUUCUUGAGAAGCCAGAGAUGAUCCUCUUUUCCAGCGGCUAGAAAUCCUUCUGGCUGUGCCAUAUAGAUUUCUUCGUCAAGCUCACCGUAAAGAAAUGCCGUGGUUACAUCCAUAUGUUCCAGAUCAAAGUCUCCCACAGACGCAAAAUUAAUCAAGCAGCGAAGAGUAGACCACUGCUUAAGUUAACAGCCUCGAUCAUAAAGCCUAUCGCCUCUGGAAUCCAAUCACGAUGCAAGGUUUUCAACGAGAAUUCAUUGUUUCAAGGUUCUUCAAGACCUACCUUGACCGACUUUGAAACGGAAUAAGACCAGCUGACUGUCAGCACAAUCACUGUGCCGCUCCAAACAAUCCUUGCGCAUCAACCCAUGCCCACUUCUUCUCCAAGACAAGACCACCACUGCCGCUGCGUCCUCCAAAUCCUCCACACAGAUCGACUCGCACAAGGUGGCCUCCUGAGCGUCUCAUCGAGAUGAUGGUUUCUUCCCAUGCGGCUGGGACUCCUCAGAAGCCAUGGCCUCAAAGGAAGCUUCUCACUGACGUGCAGCAAUGGAAGCCAAGAAUCACAACAAAAGAACAAGACACACGUUCAUGUUCCUACUCUGCCUUCCAAUCACCAGGUUAUCAAGAGCAUGAGGGUGUAUGCUCUGAAGCUUCGGUUCGAUAUAAAGCGUGAUUAGUGGAAAAAGGAUGCUCGCAAGUUCCUGAACUUGACUACAACGACACCUUCGCUUCGUGAUUGGAUUCCAGAGGCGAUAUGCUUUAUGAUCGAGGCUGUAGCCCAUAAACACAGCUUGCUGGCUCUUGGGGGCCAAUGCCUUGCCACUCCAUGCUUCUGCAGGAGUCAUGCCAGUGAGGGCAGAGGUGGGGAGCUGAUUCUGAAGGUAGUUCGCCAUCAAGACAGCAUAAAACCAGUAGCUUCGUGGCAACGCACUAGAAAGUAGCAUUGCUCAAGCACUCUCCACUAGCGUGCGAUUCUUAGACCGUUUUGUUGUGGAGUGUCUCACAUUGUGAGUUCUCGCACAAUCCCACCUUGCUCACACAGCUGCUUGAAAGCAUUGGAAGUGAAUUCACCUCCACCCAGUUUGUGUUUCUCUCAUGUCUGGAAGUAAUGUAAUGAUUGGGACGAAUGUAGUCAUCAAUGGAACUGAUAAAGUAUUGGAUACUGGUAGCCAUCGGGCCACGCAGUGUACAAGUUCCAUGAGCUGUAUAGCUCGAGAUGCUCUAGCCUUGGGGAAAGGUUGGCUAGUAGAUUUUCCUAGCUGACAGCCCCGGCAAAAUGGAAGAAUGGCUCUUAUGUCCAGAUCUAGGCCUUCAACAAUCUGCUCUCGAGCUAGCUGCUUGAUUCUAUCAGCACUAGGAUGCCCCGGGCGUGCGUGCCAAAGCUCUAGCGAUUGACUUUUGGGCAUGUAGGUCUAGCGAGAUCCGGCAGCAUGGUAAGGCGGUAGAGAUCACCCCGUCCAGGCUGGGCUGCGAGGAUGGCUCCUGUGGUCGAGAUCAGCUGGAAUUGCCGAAUUGUCCCACGUUAGCACUUAAACUAGGAAUAUAACGACUAUUCCUUGUGGUAAAGUGAACUUGAUGGUUCCAAUUCCUCUCACUACAAGCUGUUGGGCAUUGCCAACGAUGACAUACUAGGAACAUAUAUUUCAAAGUACUAUGGUAUGCAGCAGCAGAAUCUAGGUAGAAGACAGUGCGACGACAGCCAUAGCUCGUGAUCAGGUGAAGGCGUGUACCACCUUUUUCUUUGCAUUGUUCCUUGCAGACUUGAGGGAGGGAUUUUUCACCCAACAUUGUGCUUUGUCAUUUCCUUUCUUAUUGCAAUGAGAUUCUUGGAUGAAGAAGCACCUUGUUUCCCUUUGUUCACUGAUUCUUUUCUGAGAGGAAGUGUAGAAUGCAACGGCCUUUGAUCCUGAUGUUGGAGGCUACUGAUCAUGCCAUUCAGGUUUAGAGGAGUUCCAGUGGUAGGAGGCUACAUAUGAGAGGAUCAAAGGAUGGAGGAAGUGUGAUGAGCACCAGCUCUGCUUCUUCUUCAUCCUCUAUGUUUGCUCCCAUGUCCUUAAGAUCAUCCAGGAUUGUUCUCACAGCAGCAAGAUGAUCCUUGAGGUCGUCCCUUCGGCCAUCAUCAGUGUAUGAAGAUGCUUGAGUAGAAAGAUUUGAUGGGAUGUUGAAGGGUAAGUCUCCUACAUUUCCUUUGCACUCUUACAUUGUCUAAUGCAAUGGAAUUAUUGCCCCUCAAGCGCUGCAUGAAAUUUGCCCAAAGCUCUCUGAUCCUUGUGAUACUUGGCAGUUUCAUCCACUAUGGCAGUGGUUGGAAGAGUCUCAGUUCCUGUGAUGAUGUUCCAAAGACUUUGUUUGUCCAUAUAGAAUUCAAAUUUUGACUUCCAGAAGAGGGUAAUACAUGUAUAUCCAUCUUCCCUUUUAAAAGAUGAAAAAUGAAUAUUUGGCUUCUAUUGAAUUAUUAUAGACUGACACAAAAAAACACAUGUGUGCAUAAAUUGUUGUAACACAUAUUUGUGAUUCAUAAAAUGAUAUUUUAAGCAUAAUUUUUUAUUACAUAUGGACAUGCAUUGGUGCCCACCUUGUAUGCAUUGCAAAGUUCAAGUCAACACCAUUUAUAUAAGUUUUUGCACUAUAUAAAUUUUAUUUCCAUGUUAAAUUUUUGGUUUGCUUAAGCAAACCUAUAAGAGAUGGUAGUGAAUAUACCUAGAAUAUGCUUGGAUAUUCUGGGAUAUUCUACCAUCUAACGGUUGGUAUUCAUUUAGAUUAAUCUGGUAUUUAUAAUUUAUAAACAUGUUUAUAAUUUAUAAACUUUCCUAAACCCUUUCUAGUAUAUUCUUUUUUAUUCUAUUAUCUAAUGGUUGAUAUGCAAUAAGAUUAAUCUUGUGUUUAUAAAUUACCAACAUGCUUAUAAUUAUAAACUUUAUUUGAUCAAUUAGAUUAAUAAGUAAUAAUAAAACUACCAUUAAGCAAACCAAGCGUUGCUACAUGCAAUGCAUAGCAAUUUAUUUGACAUAUCAACAAGGUUUGGAUUUAGGGCUUCUAGGUGUGAGAAUUUUUAAUAUAGAAGCUGGAUUUUGAUUGCAUUUUGGAUGCCACAAACUAAUUUUGCUAUUGGUCUCCUUGAUGAGGGUAAUGAAAAUUGCUUUGCAUAAUAAGCUCAAAUGCAAUAAAUUAUUGCAAUGCUAAAAACUUUAGCAUGUGAUUAAAAAUGCAAGAAUUUGAUAAAGCUAAUGUGGCUAUAAUAAAAUCCAAUUGCUCACUAAAAAUCCACUACACUCAAUACUCAAAGCACUCAAAAAAAUGUUUUACCUAUGUGAUCUAAUUGAUUGUGCUUGUCAUUGCGCUCUAAUCAAUUACACUUGCCAUUUGACUCUAAUCGAUUGCGAUUAAGGCAUUUAGUAGGUGUUAGACCAAUUUUGAAAUACUAUGCUAAAGGAAUUAUCAAUGGGGUUAUCCCCUACCUAUCCGAUAAAACAUAAGAUCAAGUUAGUCAAGGUGCUGAAGUAGUGGUUCGUCCCCUUUAUCAGCUAAAUAAAAAAGAGCUCAAAGAACUCAAAUGCCAAUUCAAGGAGUUGGUUUAUUAGGUUGAGCAACUCCUUAUAAAGGGCUUUAGUGUUAUUUGUGAAAAAGAAAGAUAGAUCUAUAUAUAUAUAUAUAGAUUACUGGUUGCUCAACAAAUAUAUAAAGAAAGAUAAAUACCUUUUGUUAAGGAUUGAGAAUUUGUUUGAUAGGUUGGGAAAUGCAAGAUACCUUUUGCAAAUUGACCUAAAGUUAAGAUACUACCAAAUCAGGGUAGCAAAGGAAAAUGUCAAGAAGACAACUUGUUAAACAAGGUAUAAAAGCUUUGAAUUCUUGGUGAUGCCCUUUGAGUUGUGCAAUGUAUUAAUGACAUUCUUAGUAUUAAUGAAUCAUAUCUUUAUACCCUAUCUAGAUCAUUUUGUGGUUAUCUACAUUGAUAACAUCCUAAUCUAAAGUGAGAUACCAAAGGAAUAUGCUGAACACUUAACAAAGGUGUUUAAAAAACUAAGGGAACACAAAUUGUAUGCUUGUUUAACAAAGUUACUAAUAAAAUUUCUCAAGCAUAUAGUGGACAAAAAUAGGCUUAAGGUGGACUUUGAGAAAGUCCAAACAAUCCAAAAAUGGGAAUGAUCAUUGAGCAUAUAUGAGUUAAGGGCAUUUUCGGGGUCAUGCAACUACUAUCAAAAAUUCAUUAAACAUUAUACUAGAAUUGCUCUACACUUAAUAAACCAAAGAAGAACAAAACCAAAUGGGAAAAAAGCAAAUGGUAUAGAUAACAAAAUGUGAAGUAAUAUUCAUUAAAAUCAAAGGAAAGUUAAAGAAGGUUUUUAUGUUAGUAUUACCAAAUUUUAGUAAGGACUUUGAGGUAGAAACGAAUGCUUUGAACUUUGCACUGGAUGCAGUCUUGAAGCAAAACAAUUAUCCAAUGGCAUUCUUCUCAAAGAAGUUAGAUAAGGCUUAGCAAAAGUGGUUUGCCCAUGAAAAAGAACUGUUUGCAGUGGUUAAGGUGCUCAAGAAGUGGCAACAUUACAUUGGGAGACAUUUCAAGGUAUACAUAGAUAAUGUGGCAAUAAAACACUUUUUGUCACAAUCUAAAUUUCGAGGGAAAUAGGGUCGGUGGACUAAUAUUUUAGCCAAGUUCAAUUGUGAGAUACAUUCAACACAACAACAACCUUUUGGUAUAAUAUGCAGAUAAUAUAUAAGAACGAUGGUAUAGCACAAGAAGUGUCGUUAAGGAACCAAGAAACGUGGGAUACUCACUAGAAAGACGAGCUGUCUAAAGAAAGAAAAUUGGGCAAUGGAUUCAUUUAUUAUAAGUAAACAAGGGUGUAUAUCCCAUGAGGGGAACUAAAGAGAGUAACUUACCCCUCACUUAGGGAAGUUUUAUAAUAAAGUCCAUUGUAAGAUAUUUCUAUGGAUGAUCUAGGAUUAUAAGGCUUUACAAUAAACCCCAAUUAUAACCUUCACCUACUGACAUAUCUUUACAUUGUAUUAAACGUCCUUAGCCAUAUCUAUUGAUGCGAUAUUUAUGGUGGUAGAUUGGUAUACCCAUCACAAUGGACAUUGAUGCAGAAGAUGUGGCAAAGUUGCUCUUUAAACAAGUGGUUUGAGGAUGUGGAAGGCCGAAAGAAAUUAUCUCAGAUCAAAAUAAGAUUUUCACUAGCAAGUUCUAAAGAACCCUCUUAGAGUAGUAUUGCAUUAAACUGAAAUUUAAUACAACCUUGUGAGACAGAAAUCCCUAAGCCCCAAAGUGGAGUAAAAAGGGUGCCACAUGGUAGUGGUCAAAACAGAAGCCCAACAAAUGUAACAUGUUUGGAUCAAAGGCUCCGACUUGGAAAGUCGAGAGUGGGAGUGGAACUCUAAACAAAGGACUCGAGGAAUGAGCAUGAAGCAAUUGGUGAAUGAGUUUUUAAAAAGGGACACAAGAAGGACUAACACAUGGCAAGUGUCAUGACAAAUGAAAGUAUCAGAAAUGAGUUUGAAAAGGAGUCUAAGAUGGAGUCUAAGAAGGAAUCUGAGAUGGAGUCCGAGAAAGAAUCCAAGAUGGAGUCCGAGAUGGAGUUUGAUAUGGACUCGAGAUGGAGUCCAAUAUGGACCUAAGAUGGAGUCUGAUAUGGAUUUGAGCUAGCCCGAGAUGGAAUUUAAGAUGGACCUGAGAUGGAGUUCGAGAUGGAUCUAGGAUGGAGUCUGAGAUAGACCCGAGAUGGAGUCCGAGAUGGACCUGAGAUGGAGUCCAAGAUGGACCCGAGAUAGAGUCUGAGAUGGACCCAAGAUGGUAUCCGAGAUAGACCUAAGAUGGAGUCUGAGAUUGAGUCUGAGAUGGACUUGAGCUGGAGUUUGAGGUCGAGGCCAAGAAAGAUACUAAGACCAAGAUCGAGAAUUGAGUCUGAGUUCAAGUUUGAGUCUAUGUCCGAGGGUGAACCAAAGCGAUUGUCUCCUAGACCCUGAGGGGUUUGGGGAGCUCCAAAAGUAUACUAGAGGGAAGACUCUAGUGGAGCCAGUUUGGCCAGAAAAUGCUAGUGUGACCAAGGAAGGUUAUACCCACGUAGUGGGUGAUGAUAUAACUAUUAAGGAGUUCAAGGCUAGAGUGAAUACGAAUGGAUAAGUGGAGUAACUUAGUGAAGUGUUCAAGAGCUGACUUUAUCUCCCCCAAGAGAUUGAAUGGUUGAUACUCCCAAUCCAAGUGUGGGUGGCACUACUCUAGUGGAGCCAAUUUGGCUAGGAAAUGCCAGUAUGACCAAGGAAGGUUAUACCCACAUAGUGGAUGAUGAUAUAACCAUUAAGGAGUUCAAGGCUAGAGUGAAUAUGGAUGGAUAAGUGGAGUAACUUAAUGAAGUGUUUAAGAGCCGACUUUAUCUCCCCCAGGAGAUUGAAUGGUCAAUACUCCUAAUCCAAGUGUGGGUGGCACUACUCACUUGGAUAUCUAGCGUGGUUGAUUAGAACCUUGCUUUAGCCAUAUGGCUAGGGCACCCAAAGGGAAAAGGUGAGGAAAGUACCGACUGUUAGGAAACCCUCUUCCUCCCACCAGGUUCCUUGCCAUUACCAAUUCCCAAGCCAUUAUUCCAGCCAUUAUCUUAGCUAUUACCCAAUGGCUUCCUUUGAGAUUGAUUCUUAUUCUUUGGGUGGUCCAUGCAGCUUGGGCAACAUAAAACCAUCAAUUAGAAGCUUGGAACCAAUGGUCCUUAUUCUUCCAUUUGCAUUAUAAAGGUUUAAUAGCUACUGUAUAAAAUCGUUCACAAUCAACAUCAGUCUUGGGGCUAAUUGUCGUUUGUUUCUUUUUUUUGGGUCCUUUCCUUUUCAUUCCAUGGCCAAUUCAUGCUUCUUCAUCAAGGUGAGUUUUCCUUCCAAAUUCACUAGGAAGCGAGUUGAGUUAUAGAGCUUCCUUAACAAGAUGGAUUUCAUCUUCAAGAUACAACCUUGGCACCACUCAACGAUGGAGUUUUAGAUUAGUGCCAUUGGCACUCUCCUUGAUGGUCCUACUCUCUCAUGGUUCUCCCCACUCUUGAAGAAGGAUCUCAGGGGUACCACUGUUCUAGACUGCAUGACCUCAAGCUCUUCAAGGAGAAGCUCACUACUUGCUUCAAUGACACUAAUCAAGUUUGUUUUGCAACCAUCAAAAUGCAAUGACUUUCACAAGGCUCUCAUCUCGCCUCUGUCUAUGCCACUGAUUUUCAACUCCUCAUCCUUGACACAUUGUGGGAUGAUCAAGCGUUGGUGGACCAGUUCCGAUUCGGCCUCUGCGACAAUGUCAAGGACUUGUUGAUCAUGAUAGAAGAUCCAACGGAUCUCAAUGAUGCCAUUGAGAAGGCAAUAAAGUGUGACAAUUGGCUAUUCGAAUGGCAUCAUGAACCACGCUGCCAUUUUUCUUCUCCAACACCUUGUCCGGCCAUCUAACUCCCACCUCAACACCCUUUACGGCAACUCCAAUAGAGAUUGACAUCGGCACAAUGCCUUUUACCAAUCGUAAGUGCCUCUCUCCAGUUGAGUGUCAAUGCUGCAUGGACCUAAACCUUUGUCUCUACUAUGGGGACUCGGGACACAGGGCAGUUGGAUGUCCUCAGAAGCCACCCCGUCUUUUGCAAAUGGAGUUGCCAUCUUCGCCCGUUGAGGAGCCUGAAACAUCUGUGCCGGGAAAUGGGGAUGUCCAAUCAGAGUAGGAGCUGCCAAGUUGGAUCAUUGUGCAAGGAAUAAAAUCUCUCUUUGUUCAACAUCAAGCUCCUCCACCUCCACUUCUCUUUCCAUUCCAUUCUUAUCUGCGACCACAAUCUCCAUCAACUUCCACCUUUUCGUGACUCUAAGGAUUCUUGGUUCCCGGUCACUAGUGCUGCAUACCAUAGUUCUAUUGGACUCUAGAGCAACUUCAUGUUUCAUAGACAAAUCUUUUGUCCAGUAGCACAGAUUCCCAUCUCAACAUUUGUUUGUACGACUCAAACCAUUGAAGGUAUUGGAAGCCAUGUUGUUUCUCCUUCAAUAGGGCUUUGGGCCACAAUUCCUCUCCGAGUUCAGGUGGGGGAUCUUUGCACUAAUGUUGCCUUUAACAUUAUCUCCAGCAAGCACACUGUUGUGGUUCUUGGCUCCUGUGGUUCCAUCUUCACAACCUGCAAAUCGAUUGGGAACACUUACAGCUUGCUCCAUUGCCCUCAACUCUUGCUACCGAUUCGAGUUUGGGUUCUACAUCCACACCAAAGGGUUGGGGUCCUACUGUACUUAGUUGUGCAGCCAGCACAUCACCAGCACUUGACACUCCUUCAAUAGGGACUCGUGGAACAACCAUUGCCAAAGGUGCUGCCGACGACCCACAGCCCCACCGGCCAUUGUUAGUGGUUGUACAACACUCUUCUCUAGAUCCAUUAGUAGAUAAGUCAUGUUUCCCACUCCAUUUCUUCCCUCCAUUAGCUUUUCCAUCCAUUGAGAAGUUGGUUCUUCUCAUUUCUACUUCCCAUCUAGCCGUUUCACUACCAUUAUCAAACCCUUGAUGCAUUCUUGACCUUAGCCCAUGUCCUUUGUCUAUUUCUACCAUCACCAUGAAAGAAUUAGUUGACGAGUCUGAACCCCUUCAAUUAUUUGCUUUGAUUGUUAAUCCUGUUUAUCAUUCCAUUGACUCAACUGUUUGCUUGUUGGUGAAGUAUUAGGAUUUCCAUAAUGUUUUUGACAAGAGAAAAGCUAGUGGUUUGCCUCCUCAUCAUCUUUAUAACUGUGCUAUUGAGUUAUAAGAGGAUGCUUAGCCCCCAUGGGGACCCAUCUACAAUCUCUCACCAUUAGAGCUGGCUGCCCUCAAGGAGUAUAUGGACUCUAAUUUGGAAUCUAGCUUCAUUUGGCACUCUUAGCCACUUGCAGGGGCUCCCAUUUGCUUCGUCAAAAAGAAGGAUGGCACCUUGCGGCUAGUGGUUGACUACUGUGGCCUCAACAAAGUCACCAUGUAGAACCAGUACCCAUUGUCUUUGAUCCUAGAGUUGUUGAAACGGUUGGGUGGGGCUUGGUUUUUCACCAAGAUCUACCUUCAAGGAGCUUACAAUCUCAUUAGGAUCAAGCCUAGGGACAAGUGGAAGAUGGCUUUUUAAAGUUGUUAUGGCCAUUUCGAGUACAUGGUGAUGCCAUUUGGUCUCACCAAUGCCUCUGUUAUUUUUCAACAUUUGGCAAACGAUAUCUUUAGGGAGUUUUUGGAUUAGUUUGUGGUUGUUUAUUUUGAUGAUAUUUUGGUUUUCUCUUGCACUCAGGAGGAGAUGAUCAGCAUGUACGGCAAGUGUUGGCCAAGCUCUGGGAACACAACCUUUAUGCAAAGCUUGAGAAGUGUUUCUUCAAUCGGGAUUCCAUUGAGUAUCUGGGGUAUAUUGUGUUUCCACAAGAGGUUGCAAUGGAUCCUGCAAAGGUAAAAAUGAUCCAAGAAUGGGAGGUGCCGAAGAUUGUCACUGACGUGCAGUGUUUUCUUGGUUUCACUAACUUUUACCAUAAGUUCAUUGACGGGUACUCUGACUUGGUGUUGCCAUUAACAGCUCUGACCCACAAGGACGUGCCAUUCGAGUGGUCCCCAGCUGCCUAAUCGGCAUUCAAUUCCCUCAAGGUGGUUUUUGUUUCAACCCUGGUUCUCAUCCAUGCGGAUCUGAGCAAGCCAUUCUUUGUUGAGGCUGAUGCAUUUGAUUUUGACUUGGCUGCAACCAUUUCUCAGCUUGGUGAUGAUGAGGAGCUUCAUCCAGUUGUGUUCCAUUCUUGGAAGUUCCAUGCAGUCGAGAUCAACUACAGGAUCCAUGACAAGGAAUUCCUUGCCAUUAUAGACUCAUGUCAUGAGUGGCAUUGUUUCUUAGAGGGUGCUGCGCAUCAGAUGAUCGUGUAGACAGAUCAUAAGAACUUAGAGUUCUUCUCUUCAGCUUACUAAGGGUUUUGAGCCAUCAACAAGCAUGAUGGGCUCAAUUCCUCUCUCAAUUUGAUUUGGUUAUGCCGGGAAAGCAAUAAGGGUUGACGAAUGCUCUUUCCCAUCGGUCUCCAACCUGGUGACCUAGCCUUUGAUGACCAGAACCAGGUUCUUUUGGGGCCAGACGGGCUCUAGCUUUUGGCCAUCUCAAUGGCUCUGCUAGAUCCAGCCAUUACAGCGGCCAUUCAGCAGGAUCUCCAACUGGAUGACUUUGCUUUGGUGUUUCCUCAUUUUCAACUUGGUCAUCCUCCUUCUUCUACCUGCACCCAGCUUGACAACUUCACCUUGUUGGAUGACCUCUUGUACCAUGGUGACCAGCUGUAUGUUCUUGCUAGCGAUGCUUGACGACUUGUUCUUCAACGGCGACAUGAUGAUUGAGCAGCUGGCCAUUAUGGUGAGCAUAAGACUUUUGAGUUGGUUUCUAGGGAUUAUUGGUGGCCUAAGAUGCGGGAGUUUGUCAAGGACUUCAUGGAUUCCUGUGACAUAUGUGCCCAGAACAAGCUCCUGUGCCAUUCACCAUCAGGGCUGCUCCACUUGCUACCAGUGCCAAUGGCUCCCUAGGAGUCCAUUUCGAUGGAUUUCUUGACUGAUCUUCCACCUUCCCAUGGUUUUGAUUCCAUCCUUGUGGUGGUGGAUCAAUUCACCAAGAUGGCCCAUUUCUUGCCGUGCUCAAAGUCCAUCACCGGCACAGCAACUGCCACCUUGGUGCUCAAGGAGGUGUUUCCAACUUCAUGGCCUGCCAAUGGACAUUGUCAUUGACAGGGGACUUUAGUUCAUCUCCAAUUACUAGUGCCGUUUUCUCGAGCUCAUAGAGUGAUAGUAAGCAGUGGCCAGUCAUAGUGGAGCUCUUGUAGUACAGUGAAAGCAAUGAAAUUCUGUCUCUCCAAGUGCUGAGCUGAUCCAAGGCAUGGAAAUCAUGAUCCAAGAGCACCAUAGAUUUCAAUCCCCCUCUAGUUGCAAAAGUUUCCUUGCAGUAUGUUCUAGAUUUUCGAGAGGAUCAAGUGCUCCACCAACAAUAGCAGCAGCAUAGGAUCAAGCCAGGUGCAUAGGUAAAGGGAAAAUCUGAGGAGUCGAAAGGAAUGGAUUUCUUGAGUCUACCAGGAGUAAGACCAUAUGCUUGGUAUAUAUAAGUGUCGUCCAUGCAAACGUCUUGGGGGUGGCCAUUAUCUGGAUAGAAUUUGCCGUGGACCCGCAAAGUUUGAAAAAAUGGUCGUUCAUUCUUGCAAUGGUGACACCAACCAAUAUCUCGUGUUUGUUUCUCGACCUUGAACUUUUUGCAAACAUGGCAGUUGCAACAAACAGAGAUCGCUCGAGGAUUUUCAGGGAUAAAGUGGCCAUGUACUUAUUGAAAAAACAUGCAUCAUGAACCACUGGUAAAGAUCAAGAAAGACAUAUCCCAAAGAAGUUUUUUCCGUAUAUGAAUGAAAUAGAGUGCAAUUGUUUUUGUAUGUGGUCCCAAGUUGUAUCAUCAAGAAUUUUCAAGACAAUAGUCAAGAGUGCAAUGCUAAACACAUUUUUAUCUUUAGUUCCUCGGAGAUUAUAGAAAAUACGACUUAGCAUGUCCCUAGCAAACCAUGAUGAUUUGAGCUCAUGAUAGACAUGGUCCAUAUCACCCAGCACAUGCACCUAUUUUUGAAGUUCACCCAAAAAAUUCAAUCAGAAUAUUACAAAUACCUUAUAGGUGUUUUCAGCUUCAGGAUCAUCAGCAAUGAAUAUGAUGUUUAUAGUGUUAGGCAUUUGAUCCACACCAGUGAUUACUGCAGUAAUUGUUGCAAAAGUAUAAGCAGAAGCAUCCCCUGCAAACUGAUUCAAUGGAACAAUGUCUGAUGACUUAACAAAGUCAAGCACUGGAGGAGCCUUCUCUGGCCAUGCUCCAACAUGUGUGGCCGUAAAAAUAUCUACCAAGAGACAAUGGAGCCCCAAAUGAUAUUUCAGAUUCUUAACUCUAACCUUUUAGUGUUGAAUAUACAACUAGUGAGCUGGCUUGAAAAGGUGGCUAUAUUUAUUAGCAGCGUUGGCUGCCAUAGAAGCUGUCUCAAGGUGCAUGCUAUAGCUAUUAGUAAAAUCAAUGUUAAGGAACCUUGAUGUUGAUGCCAUUCUUGUUGAGUGGACCUCAUGUUAGAAAUCAUAACUACCGUAUCGAGAUAAUACAUAUAUAAGAAGUGGCUCACCACCUAAAUAAAGUUGUAAAUCCACAAUAUGAACAUAUACAUAUUGUGUUUCCUUAGAGGAAGCAAUUAGAUUCCAUACGUCAAAGUCUAGAAUGCUAUAUAACUUGCGUUUAGCUAAAAAAUCCCAUUAUUAACCCAUAACUAAAAAAAAAUUCUAAAAUUGAGCAGUACCUCCUACAAUCGCACGAGGCACUUGGCUGGAAGUCUAUGUCUGAAUGCCUGGAUCUAGCCAUAAAUAAGGUUUAAAAAGCAAAAAAGCCAAGUGCCAAUAUCUACUAAAGGGACUUUGAAAAUGUAAUGGCUAUUUGAAGCCUUCUUGUACACCUAUUCCUCAAGAUGUAAAGCAUUGUAUUGGAAUAGACAAAGUAUCUGAAGCAUUAAGAUGUGUAAGGCACUUAGAACCUGGAAAGAAAAGUGAUUAGAUUUUGCCUUAUCAAGAUAAACACAAACCUAGUUCACUGCUCUCUCCACCCAUCUCUAAAUCACCUAGAAUUGGUUGUUGCUGCGAAGAAACAUCAUCUGGCAAUGGCUGGUAAUUGUAAUCUAUAUGGUCUUGAGACCCCACAUUAGAAUCGCUAGCUGCCCCUGUCAUUGGAGAGAGAGAUCCUAAAUGAAGCAAUUGAUUAAGUUUGGGUUAAUCACAACCAUUGGCCCAAAGCCUUGCUUAAUUUUUGCCACAUCACUGGGCAUUUUUGCUCGACAGGAGAGAUGACAAGUCACCAUCAACACUUUGCAUGCUACAUAUGUCACUGCUCCUUCCUCUCCAGUUUGGCCUCCUCCCAUUGUUUUGCUGUGUUGUGGUGUUGGUAAAUUUUCUUCUUUUCGCUGUUUUGUUGCUGUUCUUCCUACCAUAUGUGUUGCGGGAAUCUGUGACUUAGUGCUGUUGGGGAGAGCCAGGACUGUAAAUCCCUGUUUUGUAAGAUUUUGUAUACUUGGCUGUCUAUGUGUUGUCGGCAGAUUGGACAUUCAUCCUUUGGUCCUUUGAUAACCUGGAGAACAUGAAGAGAACGGUGAGCAAAGUUUAAAGUCGAGAGAGAAAAGAGAGAUUUUUACCUUCAAGAUACAUUGCAUGCAAAAAGUAUGGCUGCGGUCCAGUUUGGAUGGCUCUACGUAGUGCUCUAGACGAAGAACAGGAAGAAACGAAGUAAGCUUGGAUUGUUACAACAAUUUGCGAGAGUGGGACUUACUGAGACAAAUGCAGCAAAUGAUGUCGUUGUGUGGCGGUGCGAGGUUGAAAACUUCGUUGAGAUCCAGCCCCAUCAUCUUCUCUUCGGUUGACAGAGAUGGAGGUUGAUCAUGGUGUUCUUCCGGUAUGUGCGAGUUGGAAGAGCUCUUGCUGUGAUGCGGGCUGGCGAAUGGACUCUUGGGAAGGUUGUGUCCAUUCCCAUCGGUGCUGCUAGAAGUUUCCAAAGUGAGUAAUCAAGUUCUAUCAUAUGACUGUGACGUAAGCAUCAUCGGGAAGUGGAUGAAGAGCUUCACUCUCAUUGCCACCUUCGCCCUCCAGCACGUCCAUGAUGGCCAGAGAAGAUCCAAACAAAAAAAAUCCAACCUUCCAGUGUUAGCACUACUUCAUUCAUCCCAUUCCCAUGGCUGCCGCUACUGCUACCGCCACUGUUGUUAUGCUCCAUGAUUCGUGGAGUUUCUAGGAGCCUCGGGGGAGUCCAAGCUAACAUGAACUCCAUUGAGGUUGGUCGUGGAAGCGGUGUUGUUUAGCUUCCUGUCUUGCUCGUUGAGCAGUAGUAAUUUUGAGGUUGUCACAGCCUCCGCAGCCUCUACCUCAGCAGCACGGUCUCGGGGCGAAUCUUGUAGAUGCGAUUGCAGAUGUAGAUGUUGUCAGGCUUCACGUCCAGGUGAGCAAGGCUGUGCUGAGUGAAUGUGCUUCAAAGUGUUUAAGAGCUUAAAUCACCUCGUCCCAUUUCUUGACAGUGGAGUAAGAAUGAAGAUCAUACAAAUUCUACGCACCACCAAUACCUUGAUUUGAUGGAACUCCUCAUGGUAAUGCGAUGAAGAGCCAAAAGCAGAGACACAUCAUGUAUGAGAAUACCAAAGUUAUGAAAGAAGAAUGACAAAUAACAACUUGCGAUGGGGUUCUCAGGACAAAGACACCAGCGUUGACAUAGUGCGUCCGAUUUGGAUCGCGAAUCAGCAGCAGCAGUAGGGGCUCUCUUGCCUUAAUGGGUUGUGGCUCGCCCGUUAACUUGAUCUAACCGUUGGCAGCUAUCGGAUCGAGUCAAGUUCUCUGCGAGAACGUGGCUGACAGGUGCCAGGUUCUCCAGAACCCAGCUGCCAGCCGCCAAGUUCUCCAGAACCCUCUCAUCCUCCAAUAACGUUAUUCCACGUGUCCAUUAACGGUCUCACCACAACCCGUUAAGGCUGUUCCCGGGCACGUGCUCGCUCGUUCCCUCCAGAACGCACUCGCCGGGCUAAUGCCCGGCUCGCCCGUUCUGGGCGGGAACGUGCUCGCCCUACCGGGAACUGCCUCGCCUCAUAAACCCUAGAAAAACAUACAAAACAAAACCAAUUCGCUUGACAGGCCACGACACAUGUCGCUGGGCCUUCCUCUCUCGCCACACGCGGCUUGGCUGCCUCCCAUUGGCCGGGAGCAAACAUCAGCACAAUUAUUCGCUAACACGUGGUUAAAGAAAUAACCCCUUUACAGUUACCCCCCCAUCGGACGGCCCCGAUUGGCCAGAUCCGGCGGCCCACAAAGUUCGGCAUUUGCUCCUCUUUCACGGUUACCCCCCAUCGGACGGCUGCAAUUGGCUGGAUCCGGUGGCCCAGAAAGUUUGGCAACUCCUCCUUAUUAUGAUAAAUACUGCUCUUUAAUUGAAAGUUCAAGUUCCUGCAUGAACAAUCGAACCUCUUGUCUGCGACAGAUCUAUCACAGGCGCAUCCACAGACUCCAUAUUGACUCACUCCACGGGCCAACCGCCCACGAAGGGUGAAGAGAGACAGAGGAGAUUAGUAGUAAUUGAAUUGGACUGUAAUCAUUCCCCUGCUGCCGCCAUAGUCUUGAAGGAAGAUUGCUGACUCCGUGAAAGUGAGGGUGGAGAAGUAGAGCUGGAGCAUGCGUGAGAUCUUCGUGCAAUCGCAUCCUCUCCACGUCCUAGAAACAAAACCCAGGAUUUCCUAUGUUCGGGAAAAACCUAUAUCGUUUUUUCUCGGCUAUGGCGGUCGCUAGCAUUGGCGUCUUUGCUCCCAGGUACUCGUAGUUCUUGGGAGCUCUUCACUGACACGGUCUGAGUAGGUUCUAUGGAACAAGGAAAGAAUGGUGUUUCAGCAGUAGUGCUGUGAUGGGCUCGAGUUUGAAACUCUCCCAGGAGCUCGGCGACUGCCCCUGUGGUCUGGCUCACAAGAGCAGCAUUGUUGCAGCACUGCGCACCAGCGGGGGAUUCGGAAAGCGGCCAGAGGCGAAAGCCAAGCCCAAGAUUCUGUAAGCUCUCCUUAGAUAGGAUCUUAAUCACACUCCUACACUGCGCGCCUUGUGAAGGAAGGAACUCGAGGUAAACAAGGUGGAGAGCACAGACACGUACAAGAUCUUUGCUCGCAAGGUCGCAGGGGUACGUAAAGCUUCGUGACGAUGAAAUCUCUUGCGCGUAGAUUUACGCGAGCUUGCCCAGGAGGAGGUCCAGUCGAAGUGGGAGUCGAUCGGAGAGAUUCUGAUAGAGUCCGGAGCCAGCGUCGAGGUUGCGCUCAAGGAAAGGAAGAACUUCCUCGCAGCUGGAGUCAAGUAUCAGGCAAGCGCCAUACCUUGAAACGCGAUGGAUCACAAUUUCGUGCUCCUCCCAUUGUUCCAGCAUCCUGUUUUGGUGAUCCUGGAGAAGGGCGAGGCGGUGGAGUAUGGCGUCCAACUGGCGCCUCCCAAAGACGCCAAAGACGCCAAAGAGGAGGCGACGAAAGGUGGCGAUGAGAAAGAAGCUCCGGAGAUCACUGUGGUGGACUUGGGUGGGAAGCAGCCCGAAGAAACAGUCCCAGCGAUUCUAAGGUGACAAAAAAGCUUCGCUCUCUUUCGCUCACCUUGUGCUGGACUCUCCCUGUCUAGAGUGGACGACGGCAAAUCACCAGGAAAGACGCGGAAGUUCUGACUAGCGCGUGCGAGGAGGCCAAACUCUCGCAGGCUUUACGAGCACCAGCGAAUUCUGCCAAUGCUGAGAAUGCCACCGCGAUUCAGGAGCAGAUCAAGCUGCUACUAACACCAUCCAUCGCAUAAGAAGAAAGAACAAGAAAGAAAAAGAAGCACGAAUCUGGAAAGCUAGAAGACGUGCAAAGUGUAAAAUUCCUCUACAGUCUCACACCCUCAAAUGAAAAGAAAGUAUGUCUUCCUUCCAAGGAAAAGUUACCACUAUACACAUAUUACAGGUGGAAAAAAAGGAAAAGGAGACUCACUCGAGCUUGAGAUUGUAGCAGAGGUGGCCAAGCUCCGGGCGGGAGUGCAUCCACGCGGCAAACGAGGAAUUGGGAGUUCUACUCGUCAGAAACGAGCGGAAUGCUAUGAGAAACGCGUAUCUCCUGCGAGAGCACACUAUAGUGUUAGCAAAAAGGGGAUAGCAUUCCCAAAAGUUACCUCAAAGCUUUGACACCCAUGUCUUGAAUGUAAGCUCGGUGCUCCUCGUCCUCUUGCUGGCAGCAUUCGAGCUGCUGCUUGUAAUAGAGGAUGUCAUCUCUCAGAUUUCCAGCUUCAGAGCAUCUAUCACAACACCAACAGUGAGACGGGAAAAGAAAGAAGUAAACUAAACUUACCUGUCGAUGAUGGUAUCCACUUCGGCUUUGCAAAAAGGUCCGCUUGGCAGGACUCUCACCAAGCUGAGUAUGUCUCUGUAGUCCCCUUGCUUGAAAGCGCUUAUAUCAUCGGCAGGCCUUUGUAUGGGUCCAUACACACAAGAUGGAACCCCCGAGGAAGAAGCUGCCAAGCUAGCUUCGGCUUCGGCUUGCAGCCCCAUGCAAGUGAUUGCCAUCGCAUACGCGACACCUCCGUAUCCCGUGUGAGAAAUAUAUACAUAUUCGCUGCCAGAUCUAGAAAUAACAAUCAGAAGUUAGAUGACAAAGAAAGAAACAUAAAAAUGGAGCUCACCCGUUUAGUCUGUCCUGGAUGGCAUCCACAUCCAUUGCCAGAGCGGCCCUCUCCCUCGUCAGUGGGAUUCUUUUGUAGUCGAUUUUGUAGCCUUCGGCCGCAAGACCAGUAUAAACCUCGGCAGGAGUUUUAACAUCGUCAGACGUCAGAACUUCCCAGUACCCGAUAACGUCAGACUUGUUUGUCAGUGGAUUACACUCUUCUCGGUGUAAGACCACGCGGCCACCAGAGCGUUUCAUCUCGGCGAGGAUAUCUUCCUUCAACCUGUACUCCAUUUGCUCAACCUGUCAAGGGCGUAAAAAGGUUGUCAGCGACCGUAGAAAGCAAAAGAAAUCACUUCCAAAACCAAGAGCAACUUAUUGAUCGAGAUUAGUAUGUGAGGAAACAAUGAGAAGUGAAACACCUACCGCAGAACCUUUUAUUCCAACGUGCUUUAAAGUGCUUACAGGUUGGUCAAGCUCCCGUAAAACAAAUGGAUUACCGUGAAUAUAAACCACAGCCUCCUCUCUCAAGUCGGUCACAACAGCGUGCUUUCCUUGAUCAACGGCUGUGUUGAGACAAGCAAACGCUGCUUUGGCGCCUUGAGCAGUGGGUGUGGCCAUGCUAUAUACUGGAAAGCCAUCUAUCUGUAUAAAGCGUUAGAAGUGCUAUGAAGAACUUCUAUAGAAUACGGACCUUACGCAUAUGAGGUACUCCAGGGAUGUCAAAGCAGCUUGCCGCGCUCUGACCUGGGAAAUGGUACAUUUUGAGAAUAGCCCGUUUCCCCAGAACCGAACCAUUCCGGGACUUGACUAUCGCUUCUAAAAUCUCAUCGCCCUCGCAAUUCUCAGCCAAUGCCCGAAAUUCCACCUCCUGGAUAAAACAGAUUAGACGAAGAAAGGAAAAAGUAAAAAACAAAAAAAACUCACAGGAACAGCGAAAAAACGAGCCGGCCUCAACCGCAUACUCCACUUCAUCUGUUUGAUUUCUGGUCGCUUGUUUAGCCAUACCUUGAACGGCAAACGCUGGGUUUCACUGAACGCUUCACUACCGAGGUAAGAAGCAAACGCGAUCAUCAUGCAGUACCGCUCCAGAUACUCAACUCCACGAUUUAGAGCUGCUCUUCGGCCAGGAGACUCCAGAUUUUGUUGAUUGAAGCUCUUACGGUACUGUAAAAUAGCCUGACGGAGAUUCUGUAGUGCUGCACACCGGUCUAUAACAUCAUCAAGUGCCUCCCUGCAUGCGACCCCGUCCUCUAGUAAGCGUGUAAGUCUUCUCACAAUAGAUAUGUUGUCCAUUACGAGUACGCUUGUCGAUUUGCACCUUUCCAACUUUGCUGGCUUGAAAGUCAGGUGCUCGUCACCGGCUUCACCGUUUUCUUCUCCGCUGCUAUCUGAUCCACCGUCCACAGAAGAUCCAGGAAGAGCGGACGGUAAACGAAAAGGCUUGCCAUAAUCGCAGCGGAGUUUUACUAGACAAGCGAUAACAGUGCCUGUUGUUGUGCGUCCACGUCCCAUCUGCAGAGUGGAGGCACGACGUAAGCAUUACAGUACCACAUCAAGUGAAGCCUAUUUUACCUGACAGUUGAAGACGAAGACGGUCUUUUUGGGAGCAGAAACAAUCUUAGACGUCAGUGUGUCGAAGUCUGAGCUCUUUGGAGCUUUUCCAUCAGUAAUUGGCAUACGGGAAUACUCGAUAGAGUAGCCUUCGGAGACCAGCCGAGAGUAAACUUCGAAUGGAGUCUGAACUCCUUCUGGAGUAACACUUUCCCAGCUGUCGAAUAUGAAACCGUCUUUCGAUUCGUGGUUCACCAUAAUUGCACCAUCAUAACGUUCUGCUUCCUUGAGCACGUCUUCUUUGAGUCGAGCCUCCAUCUGUUCUACUCGGUCGCGAUCAAUUCCCUGAGACAGAGCCAAAUUAAACAUAUGAACACAAAUACCAUCGGUUAGGACUUACUGUAUACUCGAGCAUGUUUUUGUAAGGCCUCUCGACUUCUCGCAGAACGAAUGGCUGUCCAUUGAUAUAUACGACUGGCUCCUCUCUCAUGUUAUGCCACAAGACGGGACGUCCUCCUUUUCCACCACCAACUCUUUCCAAGACCGCUUUGAUGCCGCUAACAGUGGGAUUGGCAACUCCGUAGACAGGAAAACCAGGAAUUUCCCUGAAGUUUGGAGCUCCCUCCACACUUUCGGGCAGAUGAGGAUUAUGACAGCCCGGAUAGUGGUCACCCUUCAAAACUGUUUGUUUCCCAAGAACGUCUCCAGUUCUGCAUGCCGCCACAGCUUCCAUCCUGGAUGGUCGGCCAUUUUCAGCUGCCACAGGGGGUUUGUUUCUGUAGCCAAGUGCUCCCAUGGGAUCCCGCCGCAAGAGCCUGAAAGAAAUGCUCAUGAGCGAGAAUGUGACUACUAAAGAUACAGCAAACCUUCUCAAGAUACUGUACAAUUCCGGCCUAGCCUUCAUCCACUGCUGAAAGCCACCAGGCUGCGUUAAGGCAGACUGAUCUGUAUGUAUAUAUACAGCAAAACAGAUCAGAAAGUAGUACCGCUCCAGAUACUCGACAAAGUACGAGAGAGAAGACUCCCUCUUCUUUUCAUCUGCUUGCCGCAAAAUGCUGUUACGAUAUGUGUUGAUGGCUUCACGCAAGUUCUGCCAUGGUCUAUUGUGAAUAACAGCAACCUCGAAAGGAAAAAUACAUCUACCUGCAUAGCCGAACACCUAUCUAUAACAGUAUCAACUUGUCGUUUGCCUUCGACGCCACCCUGAAAAACAGAAAGUCUUCAGAGUCAGAAUAAAAACAAAGCAAAAAAACAGUAUUUCUUACCUCCAAAACCCGACAAAGGCUCCUUACAACAGUGUAUUCACCUUGUCUAAACCCUUCCUCGGAAUCAGGAAAUUCGUCAGUUGACUCCUCUGCAGAGCCAAGUACUUCCCCGAAGGACCUCGAUCUACGAAUUCCUGCAAAAUACUGCUGCCUCGGAAUUAGUAAUCUCUAGAAUCUUUCUAAAAUUUUUGUUUCCUCACAUGAUAUAAUCUUCCAUUGUUAAUGUGGACGACAAGUCAAAUAGUUAACCGGAUCAAAAAGACAAAAAAACGUAAAAUGACACCUGCAGAUCCGCUUCGCUUCAAAUAUACAAGAGUUGCAAUGACCAUUCCAGUAGUUGUACGCCCUCGACCCAUUUGACAAUUAAACACCAAGGCGGUGUUAAUGUCCGCUUCUGCAACACGCUGCACCUGCUCGAUCCAGAACAAAGAAGAAUUUCAGCUUGUUCAAGGAUAAAGCAACAAACCAGUAGAUCGAAGUCCCGUUCUUUGGGAGAUUUCUCAUCAGUGAUUGGCAACCGUUCAUAAUCCACGAAGUACGACUCAUUGCACAAGCUGUCGUACACCUAUUCCGAAAAAGAAAACAACUAAGUUGAAAGCAAAUGCAGAUGAAGACCUUCAACCUCUAGAGGUGUUAGCACCGAUGCGUCAGUUAUUGGUUCCCACUGGUCGAUCAUUUGGCCGUCAGGCAUUUCAUCACAAACCAGGAUUUUGCAGCCAAACCUAAGGACAAAAUAGCACUCACAAUUUACUAAAACGAGUGAGCUAAGAAACAUACCGACCAGCCUCUCGAAGAACAUCCUCUUUCAGCCUGGCUUCCAUUUCCUCAACACGAACUCUGUUAAUUCCCUAUUCAAUGACAAAAUCAGCUUUUAGUUCGUCAAGCAACACUACACUCACAGUAUACUCGAGGUUCGUGAAUGGCCUCUCGAUCUCUCUCAACACAAAUGGCCGACCAUUUAUGUAAAUAACCUGAAAGUAGAGAACUUCCGUGAAGAUGACGAACAGAAUAAAAAUCUUCUUACUGGCUCUUCACGGAGAUUGUGCCAGAGCACGCGCUUGUGACCUCCAUUCCGAUUUGCGCCGAUCAAAUCGAGCACCUUGCGUAUGCCAUCGAUCGUUGGAAUAGCUACGCCAAACACGGGGAGCGAGCCAACCUGUUUGAUAUGUUUUGUCAGACGAAAGCUUGGGUAACUUCGUCCCGCUACAAACCUGGCGAUAAUUUGGAGCGCCUUGGACGUGCGGCUGUAAACGCUUGUUCUGGCAGCCUGGAAAGUGAUCGCUCUUGAGAAUCGUCUUCCGCCCAAGCACGGAGCCUCCUCGCGACAUAAUCACAUGCUCCGGCUCCCGCGACGCGGCGAGCUCGCUGCUCGCCAUCUCAAACCCUAAGAGUGAAUCCAGUGUCGAUGGAGCUUCUCCCCCUCGCGCAGCGCAAAUCCUUCCCCCUUGCUCUACUGCCCCGCGCUUCCCAAUGCUGAUACUCUGCGAGCUCCGGGGCCCCGGCGCGGCUGGAUCUCCACAGAACCCUCCCGGGGCCACUGCUUUACCAGCGAGGAGAUUCAUCCAGGAGCUGGAAAAUCGCCGGGAAGAGCUGCGCCAAUGCCUCGCGAUUCACCAUAGCUGCGCCAUUGCUGCACCAGUCUAGAAAAAUAACAAUCCGCCCUAAAAUACGUCUGAAAUUUCUCGUGUUCCACGAGCUUGUACGAAAAAUUGCGGCUGUUGGAGCUGUCCCAUCUCUCUUGCUGACGUGUCGGAUUUACUAGAGCACCUGGUGCGAAUCGAACGUGGCAUAUACAUCCAACUGCCGACGAAAUCUCAACCGUUCGUUCAAACACACAAUCCAAGUUGCCGUUGGAUAAAAGAAUUAUUUGUAAACUUUAAUUUCCACGUAGAAAGAACAAACCAUCAAGUAAGCUUGAUUGAGAUACAAAGAACACAGCAGUAGCUAUAGAUCAUCUAAUCUAAACCACUAUAGAAGAAACCAGGAAAAAAACGAUGGUCAGGAAAAGGAGAAGCUCGGUCACUGGAGAAAUCACUACUCCCCCUUUUGGACGAGACAUAUCACUGCUCCAGUUCUUCGGCCUCCUCGUCGUACUCCUCCUCGGCACUCGCGUCCUGGUAUUGCUGAUACUCGGACACCAGAUCGUUCAUGUUGCUCUCAGCCUCGGUGAACUCCAUUUCGUCCAUUCCCUCGCCCGUGUACCAAUGCAGGAAGGCCUUCCUCCGGAACAUCGCAGUGAAUUGCUCGCUCACGCGCCGGAACAUCUCCUGGAUGGAAGUCGAGUUGCCGAUGAAGGUGGACGCCAUCUUGAGCCCCUUGGGAGGGAUGUCACACACGCUCGACUUGACGUUGUUGGGGAUCCACUCCACGAAGUAGGACGAGUUCUUGUUCUGGACGUUGAUCAUCUGCUCGUCAACCUCCUUGGUGCUCAUCCGGCCCCGGAACAUCGCCGAGGCUGUGAGGUACCUUCCGUGCCUGGGGUCCGCCGCGCACAUCAUGUUCUUGGCGUCCCACAUUUGCUGGGUCAGCUCCGGAACGGUGAGAGCCCUGUAGAGCUGGGAGCCCCGCGAGGUAAGAGGCGCAAACCCGACCAUGAAGAAGUGGAGCCGCGGGAAUGGGAUCAGGUUGACAGCCAGCUUCCGGAGAUCGGAGUUCAGCUGUCCAGGAAACCUUAAGCAACACGUAACACCGCUCAUUGUUGCAGAGAUCAGAUGGUUGAGGUCUCCAACUACAAACAAAAGAAACAAGGAUCACCAGUAAGAACGUAGACGAGGAAGUUGAAGACGAUGAACUUACAUGUUGGCGUUGUCAGUUUGAGCGUGCGGAAGCAAAUGUCGUAAAGAGCCUCGUUGUCCAGAACCAUGCACUCGUCAGCAUUUUCCACGAGCUGGUGGACGGAGAGAGUAGCAUUGUAUGGUUCCACAACAGUGUCUGAGACCUUUGGCGACGGGAAAACUGAGAAUGUCAGCAUCAUUCUAUCGGGGUACUCCUCGCGGAUCUUGGAUAUCAAGAGGGUACCCAUUCCCGAUCCGGUACCACCACCAAGAGAGUGGCAGACUUGAAAGCCUGAGAAGAAAAACAAAGGAAAAAAAAAAAGAAUUAACGCUAAGAAACCAACACUAUUGACCAUCUACGUUACCUUGCAAACAGUCACAACUCUCGGCCUCCUUUCGAACGACGUCGAGAACCGAAUCAAUAAGCUCGGCCCCUUCGGUGUAGUGACCCUUGGCCCAAUUGUUGCCCGCACCCGUCUGGCCAAAGACGAAGUUGUCCGGCCUGAAAAUCUGACCGAAUGGCCCGGCUCUCACGCUGUCCAUGGUACCCGGUUCUAGAUCCAUGAGAACUGCGCGUGGCACAAAGCGGCCGCCGCUGGCUUCGUUGUAGUAGACGUUGAUCCUCUCCAGCUGAAGAUCAGAGUCGCCAUGGUAUGUCCCGGUCGGAUCGAUACCAUGCUCGUCGCAGAUCACCUCCCAGAACUUGGCACCGAUUUGGUUGCCGCACUGGCCGCCCUGGAUGUGCAAGAUUUCCCUCAUCUUUGGCUGCCAGGACACACAAGAAAGAAAAAGAUGAGCUCGAUACACCGAUAUUUCGUGUCAAGAUCAAGAUCUAGCCCGCAUUUGGCAAGAAUCGCAAGAAAACACCAGGGAAAAGCACGAAACAAGAAUGCGCCCAGAGAAAAAGGCGGCAAUCGACAGAGAACCCCAAGGUCACGGCGCAUACCUUGUCGAGCGGCGAGGCGGAGGCGCUGAAUCCGACGAACCUCUCUCGCGGAGAGGAAGAAGAGCUAGGGCGCGCCGCAGCCGCUUUCUCGAGCUCACACACACAGGACCCCCCAAAAACCACUAUAUAGAAAGAGCAAGAGGGAUUGUCUAAAAGAGAGGGAAGCCCAGUUAGCCGGAUUUGGAAGAGAAUUUGAAAUCCGCCGGCCGGCCGGCCGGCCAUAUAGUUUUUCCCGCCGACGCAAUUCACGGGUAGCGGCCGAUCAACGGGCAAAAAGAUCUCAAAAAAGUGACGGCAUAUGCUCUAUAACGGCCAUGUCCGGGGCAUAUUCCGGUCAUGCACGAUCGUGAGCUGAUUCGAUCAUGCCAGAGCUCCCCGAGCGUAUGCCCAAUAUGGGCAUAAUAACGGCCCGAAACUGGCACUUUGGCGCCCUUGGAGGGCAUCUAAAUUUCAUAACCUCGCCAUCGAGCGCUUUCACGCUUGCCCAAAUAUGAAGUAAUCGUUCGAUGAAUAGUCAUCGUGCUGAGCAUUCGAUACCUCUGGAGCUCAGAUUAAGAAACGUGAAGUGAGCCCUACUCAUAGUGAAUAGUAAUUACCUCCUCCCUGACCACUGUCCACUAAAAGCAUGCAGGGAAGGAGUUGCUUCAAAGAAAGCCAAGAGAUGCCCUAAAAAUCUUGCAAGAGCAAUAGAUCUCCAUGGUUUAACAAGAAUUUACUGGAAUUCACCAAAUAUGAAGACACCACAUUUGCUGAUCAUACAAAAGAAGACUUUACAUGGUUUAACCAGCUUUCACAUUUUUUGCGAUCAGUCGUCACACUUUAUUUAUCAUGAUAAAAGGGAAGUCCAAGUGAUCCCAUCUUUUUUUUCCUUAAAUUUACAUGUGUUAUUCUUAUUUAAUACUGAUCAAUCGAAUUCGUUGACCUUUACAUCUAGACCACUCAAAACAGACCGUGAUCAAGCUAUAACCCGACCCAAACUGGUUUCUCUUUCGACCCAUCGACUUUACAUGGUUUAACCAGCUUUCACAUUUUUUACCAUUGGUCGUCACACUUUAUUUAUCAUGAUAAAAGGAAAAACUUCGAUUCGAGGACCUUUACAUCAAAGCUAGACCACUCAAAACAGACCACAAUCAUGUUAUAACCCGACUCUCUCGUUCGACCCAUGGAUCUAAGCCACAUUGAUAGAGCGGGUCUCGGGCUUGGUUUCCUUCGAUUUGGGGACGUUGAUGGUGAGGACGCCGUUGUCCACCUUCGCGUUGAUCUCUUCCACCUUGGAGUCCUCGGGCAGUCGGAACUUCCUCAAGAAGCAGCCAUACGAGCGCUCCACGCGGUGCCACUUGUCCGUCUCCUGUGUGCUUUCCUUCUUGCGCUCGCCGCUGAGAACCAGCGUGUUGCCAUCCUGGAUCUCGAUCUUGAUCUCCUCCUUGCUCAGUCCUGGACAAGAUCAUCAACGAGAACACGAUCAGGACAGAUAAAGGGGAGAGGUAGAGAGAGAGAGAGAGAAGAGCAAUCAAGAUCGAAAGAUCAAUCGAUGGAUCAAGCGAGAACGCCAGCAAACCUAAGACAUUUCCUCUCGAUCUCUCGAAAUAUCGACUCGUUGCAAAGAAGAUCAAGCGAGGAAGGGCGAAAAGAGAGGAAGAACGGGGAUUGUCAAGAUUUCGGAGAGAAGAAUAUUACCUGGAAGAUCGGCCUUGAUGACAUGCGCAUCCGGGGUCUCAACCCAAUCCACGCGGGUGUUGGCGACGGCGCUGGCAUCCUUGGCGAACUGGCGAGAUGGACCGCUCUCGAAGAUCGCCGAUGGAUCGAAGAAGCGAUCGAGGGGGCUGUCGAAAAUGCUGGUGAGAUCGCCGCGCUUGAAAAAGGGAGUGAGAGCCAUCGCUUUUCUUUCUUCUCUCUGUCGCAGACCCUUGCUAGAGAAACUUGCUAUCACUGUGAAUGCUCCACUGCGAGAAACGGGAAGAGAUUUUUAUACUGCCACUUGGACGCUCCUAGAAGAGCGAGGAUGGUUCUGGAGAGUGCCAUGGAUAUUCGGUAUCCACUUGGCUUACCAGCCACGUGGACGGCUGGAUGGAGCCAGGGCUUAUGAGAAAUGUUUUAGGGUUUAUAGAGCUUCCGAUGUGGAGGCGCUCGGAUCGCGGCGCGCGGACGCUCGCAUUGAGGUACUUCUGCUCGGAUUCCGGCCGCCAGGUGCUGCCCGGGCAGCGUUCGCAGGAAGUUCUUGCGGUUCUCUCGCGCCCGGAUUGGAUCCAGGGCCUGGAAUCCCUGAGGAAAUCGUCGCUGCCCGAGAAUGUGGUCUAUGAGGUGCUGCAAUCUGUCCAGGAAUGGCGCAAGGCAUUUGAUUUCUACCGGUGGGCGGGCUCGCGGCCACACUACACGCACAGUUUCAGAAAUCUUCGAACCACAGUCUCGUUUCUCUGCCGCGCGAUGAGGUAUCAAGAAGCGUACGAGCUUCUGAUGGAUGCUGCACGAUUGGGGCCCGAACCAGACCAGUUUCUCUGUAGCCUGGUGAUGCUGAGGCUCUCGGACAGCGGGCAAACAAUCCAGGCCUUUGAGCUUCUCAAGAAAAUGCGGAGCUUGGGAGUGGUUCCAGACACGAGAAUGCUCAACAUCAUGCUCAAGGGGCUCAAGGUUGACGAUGGUUUGUGGGUGCUGCGAGAGUUUUCUCACGCUGCGAGCUCCGUUUCGUGCAACAUCGUCAUGGACAAGCUCUCCAAGCAGACCCGGAUCGACGAGGCUCGCCAGCUCCUGCUAGAGAUGGAGGCCAAGGGGAUCAAAGGCGAUGGCUUCACUUACACUACUUUGGUCCAUGGAUACUGCCGGCUGGGACGACUCGACGACGCUUGCCAGGUUCUAGAGGGCAUGAGCUGCACUCCCUGCGCGUCUAUGUACAACGCGAUCAUCAAGACCCUUUGCGGAGUUCAGAGCUUCUCGCAAGCGUUUCUUUUGGUGGACGACAUGGCGGAGAAAGGCUGCAUUCCUACGGUGGUGACUUUCGGGAUCCUGGUGGACGGGCUGUGCAAGGCCAACAGGUUGACAGAUGCGUUCGAGCUCGUGGAAGUCAUGGCGGAGCGGGGGUGCUUUCCAAAUGCGCUGGUUUUCAAUGGGAUCAUGGACGCGCUUUGCAAGGAGGGACGGUCAGCAGAGGCGUAUGGUUACAUCGAGACCAUGAGAUCAAUGGGAGUUUCUCCGACCAUCGUCACGUACAACAUUUUGAUCGAUGGCUUCUGCAAGGAGGAGAAGCUUCACAGGGCCCUUGAGAUACUCCAGGAGAUGACCGGCAGAGGUCAUGAGCCCAACCACGUAACUUACAAUACGUUUUUGCACGGGCUGUGCAAGUAUGGAAAAGUUGACGAUGCUCUGGCGCUCUUUCGUGCCAUGACCGAGAAGAAGAUACGUCUGGACGUGUAUGGAUACACUACGCUGAUAGACGGGCUCUGCCAGGCAGGAAAGCUGGCCGAGGCUUACAGCCUCCUGGACGAGAUGGAAAACUCUGGCUGCGUUCCAAAGCCUGGCUGUUACAACGCGAUACUCUCCUGGCUCUGCAAGGGCAGCAGGAUAAACGAGGCUCACAAGCUCUUUAAGCGGAUGACAGGCUCGGGCAUCCUUCCCGACUGGUUAACGUUUGGAAUGAUGGUCUUCGGCUACUGUAGAGGCCACCGCAUUGACGACGCUCUCCUGCUGCUCCAGCAAAUGAAGAGUGCUGGGUUGGCACCACGCGAAGUCAUCUACAACACUUUGAUUGACGCACUCAACCGGGCAGGGAGAGUUUCCGAGGCGUACAGGCUUCUCCAGGAGAUGAUUUCCAGAGGAUUAUCACCCAACAGCAGGACUUACGCACUGAUGAGGAAACAGCAGACUGACGACAGCAACUUAGUCGUGGAGCUGGAUUACAGGAAAGAGUGCGAGUUCUUAAGAGCCUAAGAAGCGUCGUUACUCUCCUUGUUCAGGGCUUCCAGGUUGCUAGCAUCGACAAGGUGGCCUUUCUCGUUCAUCUCCUGGACCAUGCUACGCGCAGAGUUUACAUCUCCUGUCCUGAGAAAGAGCCUGACCAGCGAGUUGAAAAUGGAGGCACUGGGAACACAGUCCUGGUCAAGCAUCUGCUGGUAGACUGCAAGAGCUUUGGAAGGGACUUCCUCGGUUUCCGCAAGCUUGGCAAUGAGGACAUUAUACGUGUAGGAGUCGCAGCUCCAACCUCUAGCUGUCAUCUCCUGGAGCAACGUCAAGCCUUGCUCAGUGUCCUCGGCUCUGCAAUAUCCAUCGAUCAGGAUCCUGUACGUGAUUGCAUCUGGAGAGCAGUAGCUGGUUUUGUUCUUGAGCUGCUGGUACACUCCCUCGGCCUUGGACAUCAUCCCGGCUUUGCUGAAGGCACUGAGGACCGUGUUGUACGUGAUGAUAUCUGGGAAGCAGCCUUUGGCAGACAUCUCGUCAAAGAGGCUCUCGGCUUCCUCAUACAUGCCAUGCUUGGCAUAGCCGUUGAUCAACGCCGCAUAAGUCACAACAUUUGGCUUGCAGCCCACGGCUUGCAUCUCCUGGAGUAGCAACUUGGCUUGUUUGAGGCUGCCGAAUUUGGACUGGCCGUCGAUCAGUGUGUUAUAAGUCACCACAUCGGGUACGCAGAUGUUUUUUGCUUUCAUCUCUAUCAGCAACUGAUGGGCUUGUGAUAGCCUCCCUGCCUUGCAGAAGCCGCUUAUCAACGUGUUGAAGAAGAUGACGUCGGGCUUGCAGCAACCGCUGUCAAGCAUCUUGCGGGACAGCUUCCACGCGUCGUCGACGUUUCCAGAUUUGCAGAGACCAUCGAUCACAAAGUUGUAAGACAGUAAGUUCGGUAAGCUUCCGCUCUCGAUCAUUCCCAGUAAGAUGUUUUUGGCUAAUGGAAACUUUCCGGACCUGCAGAGAGCUCCGAUGAAAGCAUUGUGGGUGUACACCUCCAUAACGCAACCAGCUUUCAUGGCUUGCUCGUAGGCCCAGGAAGCGCUUUCGAUAUCUCCUGCUCGGAUGAGUGCAUGAAUAAGAGGAGCGUAAGUUGCCGACAGCGCAUAGUGCCCCGACUUCACCAUGUGUUCAAGCACCUCGUCGACGGUGUCCAGGCGGUUUGCUCGCGAGAGAUUGUCGAGCAUGAUGCUGUACGUGAGAGAGUCCGGUACGCAUCCUCUUUCCAGCAUUCCUUUAAACACCUGAAACGCAUCGUCGAUCCUGUUCGCCUUGCAGAGCCCACUUAUGAUGCUGCAAAAGGUGACAACGUCGGGAGGAAUCCCACCGCGGUCCAUUUCUUCCAGCAUUUCGAGGCCCUUGUCGAGCUUUCCGGCCUUGCACAGCCCGGAUAUGAAGGUGUUGUAGGUGACAACGUCAGGUAUGCGUCCACUCUCGAUCAUCUCGCUCAUCAAAACCUGGGCUUCGUCCACUCUUUUGAGCCGGCACAGGCAGCUAACAACAAUGUUGUAUGUGUAGAGGUUGGCGACGCUCGAGUUUAUCAUCUCCUGGAGGAGCUCCAGUGCUUGCUCGAUCUUGUCCCCGCUGCACAAGUCAUGUAAGAUCCCAUUCACCCUCUUCGUUUCGACACUGACUUUGGCCCGCUCCAUCUGCUUGAAGAGCUCCCGGACUUUGUCCCGGUCCCCGGCCGCGACGCAAGCACUGAGCAGCGCGGCGAAAACUCCAGCGUUUGGACGGAGCCCUCGAUCCAGCGCCUGUGCAAGCCUCGAGAACGCCUCGCCGUGCCGCUUGUUCUUGGCGAGCAUCCGGACCAGCGUACCUGUGGUGGCGGCGUCGUGCUGGAACCCCCCGCGCGUGGCUGCCCAGUCGUAGAAGGUGAGAGCUCUCUCGCAGUCCCUGGCAUUUCUUAGAACGCUGCUCACGGUGGCUCUGCUCAGCGACGAUCGGGAGCACUGCUCCAAUGCCUCUUGGAGCCUGGUGGCGUCGGAGUUGAGAACCCAGAUCAAGGCAUCGGCAUUGUGCGUUGAUCGAUUCGAGGAAAACGAGGAAGAGCAAGCUGCUACAUAGCUACUGGAAGAAGAAGACGCACACGCUGCGACGGUGGGCUCUGUGUGUAGCGACGCGGCCGCCGCUGCCAUCAUCGCCAUAGCCAUAAACCCUGAACCCAAGCAAAAGAAAUAUCUUCCCAAACCUCCAGGUGGGCAUAUUCUGGUAUAUUACUAACCAAGAACCCUAAACCCUAAACAAGACUGUUCAAGUAUAUUCUUCAAAUUGUAAGCAUAUUCUUCUUUUAAAUAUAAACCCUAAAGCGCGAAUUUAUGAAUCUAAAACCCUAAACCCUUUAAGUUUCACCUCUUUCUGGGUCUGGGAGAUUACUGUGAGAACGCGCGCACUCUUCUUGGCUGGGAGUUUUGAGCCUCUUUAUGCAAGUGAGCGCCCCCUGUAUGGUGGCAUACCUCUCAUCACUCCCAAAACACCCCUUGUGGAACAUAAACUCGGCGAUUUGCUCCACUCUCUCCAGCCGGCUAAUGGGGUCGUACAAGCUCUCCCCCUCGAAAACAAUGCUCCCUCCCCGGCACCCCUCCACCACCAUCUCCUCCAAAACCCCAAACAGCCCCCACACCUCGUCGCCGUCCCGGCACUCGUACCGCGACGACUGGCACCGCGCCUCGCAAAACCCAAAUAUGCAGUCGAUGUAAACCACCAGGUUACAGACCGAGCCGCGCAGGAUCAUCUCGCGGAUCAAGCCCCGGGCCUGGUCCAGCCGCCGCCGCCGGCAGUUCCAAAUGACCAGCGUCGAGUAAGUGAUGUGGUUUGGCGCGAAUCCAUUCCGUACAAGCUCCUGGAGGACGAGCCCGGCAUCGUCCAUCCGGUUGGCCAUGCAGAGCCCGUGGAUGAGCGAGUUGUACGUCACCAGGUCGGGCUCGCAGCCGCUACGUAGCAUGCGCUUGACGGUCUGGAUGGCGUCGUGGGGGCGGCGCGCCUUACACAGGCCGUCGAUCAGCGCGGUGUAGGUGACCACGUUUGGCGCGCAGCCGGCGUCCGCCAUCUUUUGGAGGAGCGCCUGGGCGGCGUCCAGGUCGCCCGACUUACACAGGCCGUCGAUGAGGGUGGUGUAAGUCACCACCGAGGCAUCGUAGCCGUUGGCGGCCAUGACGUGGACGAGCUCGAGCGCGUGGCGGGGCUUGCGCGCCUUGCACAGGCCGGCGAUGAGGGUGUUGUAGAUGGCAGCGUCGAGGCGGAAGUCGCGCGAGGCCAUGUCGUCGAGGAGGGCGCGCGCGGCUUGGAGGUCCCCAGCGUUGCACAGGCCGUAGAGGAGCGACGCGUAGACUUGGGCGUCGAGAGAGCCGCCCUUGUCUUGCAGCUGCAAAAGAGAGAAACCAUCAGAACGAGGAAUUCGAUCGAGGAACACUCCAAGCAAACAAAACCAUCCAGAAACUAUGAUCUUCUCUGAUCUAUCUAUCUCCAUCUUUAAACUAUGAUCUAUCUCUGAUCUAUCGAGAAACUAUGUCUAUCGAGAAACUAUGUCUAUCUCUAUCUAUCUCAUCGAGAAACUAUGAUCUAUCUCUGAGAAACUAUGAUCUAUCUAUCUAUCUGAUCGAGAAACUAUAACUAUCAAUCUCUACCAAGAAGCAAAAGAGAAGCAAACACUCACCUCGUAGAAGAGCGACCACGCAGCGCUAAUCUCCCCGAGCUUGCACAACGUGUGGAUCAAAAUGCCGUACGUAAACGCGAAGUCGGCCGGAUCCACCGUCAGCUCCCGCCCGAUCCUGACCGCGCGAUCCACGUCCCCGGCGGCGCACAGCGCUUGGAUCAGGACGCUGAGAACCUUGCCGUACGGCAGUAACCCCGCGCGCUUGAUCUCGCCGCAAAACUCGCAAGCGCACUGGAGCCGCCCCGAGUCGACCAGGCCGUACAGCACGGUCGACACGGUCGUGCGGUCGGGCCGGCACCCCGCCGGGAGACCCGCCGUGAAGAUCUCGUGCGCCUUGGUCGCCUGGCCGAGCUUGAUGAGAGUGAGGAGUAGCGAGUUGGCGGUGUGUGGGGUGUGCUUGAAUCCCAGCCCGGUUUUGCUCGAGGCCACCCAGCGGAAGAACUUGAUGGCGGCGUCGGCGUCGUCUAGAUUCUGGAGGACCUGGGCGAUGAUCCGGGACCUCGAGCGGCGCUUCUCCCAGAGGAUCCUCUUGAUCUUGGCGCUUCCCGGGCCGCCCGAGAGCUCCACGAGCUUGGUCACUCGCGAGGCGGUGGCAAUGGUAUCAUUACUGCCAUCGUGUUGUGUACUUCUCUCGAUUGAUCCUGGAAGUGAUAGCUCCGCUGAACUCUCCGGGGAUUCGCAAUGCUCCUCCAGUUCCAUGGCGCGCUCCUCCACAAAAUGUGGAGCCUCGGGGUGAAUCGCGAUGCAUGGCGGCCUCAAACUUGGAGAUGGAUCGCGGAGCCCUUGCUCCUGCGCCAUGGGAGCUGGCUCUGGUGUUACCUCUUUCGUGCCGCAUUCUUCUUCCUGGUGUGCUGUGAGCGAGGAGCUAGGGCUCACGGCGGCGGUCGAGGGAGGAAGCCAGCGCGCUGCGCUCGAUCGCAGCCACUGCCGUGCCAUAGCUGCCGCCGCCACCAGCGUCUUGAGUGGCUGCAUUCCGCUGGAAAACCCACUGCCCGCAAUCGCGAGAUCCGGCCCAUUUCUCUCGCCCAAUGGACCAGCGCUGACCCAUGACUGGCAUUGACCCUCAAGAACCCUAAAAGAGAGAUUUAGGGUUUAAGAGGGUCUAGGGUUGUGGAGGCGCGAGGAAUGGGGACGAAGAAGAAGAAGACUCAGCUCCUCUCGGAUUCUUCCGAUUCUGAUGAGGGCGAUCAUGCUGGUGCUGCAAAUGCAAAUGGGAAGGCUGGUAAGAAGGGAUUCACUGAUGAGAACAAGGCGUGGCUAAAGCCAAAGCAGCGACUCGACGAUGAUGAAGACGAAGAAGAGGAGGAGGACGGGGAUGAAGGUUUGCUGCUGUCUAGAAUCGCUUCCAAGCGCUUACAUUUUUUCUUUCCUUCAGGAACCAGCGACGAGGAUGAUGACGAAGAGGAGGAUGAUGAGUUCGAUGUGGAGCGUAAAUCCAAGAAAUUAGAUGCGAAGAGGGCUCAAGAGCAAGCAGACGCUGAUGCCGAGCUCCAGACGAACAUCCAGGCGGAGGGGGACGAGCCGGAUGAUUUUAGACUUCCUACCUCGGAGGUUCGUUCUCGUGGCUUUUCUUAGAAAAAAUAAUUUUUUUGCGCUGUGUAGGACCUUGAAGCUGAGGCAAGCUUGCCACCUGAUCUUCCCAGCGUCCAGCGAAGGAUCAAAGACAGUAAGUCUGCUUUUCUAUGUUGUUACACGUCGUGAUUUCUUCUUCUUCUUCUCUCUCAAGUUGUCAGAGUUUUGUCAAACUUUAAGGCUCUGAGGCAAGAGGGCCGGGCUCGCAAGGAUUAUACCAAGCAGCUGAUUGCGGAUGUGGCAUCGUACUAUGGUUACAAUGAGUUUCUUGCGGAGUAUUUUAUGCAGGUAGAACUUUCGCUGAGAAGUUUGUUGCUCUUGUUAAGAUUUCUUCCCCCUUUGCAGAUGUUUCCAGUAGCUGAAGCGGUAGAGUUUUUAGAAGCGAAUGAGACGCCCCGACCAUUGUCUCUUCGGACCAACACCCUGAAGGUACCUACAUGCAGUAUCGGCUCGGCAUCUUAUCUUCGUGUUUUAGACAAGGCGGCGAGAUUUGGCCGGAGUUCUCAUCAAUAGAGGCGUGAAUUUGGAUCCAAUCGGAAAAUGGUCUAAGGUGAAGUGAAAUGGUGCCUUUAUCUGUGGUGUUUGACGCUGAGUUCGCAGGUUGGUCUUGUAGUAUACGACUCUCAAGUUCCCGUGGGAGCAACACCUGAGUACAUGGCUGGUCACUAUAUGGUAGGGAAAUAUAUAGUUUUGCCUCCAGUUACAGAAUGCUGUGCUUGUUUGCAGCUUCAAAGUGCAAGCUCCUUUCUUCCGGUGAUGGCCUUGGCACCUCAAGAAAAAGAACGGAUAGUUGACGUCGCGUAAGAUUCUAGUUUCUUUUGUUCGGCGUUAAACUUCAGCUUGGUGUUCUUAGUGCCGCUCCGGGAGGGAAGACAACUUACAUAGCUGCGCUGAUGAAAAAUACAGGUAAUCCUGUCACUUCAUGUCCAUGUAACGAGUUACUGGUCUUUGUCAGGUUUAAUAUAUGCAAAUGAGUUAAAGGUACAAAGGUUGAAGUCUCUUACGGCCAACAUUUAUCGAAUGGGUGUGACUAACUCAGUUGUGUGCAAUUAUGACGGGCGCGAGGUUCGCUAAAAAACAAAUUUUGCAUUAGUUUUCUUGAACUGAGUUAAGGUGCUUUAGUUGCCAAAAGUCCUUGGGCGAAACUCCGUUGAUCGUGUGUUACUGGAUGCUCCUUGCAGCGGGACUGGAGUAAGUUCUCGUUUUUUCAGUUUUGGCCACUCUUACAAGUUACUUUCUAUUCUAGAUAGUGGGAAAAGACCAAUCUGUGAAGCUUACAAAAUCUUUAGAGGACAUACAGCGGUGUGCCUUUUUGCAAAAGGUAACUCUCGUCUUUCUGCUUUGCGCUUACUCGAAAUCUUCUAUCUUGCAGGAGUUAAUCCUAGCAGCCAUAGACCUUGUUGAUGCGAAUUCUAGCAGCGGUGGAUAUCUUGUGUACUCAACUUGCUCCGUUACGGUUGCAGAGGCAAGCAUUUCACUGCCAUGAAUGUGUCUCUAAUCAGCUAAUAAUUUUGUGACCAGAACGAAGCUGUAGUGGACUACGCAUUAAAAAAGCGACAUGUCAAGGUUGUCCCGAGUGGACUCGAGUUUGGCAAGGAAGGGUAUGAAUCUUUCUUCUUUUUUUUUGUGACGUCCUUUCACCAACAUUCUCUUUUUUGUAGAUUUAUUCGUUUUAGAGAAAAACGUUUUCAUCCGUCACUGGCCAACACUAGACGCUUUUAUCCUCACGUACACAACAUGGAUGGCUUUUUUGUGGCUAAGGUGAAAGAAAGCUUUAAUCGUUUUGCUUGCACUUAGACGCUAUCUUCUGUUUCGUUUUAUUCCAGUUAAAGAAGCUGAGCAACAAAAUUCCAGAGGCCAACAAGGAAACCGACGAAGCCGAGGUUGAAAACGUCCAAGAGUUGGAGCAAAAGCCCGCUAUUACUCUUGCUCCAAAAGAUGCAUCUCCAGCCAAACAGAACGGCGUGGAGAAGCCACAAGGCAAGAAGAGGAAGCGGCUUCUAAGGCGGGACUUGAAAAACCUGCCCUCCAAAGAAGAAAUAUCCCGUGCAAGGUCUGUUGCCAUUCCUCAAGACUUACAUCCAUCCGUCGUAAUGUUACUUCUUUGUUUGCCUUUGCAGAGAAGAGAAGAGAGCAACAGCAAGAAAAACAACGAAGCCAAAGUCAGCUGCGAAGUAAGAUCGAAUUUUUCUUUUUGUAUUCUAUACUUUCGAGCUUACAAAAUAAUCUUGUUAACAAAGUAUCAAAAUUUUAAAUGGAGCUCUCACUUGUUCUCUGUACAGACCGUGUCAAAGAAAAAACUCCUCUUCUAAACCACCACUCCCUGGAUCCAAAACAAGUGUUCCAUCAGCCAAGAAGAGAAAAAAAAACUUUGAGACACCACUCAGCCAGGCUUUGGAUCCUUGACCAUCCACAUCAACGAGGAAGGAGGAGGAGUGAUGCUAUCGCAGAAGCUCCUGUUGCUCGCCUUGUCUAGCAACUUUCGCUUGAUCUGCCGGAGCGAGCUUGGCAUCACUACUCCUCCAUUCCCGGAUGGACAAUCUCUCCACGGCGUGGUGCUGCUAGCGGGAUUCAUCACAGCUAUGGACAUGGAGCUCCUCACACCCUCUACUACUACCUCUUCGCGAGCUUCCUCGUGUUCUUCCCUACGUUGUUCUUGGUAGUGCUCUUGGAGCUCCAACGUUUUCGGCGGAGACUCGGGCUUCUUCACAGAUUUUGGCGUCGCCACCGUCGCCUUCUUGCGUUUCCUCUCUUCCAACUUUGCCUGGAACGAACGAGAUGUUAGAAAAGGAAAGAGAUCAUAUGUGUGGACCUGUUUCAUGGCUCCUUUCUUUCGCUCCUUGGCGCGAAGCACUGCGUUUUUAAUGCCAUUGCUGUCCAUCCAACCUUCCGGCCAUAGCUCCGCGAGCUGGUCGAGUGAUGCGUAUUGAAAAACGUUUCUUCUUUAGAAAGGAAACAGUACCUCGGCGUAGAAUUUCUUGGUUGCUGCGGAUUUGUGCUCGUCAAUCCCCUCGACGUAGAGCUCGUAGAAAUCGCUGAUCCUGUCCUCGGUUGGCGCAUCCCAUCUGUAGCGUCCGUCGCAGGUUGCCUCUUCGCAUUGGCUGUUGUCCUGAAAAAACGAAAACAAUUCGCUCAAAAAGAGAGUGAGAAAAGAGUUACCUGUGCUGAUUGUUGUGGAGUGAUUCGAGACUUCAGCAUGUCCACGAUUUCCUUCUUCAUUGUCUCCAGCUUAGAUUGCUUCUCCUUUUGUGCCGAUAUUCCAAGUUCAGCCAUUUCCUUUAAGUUUCUCUAGAACCACAAGGAAGGCAGCGAUUUAGCUAUGAAAAAAAAAAUGCAGCGAUCUUACCUUGAGAGAUCUAAUCUGCAUCAAGUGUCCCAUGAUCUUCAUCAGGACGUUGAGGAGCUCUUCCGGGCCGAUCUUGCUUUGUUUUUGCUGCACAAAACCUUCAGUUCACAGCAAGCGUCGCUAAAAACUAAUAAACUCUACCGCUAGCCUUGCAACUUUGGCGAGCCGUGCCUUAACCUCCUUUGGUAUCCGCUUCUUGUACUCGGUUUCGUGAUUCUUCUCCGUCGAGGGUGGACAUCCUGUCAUAGAUCAUCUAAGCCUCAAGCAAUUCUUUCUUAAAGCUACUUACGGUCCGCCACUUCUUUCUCCAGCUCCUGAAUAGCCCUGUCCAGCAUCGUGAGCUUCGGCCCAGUCUUCCUUCCCGGACUCGAUUCCUUCGGAGGAGUCUUCUUCACAAAACAAUAGAUUAGUUAAAGUCACUCAUCAACCAUUUUCAAAGGAAGCUCGAAAAAAUCUUACGAUCUCGUCGCUGGCAAUGGUGGUGUUGCUGGGAUCGAUACACAAGCCAUUGUUUCGCUCUGCUAGAGGGCCCUUGGUUGCGCAAGCCUUGAUCGUUUUAGUGAAGCUCGUCUUUUUGUUGUUCGCUUGUGGAGCUUUCACUGCGUCCUCGUCGUCGCUCUUGGCCUUCUUCGACGCUGGCGGCCUCUCCUGCGCCGGCCUCUUCCUCUUCUUGUAGACUUUGAGACCAGAAGCUUCAUCCAAACUCCUAGAGCAAGCACAUAAACCAUUUUCUAUCCGCAAGGACGAACUAGCUAAGAGAGAACUUACUUCCCCUCGACAGCCCUCUUCUCCAGCGAUCCCUUGUUGACGUAGAAGCCCGUGUGCUUCGUCUUGGUCCUAUUCACCUCGAAGUACUCGUCCUAGACGGAGUUCCAAGCAUUAGAGAAAGAACAAAGAAGUAAUCUACAAGUAAUACUUACCAGAUCUUCGUCGUCGAUGAAAGUAUCCUCUGUGUCGUAAUCUUCCUCCGCGGGCACGCAAGUCGUCCUAUCGUCCUCGUCGCCACCUUCGUCAUCCUCGGAAUGCCCCUGAGACAAAUCCCAAGUUCCAUCUAAGUCACGAGCACUGAAAAAGAAAAAACUAACUCGACUUUUUUACUAACACAUUACCUGGUAGAGCCUCUCGAUCUUCUCGAUCACCGCGUUCAUCCGGCCAUCCUUGUGCGCAGCAGCCACCUACAAAUCCACGAAACUCACAUAAGCUUCGCUCGAGAUCAUCUGAGCAGCGACCAAAACUUUGGAAUCUUACAAGAACAAAGAACAAACACAAAGAAAGACGAAACAAGAAGAAAAAGCAAAGGAAAAAAAGAGGAGAAAACGCUAGGUACUACCUCUGGAGCGAUUCGAGAGUCCAAUCCAGGCCUGGUGGUGGCGAGGAGAUUAGCACUCGUCGCAACAGCAUUGGUGGGCAGGAGCUUCUGGAGCUUGCUCCAAGACACCUCCACACUCCCUCGCUCGGAUUCUACGUGAAACCGUUGCCUCGCAGGGAAGCUCUCCAUUUCCAGCCAGCACCGCUCGCCCAUAUCGUCGCAAUUCGGAUUGAUGGGCUCCCACCUACAUUGCCAGCAAUCCAAAAACUCCCCAAAGAUUCUCCCCCGCCCUGGAGGAGCUCUCGCCUUUAGGUCUUCCCAACUGGGCUAUCCAAUCAAUCCUUACACUCUCUCUUCUUCCUCUCCCUUUUCCUCUCUUCCCAAGCUUUUGUGUGCUAAGAUCUUCCUCUUCUCCUUCUUCCUCCUUUUCCUACAACGUAUACAAAGCUUGCUUCCUCCCAAUCAUCUCAUCACAUCAUCAAAAUCAAAAACUAAAUUUCUCUCCCCAAAACCAAGCCAAAGAGGAAGAGAAAAAAAGGAACCAACCCCACAUAUACCAGAAAAAUCCCUUUGGUCUUCUUGGCAACCACCUGCUUGUAAAAGAGAACCACCACUCUGGCCUAAAUACCACCCCACCCCAUUUAAUACACAGCCUUUUGCUGCUCCCUCUCCCCUCAAACCAUUAGGUCACACAAACAACACCCACAAGAAAUCCCUUUUUACUAAAAUCUCUUUGAUAGGCCAAAUUAACAUGCAGGCAGCAAGAUACCAUUGUCUGGUACUUUUGUGAGAUUUCACUGGUUUUCUUUGUUUAUUUUUCUAUUGUUCUCUCUGUGUGUGUGGGAAAGUGGCUUACUUUGGAGCACUCAAACCUCGCAUUUCCAAAUGCCUUUUCAAGGCAUUUGGGACGAAUCUCAGGGUUAUCGGCAUUGUGUCUCUUCCAAGAUUCUUAAAAAGGAAAUUUUGCUAGCAUUGACAGCGUAUACUCGGACGCAAGCGAUUAUGGUGAAGAUUACACCACGAGCUUUGGUUACUAUGGCCAAACUAAACAUAAUACAAAGGUACCUCCGGGUGCCCUAUCUGGCCAAGUUGGCAACUUUGAAUAUCAAAACAUAACACUCACUUGGAACGAAGAGCUGCAUGUAGUCCACUUUGGAAAACUUUUAACACGCCUAGUCUGCCUCGAGCAGUCCUUGCAAUUACUAUUUCUUGGUCUCACCUUUAGUUACCUCGACAGAUAAGAAUUCGGCGUGAUUAACGGAAAUGGUACAUGGAACUACUCCUGUUCAUAUGGUUCUUAUUAUUUCCCUUUUGAUUCUUCACGGCGCUCACUUUCACGAACUCUUGGGCUUCGAGGCCGGUGGAGGCGGAAGCAACUGCAAACAAAUCAACUCAAAGUAAGAAAAUCAGCCAAAGUGAAAAACGUUUCGACGUGAAUCGGACCUGGUAGCAGGAAAUCAAUGAGGUGAUAAAACCCAGAGCUCCAGUCACACGAGGCGUCACGGUUUUUGGAGCAAGCUGAAGAAGUCCAACCGCGACAACUAUAUCCAGAGAAGCCUUGACAAGGCUCAAGGUUCUCUCGUGAGAUUGUUUCACAGAGACGAGUUUUUGUUCUUUCUGUCACCAGCAAAUGGAGCGUUAGAAUGGCAUCCUACGAGUGUAAGUGAUGCAAACCAGGUGCGCGUUCUCCGGGUUGCCUUGCUGUUUUAAUCGCCGAAUCUCCCUCUCAAGCUUUCUCCUGGAAGCCGCAAGGCGGCCGAGCUCAGACACCUGGGUUAAGGAUGCGAGUAAGCACGAUAUCUUCCUUCACGAAUUUCCAAGCUUACCUCAGCCAAUGAGGUGCAAAACGAUCCAGUCAUCCAGCAGUACAACGAUAUCCUUGAGAUGAGCUCCAGGCGCUCCUUGUUCUAUAAGGCAGCUUACGUUAGUCCACUCAAACGAAAAAAAAGACCAACCUGAUAGAUGCCGGUUCGUCCAGCCCAGACGAGUUGAUCCAAGAACAAAAACGUUCCAACCAAAGCGUUUUUAGCCUGCAUUCUAAAUCGGUGAGCACACAAAAUUCUACGGCAGGAACUUUUCUUGAGAGAAAAAACCAAACCUUUCCAAGGAGAACAAUUGGGAGAGGCGUCGAUUUGGGAGCUGGAACAAUGAGACCAUGCAGCUCGUUCAAGUACUGCGGAAACAAAAAUCCAUCACUACCUUUGCCAAGCCAUCGUAGAAGAGAAUAGUUCUUCUAAGAAAGAAAAAAGAAGCUUACCUUGAGGAGGCGAAACACUUUCCUUGCCAAGCUAGUUGACUUGUCGACUUGAGACGCCGGACCUGGCUCACCAUUGCUGAGAAAUUUUGCUCCAUACUGGAUCGCUCGGCAAAUUUUAUCCCUGCUCUCAGCCUUGUUGAGGUACAUGACCAAGAAGGCCACCUCCGCCCUCGCAACAUCUAGAGACCCCAUCUAAUCUACAAGACACGCAGAGCGCCAGAGUAAGAUCAAGAAAUUUCCAAAAGAUGGGGGCAUUUCUCGGUGCCGAGCAGCAACCUCUCGCGAAAAAUAUCACCUGAUGCUCCGCGCCGAUCGAUCGAGCCCUGGCCGCGACGCAGCGCCCUCCCUCCGCCCGCGCUCUUGCUCGCCACCGAAAAAAUGCAGGGCCGAGACUAAAGUAAAAACCUAUGAUAUAUACUUAUCCUUCCAAGCACGGCUUUGCUGAUAGCCACGUCGAGUAAAUCUUUGCCACGUGUCAUACUAAUCAGUGCUGCCACGCGGCCGCGCCUCAUUGAGCCCUGGUUGUCGCCCAGCCAGCUAGGAUUCCUCCACGUCGGCAUACCCGAAAUAGAGAAAACAGCUGGCAUGCUCUUGGUUUAUACUUCGGGAUAUUCGAGGUUUCAAAUCAAAAAGGUGUAAAGGGUAUCGAACCAUGAGCGCCCACGUUUGAUUGCGAAAAGCUGUAAAGCUUCCCCCCACUAGUUUUUUGUCGCGCUUUAAUUUACGACUAAUCGCUGUUCGUUUAGCACAAAUAUCACUGUCAAAUCUUUGGCGAGGUCUUCGAAUCCGGCACUACUCCACAAUGUCGGUCUCUGGGAAUAACUCAUUGCUUCGCCACCAUUGCUUUAGAAUUAUAUUUCCUCCGAUGGCUUGCUUGCUUGGGUAGACUCGUGGUGGGGGAUAUUCUUUUUUCUGUGGCGUGGUAUUUUUAAGGGGCCAUGGCCGCCACAUAGAGAAAUCAUUGCGCCUCUAGGAGAAGAGACCACACACAACAACACUAAAGAAAAAAAACUUCUUGUCUUGCAGAUCUAGAUCUUCUAGCAGUUUCUAUGCGAGAAUUCUGUGCGCUUGUAUUGCGAUUCUAGCCAGCAUUGAUGUAGCAUUGCUCCCAAUUCGCGCGAUCGCGAGCGGUUUUCUCGAGGGUGGUGAUUGAUCGAUCGGGUGAUCGAGGAGGAGAGAGGGAUAAUGGGAUGCCCCUGUUCUAAGGCGGAAGAUCCUGGAGAAGAGCCGCAGGACGAGGAGGAUCUCUGCAAUUACUCCGCGGCAGUGUCGCAAUGCAAGCAGAGGAAGGAGCUUCUUCGCCAGGCAUCACAGGCGGGGCGAGCAUUCGCCAAAUCUCACGCCGAGUUCCUCCAAUCUCUCGCGCGAACCGGCUGCGCUCUCCAAGAUUUCCUCACGGGAGAGCUCGGGAUCACCGAUGGGUUUCGCGUAGCGCCAGCUCCAGCUAGAUCUAGCUUUGCGAUCGAGUACACACCCACAGCAUCCCAGAGGGUAGUUCUCGAGGACGAGUUCCUCAGUGGAAUCAAGCCGCCUCCACCGCCUCCGGGCUUGCCAUCUCGCUACUGGGACUUCGAUUUCUUCCAGCAGGUGGAGCAAUCGAUCGCGGCCUGCUCGUCGAGCAAGGAGAUCCACGGCGGCGACGAGGAGGAGGACACCGUGAUCGAGAUGGAGGGUGACGACGUGAAGAUCCGGGAGAUCGAGCACCAUUGCAGCAAUCCAUCGCCGGCCACGCGAGAGAGAAGAGAUUCAAACGCUUCAGUGGCGUCUCUAUCGUCCGAUGGACCCGGCGAUCAACGGCUGGCGAUCGUCCCCGCGGAGCUUCCUCUCCACGAAAUAGAGAAGAUCUUCCGGUAUGUUUACCAAGAAUUUCUUAGGGCUUCGCAGAGCGGAGCCGCUGUGGCAGGGAUCCUCCAGUCCGGCAGAGGUAUGGCGCCUGCAUUUCUUUUCGAUCCCAGCUGUGGAAGUGAUCUAAGAGCUCGAAAUCUCUUUGUUUCUUUGCUCAUCGCAGAGCUAGGUCUAGCAUUGACAUGGAAGAAUGGAGACCAUCAAGUCACCGAUUGCAACUAUGGAUGGAGUCAGGCGCUCACUCUCGAGCGAUUGUCGGCCUGGGAGCUCAAACUUUACGAGGAAGUCAAGGUAUGGAUCUUUCGCAAGUUUUCUUUAGAGUUGGCUUCAUAGAUCUCGAGGCAUAGUUUAUGUCUUUCGUUAAAGAACGCACUAGUUAGUGAAUUGUUUUUUUUUUUUUUUCAUUUCUACUUUUUUGCUGUCGGUUUUCACCUGUAGCCACGAUCAACAGUUCUUAGUUUGUCGUCUCCUGGUUUGAUGAGAGAAUUCUACUAACUUGUGAUCACGGUAACGCAGGCGCUCAACUCAAUCGAUGCCGAUUUCAACAAGAAGCGCAAGCUGCUGUGCAAAUACGAUGUCAACAGAGUUCACGAUGAAACUGUUGAUAGAACCAGAGCCGACGUCAAAGCCAUCGAAAACCAGAUGUCCGUGGCAGUCCAAGCUAUGGAAGCAACCGCCGCAGCCGUCCAGAAGAUCACCAAUGAAGAACUUCAUUACCAGCUUCUCGAGCUCGUCCAAGGGUAAGCUUUCAGCUAACCUGGUAUCGAGUUUAAACUUCUUCCUCUUGCGCGUACAGGCUUGCCGAUAUGUGGAAAAGCAUCCAAGGCUGCCAUGAACGCCAGAGAGCCGCCGUUCUUGAUUUGAGGCUGCCUCGAGGAGCAGCAGCAAUGGAGAUCAAUCCCGGCCAGAGGAAGACGGCACAAAAGCUUCAGCUGGCGCUUCUGUCUUGGAGUUUCUCGCUCAACGAGUUGAUCAUCAAGGAGAAGGAGUACAUAAGCAGCAUAAUGCAGUGGCUCAAGGCAAGCAUCUCCAAACUCAACAAGCUCCACAGUCUGUCACGCAAGAAAUCACGGGUAAUGCACUUGGCCAUCCCAGAGAUCUACUUCUUGUGCCAGGAAUGGGAGAAGUCCUUGAACGACCUGUCUAAGGAGAGCUCCGGACAAGCGAUACGAAAGUUAACAAUGGCAGCAAGCAAGAUAGAGUGGUAUCAGAUGGAACAAAUCAAGGCCCAGAAGCGAGUAUAUGGUCUAGUGAAGGAUCUGGACAAGAAGGUGGCAGGCGUAAGAAACAUGGAGAAGAAAGCUCUUGGUGGUAGAAAGGAUGCGCCAGGCAAUCUUGCUGAGAAACGAGCUUCCUUGGAGCUUUUCCGGCAGCAAGUGGAUCAAGAGAAGAAGAAACUCGCAGAGCUCAACUCAUCGAGAGCUUCGUUCACGCUGGGCAGUAUCGAGAGUUGCUUGCCGGAGCUGUUUGGAAGUGCGAGCUCCUCGGCAAAAGUUUUGGUGAAGACACACCAGGAGCUUCAUGGCCGAGCCAAGAAUGGCUUAAAGCAGAGCAUUGUCAAGUAACAGGUCUUGCAACAUCGCCAAGAGAUGAAGAUGCAUCACUGGGAUCUAGCAAAGUAUAUGAUCUAAAAAUCUAGAGGGAGAGCAUAUACAGUGGAGCUGGCAAAGCACUAGUGGCUUUUCUAGAGCGGCUUUUUUAGAUUUUUGUUUGACUGCUAUUGAUCUAAUGACUUGUAAUAUAUGGGCUUGAAAAUGAAAACCAUGGUGGAGGCUUUUUCAGGUUCACUGAGUUUCUCAGAUGACAAAACAGUGGCCUUGUUCCAGAUCGCUUGGAAGGAAAAACCACAGGCUUACGGAAUUGUAACCCACGUCAAGAUUAAAGGUGACGAGAUUUGCAUGAAUUUAAAAGUAGAAACAAAAUAUUAGAUUAUAUCAGAGCCACAUCUGGCCAUCUAUAAAGCUUAGAGAACUGAAUGCUUUAGCGUCCUCCUCCGUAAUGGUUGUAGUCCAAUUUACACGUUUCGAAGUAGAAGAACCUGGACCAUAGUUUUGAUACUCGGCAAAGAAAGCAGUGCUGGAACAAAGCAAAAGUAAAUAAACAUGAUUGCUUUGUGACAUUUUACCUAUUAGAUGAGCCAUGGACAUCGUUCCAGUGAGCCCAACCAAUGGGAUCCACCACACUCUCCAUAUAACAAUUGAUAAAAACCACGAAUGCUUCAUUUCCCCAAGGUCGGCCUAGUAUGAUCUUUCCUGUCCCUCCAAUAUAGCAAUUGUGGAAGGAGUAUCCAGAAGGGAAAUCAGUGGUAGAGGAUCUUCCUUGUGCUGUCAAAGAGCCACUCGUUGUAGCGUUGGAAUUUGAGAUGAGAUUACAUUUCUAUAGUGCAAAGAAACAGAAUGAGAAAUUUAAAGAAAAAAUAUUGUUUACCUCGUAAAGUGACCUUCCAGAACCAAAGAUGUAGUCUAUGUUUCCCUCUAUAUAUGUGUUCUGAAAAAAAUGCCUACCCUCGUCAUCGAAAAGAGUAUCCUGACUAGAGAGAAUAAAGCAGUUAGAAAUCCUUGCAAAAUCACCAGAUAAUUUCAAAGCAACUGCUUGCUUAUUUAUAUCUCCUGGAUUUGCGAAUGGUGCAUCAUUCUAAGAAAAAAUUAAAAAAUUGUUAUAUUUGUAAUAGUUAUAAAACUAUAAUAAUAAAAAUUUACCUGAAAAGUGAUAUAUUCAGCAAUAAAAUAGUUUGAAAGAACAUCAAAAGUUGCACUUUUACCAGUACCAUUAACCGAACCAUGGUUUGCAUUAUAAACUAUCACCGUAUCAAAUAUAUUUUGUGUUACACCCGCCAAAUGGAUAAAAUCUUUAAAUUUUGGUAUAGUAAUUUUCUCUCUGCAUUUUUAUUUUCAUAUAUAGAAUUAUAAGAAAUCAACUGUAUAAAUAAUAAAAUUACCUAUAAAUUCCUGGUCCAAUCAAAAUCAAAUAUCGUUGUGACGAAUUAUAUGUAAUCCAAUCAAUUGCAGCACUAACAGUAUUAAAAUUAAUAUCACCAGCUCUUGGAUGAGCAUUUGGAUCAUCCACUGAAUAAACAUGAAGCACAACUGAAUUUGCAUCAGCAUUUAACAAUGAUUGAUGUCUUCCUUCAUAUUGUUUGCUUUUGAAUGCCUGAUGGUUUCCCUCAACAACAUAUGAAACAAAACCUAAACAAAAAGCAGCAAAAGCGAUUGCAACAAGCUUCACCAUUCUACUAAUCUGAAUGCAUUUUACAAAAUUGGUUUCCUGUUUAUAUAACAAUACUAUUUGAUAUUUUUAAUGUUAAGAGUAACAAGAUGGUUUUAUUUCUAUAUUUAUGUUUAUAUUUAUAACUCUUUUCUGGAUGAAAACAUCAAUUAACACCAGAAUUAACUCUUGCACAACCAUUUCUGACCAUUUCUUGCAUCACAAUUAAAAUACAGAGCUUCAGAGAUUAUAGUUUUAUAACUGCAAGCUUAUCUACAGUUUUAAUUUCUAUUUGCCCAAGAAAUCCCUCAUGGGAUCAUCAAAGUGGACCUUCUUCAUCUUGUACGCCUCCAUAUCCUCGGCCGUCACCUCGUCGCUGUAAGUCACAUUAUACUUCCUCUUGCGCUCGUCCUUCUCCUCGCGCAGCCGCUCGUCCUCCCUCUUGAGCGCCUCCUUGAGCUUCUUCCUGUCAAGCACAACGUCCUCCGCGACCUCUCCCCCCCAGCUCGCCAAGUUCUUCUCCUCAAUCACCGGAGCUUUCUCCUGGACGGCCUCCUUCAUCUCCAUAUUCGCUCGCAUCAGCUCCGCCGACGCCUCCGCCGCGUCGAUCCCCGCCUGGCCGGUGCAGUAGCUGUUCCUGAUGAACUGCCGGCAGCACUUGUAUCCCCACUGGUGAUCCCUCCAGAAGGACCCCCACACCGUGGUGUGGUUGUUUAUGAACACGUCCUCCUCGUACUUGCUCUUCGGGACAGCCUUCUCCUGCCCCUUGAUCAUCCGCCCCGCUCGAUCGUACUCCACCUGUCUCUCCGUCUGUCCGAGCAGGAGCUCCGCCGGGAGCUUGUCCGUGGCCGCGGCAUUCCCAUACUUCUCCAUUAUGUCCUCCUUGAGCUGCCCCUUGAGCUUCUCCUUCUUGACUUUGAAGUCCCGGUGGAGCAGCUCCGCCUGCGAUGGAGCCGCCUGGAGAUGGAUGUCCUGCCCCUUCUCGUAAGCCUCCCACGCGUGGAUGUUGAGCUGCUUGAAGUCCUGCGCCUGGCCGCUGGCCCGGUUCUGGUUGUCGCCCAUGUAGAACUUCUCGUUUGGAUCGCUGUCCGGAAGGGGAUCCUCUCGCAUCGACCGCGUCUUGGGAUCGUAGUAGGCCGAGUUCACGUCCAAGUUGAGGAGAUACUUGGCAACGUCCUCCCUGAUACGCAGGUUUCUCACAGUUCCAGUGCUGCCUCCUCCGGUGGUGCGCACUCGCUUCUCCACCUUUGCGAAGUCCAUCUGCUUGCUCUCGUCCACCUUGGCCUCGUCCACCUCCGCCUCCUCGUCGCUGUCCGACUCGUCGCUGUCGCCAACUUUCUCUUUCUCAUCCGGAUUGUUUUGCUUCUGCUCCAGCUUCUUGAGCUGCUGCUCCUUCUGGUACUUGUUGCGCGCCUCGUCCUUCUGCUCCCAGUAGUUUAUCACCAUCGAGAACGUCUGCGGGUCGUAGCCGUUCCAGCGAUCCCUCUUCCCAUCGUAGUCCAGCUCGAAAGACUCCACUUUCUCGUCCGGGGCGAUGUGUAAGUUGGACCACUUCGCCUGGAUCUUCCGGGGCCUGUCCAUGCAGCUCUUGACAUCGUGCGUUAUCGCACCGCAGUUCUGGCAAGCCCCCUUUCGGAAUUUGGUGGCCUGGAAGACCUUUGCUCCGCGCUCGUACCAGGCCUUGGUGUAGUUAGGGUCGGAUUUCCACUUACGCUGAUGCUUGAGACUGGGGCGCUCCGCGUUGAGGUACCACGGCGCCGAGGACAUGUACUGCGGGAUGUGGGGAUUGAUCUCCUUCCCAUCUUCGUCUACCUCUGCCGGAGCUAGCCCUGCCUUGCGCGCCUCCUCCAGCUCCAUCUGCUUGCGGUGAUCCUCGCGGGAUUUGAAGGCCACGGACGCGGUCGCCAUGGUGCAAGAUCGCGCUCUCGCCGAGGAGCCCUAGAAUUGAGAAACCCUAGAAAUGGGGGGACAAAUGUUUUGCCCUUUCGCUAAAGCAUAAGCCCUAAAGGAAUAUGCUUGCGCUGGCGAGGCGAUGGCGCUCGGCGAAGGCGCCGAUCUGGCCAGCUCCUUGCACGCGCUGUAAGUGCAUUUCUCUUGAGCUGGAAUCGCAAAUUUUUCUUUUUCUCAUCAUGGCUUCUCUCUUUGGCAGGGAAUUUCUCAUCGGCUGCGUCACAGGUCGCCGAAGAUGUGCCAGUGCCACAAACAUUCGAGGAAGCUAUUGGAGACAAACCUCUCCUCGUAAGAUCUUCCUCUCCUUUCUUGUUUCAUGAGGAGCAUUUCUUCUUUCGUUUUGCUUCUAGACGAUCGAUUUUAAAAAUGCUGUCUCGUCUUCCAGGUUCGCGAUUACAUCAGGCAGGCCUUGUAUCAUCCCAAGUUUGGAUACUUCUCGUCCAGGCCGGAUGUUGUUGGAUCUAUGCGUGAGCCUCUUGACUUCAGUGGGAUAAGCGGUGGUGUUUUUUUUUUCUCGAGUUCUUCUUUCUCUAGGAAAACCUUUCGUGACUAAUUUCCGUCCUUUUCUCCAGGACGUUUCGCGUACAGGAAGCAUAUAGCCGAGCUCUACAAGCAGAAUGAUAUGUCGUGGUUUACUCCAGUGGAACUCUUCCAGGUAAAACAAUCGAAGUAUCUGCAUGACCUUUCUCAUCGUUUCCUGUGUUUCUUUUAGCCGUGGUAUGGAUUUGCUGUCGCGGAGUACAUUCUCCAAACCAUGAAUCCGCAAUUUCCCCUGAAAGUAGGAAAGCUUGAAAAGAGAAAAAGCGCGAGAUAUCUGACAAGCUUGUUUUGUAGAUUUACGAGAUUGGAGGUGGAACAGGCACUUGCGCGAGCAACGUCCUGGGCUACAUCAGGGAGAGGCAAGGCGACGUCUACAACACGAUGCAUUACACGUAAGUGUUGUGGCAGUGACCUUUGCAAGUUACUGUGCUGAUUUCCAUGGAUUUAGAUAGUUCCGUAGAUGUCAGCGAGGGCCUGGCGAACAAACAGCGUCACCGUUUAUGCGAAGAGGAGGAGCACGGUGACAAGUUCUCGGUGGAAUGCCGCAAUGCACGCGAUAAAUCUGGAUGGGGUCUGGAAAGCUUUUGUUUUUACUUGCUUUUUAAUAUCUUCUUUACAGGUGAGCAGGACGAGUCGCCUUGUUACGUCGUCAUGCUUGAGGUGGAGCAUCUUUGCCAGUAUGACCCUCUCUUUCUUGCUUACAAAUCUUAUUCUCGAAAUCCCGGUUAUGUCUGCUUCAGUUUGCUACUCGUGUUUUCAUGGUUAACCCAGAGUUCUCCUGUACAGGUUUUAGACAACAUGCCUCAUGAUCUCCUGUUCAGGGAGAGCUCCAAAUCACCUUGGAUGGAAACUUACGUCCAGUAUGAUUCUAGCGAGUAAGUUAUUAUCCUUUCUUCCUUUCUUCGCUGAUCAGCAUUUCCUCUAGAUCGAGAUUUGUCGAGCAUCACAGACCCGUAGAAGACUCGCUGGUUUCUCGCUGCCUUGAGAUUCUUGGCAAGGAACGGGAUGGCGAUAGUGUCGACGUCGUUCGCAAGCUAACUAAGUCAGUGAAGUCGAUUUUCUCCAGGGUUCUUCCAUCGCCUGAAAAGUGGUGGAUACCGACUGGAUGCAUGGUAAUGAGCUCCUUUUCUUGAUGGUUUCUCCUUAUCAGCUUCUCGUCUCUGGCAGGAACUCCUAGAGUCUCUUCAUUACGCACGCCCCAAUAUGGUGAUGGUGGUGUCGGACUUUAGCUUCCUUCCUGAAGUAAAAAUUCCUGGACGUGGAGCUCCAUUGGUUUCAAGCAAAGUAGGAGUCAUUGGUUUUCAAUUUUCGAUUUUUGACCUUCGUUUUGUAGAAAGAUGGUGUAACCACGGACUACUCGUCUUAUCUCGAUGCAAAGGUUUGGAAAGAAUAAAAUGUUUUUUUUCUUAAGGAGAGCUUGAAUUCAACCACAGGGAGAAGCGGACAUAUUUUUCCCUACGGACUUUGAUCAGCUUCUCAUUCUCGACAACGAGUGCGCUAUAUCGCAAUCGGAAGGAAAGAUUGUUCCCAACAAAUUUGGAGUCUACCGCGGGAGCGCAAUCGUAAGUGACAACGUUGCGUCAAUGCGAUUUCUAACUGUUCUUGCAUUUCCAUCAGAUGAGUUCCAGCAACUUCAUGAGCCGCUUUGCGUACGUGAACCAAGUCAAGACCAAGAGUGGCUUUAAUCCGUUGCUGGACGAAUACAGCAACACAAAAGUCUACCUGAGUGCUCCGGUUCUUAAAGGAUAGAGUGUGUCGAUUUGCCAAACAGUUUUUCUCUUUUUCCAUUGACAAUCGCUCACGCUGAGGCUUUAGCUUUACUCGAUUGCAAGCGUUGCUGCAACUUUAGAACCUGGAAGACGAGAGAAAAAAAAAGGAGUUUGAUUGGAAAAGAAAACGAGAAGAACAAAGAUUUUGCAAUGCUCUACCUCUUCUCUUUUGGAGCCUUGUUGAUCCUCUAGGCUUUUCAAUGAUCCGUCAAGUCUCCUCCUAUGAGGAAAAGAAAAGAGAAAAGAAAAAGUGAGAAGAAAGCUCCGAGCUAUGGAGGAUGUGCUUGGACUGACAGUUCUCCUGUGAUAUACUCGAUGCGCUUGUUCACGUUGGCCUUGGCUUCCACCAGGUCUUGCUUCACGAGCACUGGUCCAAUGAGCUUAAACACAUUGGCGUCCUCUUUGAGAAGCUCUAGUUCCUGGGAAGCAUGAUUCACGAGAAGAAACUUUCAAGUUCUAGAAGAGAAAUGCGAUUCCUAGGCACGGACCUUGAUCACCAUCUCAUUCUCCCCUUGCUGGAUCGUGUACUGCCGCCUCACUUGGUGAUUCUUGCUAAUGUCUGUAUCGCCCGAUCGGUCUUGUUAGAGCUGGAAUCCCUGCAACAAUCGCGAUCGCGAUCGCCAUACCUUUCUGGAUCUUGUUGAGCUCCGACGCUCGCAAUUCCAGCUGCCGCUGGAGCUCCUUCACCGCGGCCGCCAUGCGAUUCUCUUCUCCAAGAACUCUGGAGCCCUAAAAUAUGUUCCCAGGAUUUUAGGGUUCUUGGAUCUCUUCUCUGGGCUGGAGUGCAGCGCUUCAAUCCGGCUCGACGCGGAUUCCAUGACCGCAUUAUAGGUAAGCGCGCUCCAGAUCUUCUCUCCCGGCGCCAAGAAGAAUGGCAUUGCCGCCUUCCGGGAGCCUCUGGACUGCGACGAGCAGCGUCUUCGCGUGGCAAAUCCAGCAACAAACGGAAUUCUGCGCGGAAUUUCACGACUGGUAGCAGCAGCAAAGAUCCCUCUUCUUCUCCGAUCGAUCGAUCAGGGAAGAAGAAUCAAGAACAAGAAAAUAUUUUCUCUCGGCCCAAUGGAGGAGGUGCUGCGCGCGCCGUCCUUCCUCAUUGACGACGGGCUGUGGAACAAGCUCAACACGGAGCUCCGCGCGGCGUGUCACUGGUGCACGCACCACCACACCACCACUCCAGCCGAGGCGGCCAAGCAGCUGGAGCGUGGUGAGGGCUGGCCUCGCGACUGGAUCUCCAGGAAGGUGAAGAACUCCACCCGGCAAUUCGGCGGCCUCUUCAUCUGCCCGGCGCCCGACUGCUCGGGCCACUCCAACACCAAGGGGGAGCGCCGGAGGCGGUGGUUUUGCCGGUUUUGCAUCAAUCGCCACCUCAACGUGGAUCUCAAGAGCUUCUUCCAGCUUGACGAGAUCCAGGGGAAGUGGAUCCAGAUACCAAAUCUCUACUGCUGGCACUGCCGAGCCAAGACCGGGGAGGCGAUGUGCGUGAAUUGUCCACAGAAGAACGCCAAGAGGCCCAAGCGCGCGAGGGACUCGUCCGCCACCACUGCUCUUGGGCUGCCCCGGACCUUGCUCGCGUCUCCACAGCUCGGGAAUGGGAUGGCCAUGCUCGGAGGAUCCGGGGACGUGCACUACGAUGGAGUGAAUGGUGAUGCCAAGCAGCCGGAAGGUGUCGAUGUGGAUGAAAGUAGCUUCCAGGCCGAGGUUCACCCAAACUUGGCGCUCUCGCAGCCGACUCCCACCAUGGCCGAUCUUCGCUUCUUGGCUGGCGCUGGGCCGAGCCAUCAGAGAGGUUUUUUUCCGGAAAAGGCAGGUAUUGUUUCGCGACUGGAUCUUGUUUCUUACUCACCUUGUUUUUUUUUUCUCCAGGCUCUCCUUGGUCGCGACGCGUUAUCAGUUGUUCCAAAUCUCAUAGAGUUCUUGAACAACUCUACGACACCUUUUCAUGCCACUUGUGAGAGCACCAUCUGGUGACUUCGUGUAAGUUCUCUCCCGGUACUGAUGCGGGGUUUUACUUAUAUCAGUGGAGGCAAGGAGGCAUUUGCUGGAAUCAGGCUUCCAGCAGCUGAACGAGUGUGAAGAGUGGGAGUUACAGCCAGGUGGUCGCUAUUUCUUCACGCGAAAUAUGUCCUCGAUAUUUGCUUUCGCCAUUGGUCGGAAGUACGCAUCUUCUUCUCAUCUUUGUUCCUUUUCCAUUUACUAAUGCAUGGCUUGAUGUCAAUGUGCAGGUAUAAACCCGGUGGUGGCUUUCAUGUAUUGGCUGCUCAUACAGAUAGUCCCUGUCCAAAGCUUAAACCAGUAUCUGCGGCUACUAAAGGUGGUUUUCUACGUGUUAGAGUCCAAGCUUAUGGGACUGGACUAUGGAAUACCUGGUUUGACAGGGAUUUAAGUGUCGCCGGGCGGGUUUUACGUAGAACAAAAAAUGGAGAGCUUAUUCAUGAUCUUGUUCGUGUUCGAAGGCCAAUAUUGCGGAUCCCGAGUUUGGCGUUUCAUAUGGACAGGUCUGUCUCGCCUUUCUUGACACUCUUGCUCAAACUAUUUUCUCUACAGGUCAGACAGUAUGAAGCAAGAUUUGGAGUCCCAACUAGCUCCAGUCCUUGCUACUCAAAUUGAAGCAGAACUGGCUGUUUCUUGUGACUCGGAGUCGCCGGGUGAACAUGAAGGAAACCAAAGCAACGACGUCCACCACCCUCUUCUUUUGCAGGUAACUCUUUGCCCUGGCAUUCAGCCAGUCACACUUUUUCAGGUGCUCGCAGACGAGCUUCACUGCGAUGUCAGUGAAAUCGCGGAUUUUGAGCUGAGCAUUUACGACACUCAGCCUGCAUGCAUCGGAGGUGCUCGUCAAGAGUUUGUGUUUUCGGGAAGGCUGGACAACCUGGCGUCGGCGUUCUGCGCUCUCUGGGCUCUGCUGGAUACGUCUUCUGAACCGCUGUCGAUGCUGGAUGAGGAUUACAUCCGCAUGGUUGCACUUUUCGACAAUGGAGAGGUAUUGUUUUUGUAAUUUGUUUUUUCGAACUUUGACUUUACAUGGGAGAUUUCAGGUUGGAUCAGAAGCCGUUCAAGGAGCUGGUCCACAGACCAUGUUCCAGGCCAUGAUGAGGAUAUCACGAUGGCUGGCUCGCGGUUCUACAAGCGAAGGCGUUGUAGAGCGAGCAAUCCGACGCUCGUUUGUUGGUACGCAUCAUACAGAGUCUGAGGAAGGAUUGUGUUUAACUUUUUGUUCUUUUCUUUUCCUUGUGUUGUGUGGCAGUAUCUGCAGACAUGGCUCAUGCUUUGCAUCCCAACAAUGCCGAGAAUGAUGUGGAGCACAACCAGCCAAAACUCCACGACGGUCUCGUAAUCAAACACAAUGUAACACAGAACAAUGCGACAGACGCGAUCUCUGCGUUUCUGUUCAAGGAGGUCGCCAAGCGGAAUUGUAUUCCGACACAGGUCAGCCUCGACUCGUCCACGCUCUGUGUCUCUCAUUUUUAACGCUUUCUCUUGCGCGCAGAACUAUUCCGUGGUCAGUGACGUUGGAUGCUGCUCGACCAUCGAUUCAGUGCUGGCGGCAGGAUAUGGCAUCCGUUUGGUGGAUUGCGGUCUUCCACAGCUCGCGAUGCACAGGUUUGCUCCAUGAUUGGGAAUUAUAUCUUUCGCGCUGGCUGACUCUCUGGGGGCUUUGCAGCGUGCGAGAGAUGUGCGGCACGGAAGAUAUUGACGCCGCCUUCCGCCACUUCCGAGCUUUCUUCCAAGAGAUCGCUUCUCUCGACGAUCAGCUCCGAGUGGACGCCUGAGAAAUAGCCGGCGAGACGUACCAACGUGGGACGCCAUCAUCAUUCUCAGCUUCUUGAGAGGUAAAAAAAAACUCUUCCUCUCUCCGAAACUCCGAGCGUUUCUCUUUUUUUUUCUUUCUCGUCUUUCGUCUUUCGUCUCUCUUUUUCUCACCAUAGUCGUCUUUCUCUCCACAUAAGCUGUGUACUACUGAUAAGCGUCACAGGUAUGACAUAAGCAUGGCCGUUAGCUAUGCGCUUGUCAUGUCCUUACACGAUUCUUUUCCUCUCUUUUUGCUCUCACUCCGGCCUGGCGUCCUUGUGAUUCUUCCGUAUGUCUACUCCUGACGCAAGACUGGACGACAAAGUGUAACGCGCAGAGACGCGACGCGAGCAUUCGUCCAGCCUCUGUCGCAAGGACUCGUCCAAGCUAAGCAUCUCGAGCUUGCUACAGGGAUAACCGCGCAAGAGAGAGAGAGAGAGAGAGAGAGAGACCCCGUUCAAAGCUAGAUCGAGAGAGUGACUUCCAAGAGAGAAACGAAACAACCAACUAUGGGGAAUUGUUGUCGAUCAUGGAAUCUUGAGCUCCAUGUCUCUAGACUAUUGCAUCACAAGCCAAGUUUAAUCGAAUUUAUUUUGCUAGUAGACCCCUCUCUGGCUGGAUGGAGGAUGGAAGAUGGAAACGAUGGAAGUUGGAGCUUCAACAUCAAACACACUGGACAGUUCCUCCUUGUACAAACAAACAACAAACCCCUUCAAAGUUGCGUAUGUGAAAUGAUGCGUGCACGCCAUGCAUGGCAUCAUCAGCAGCCCAUGAUGCCAUCUCAAAGGCGUGGGGUCUCUUCACUCUCUUUUCUCCUCCAUUUUAGCACCACACCACACAAUCUAAAAGCUAUGCUGCCAUUCAUUCUUUCGCCCAUGCCCAUGCCCACCACCUUUUCUCUCUCUCGUACGGUACUGGGGGCAUCUUGUCGCAUAUACCCCCACGCGGACGGUGCACGCUUUUAUAAUUUCACCAUGGCCCACGUUGGCUCCAGUUAUUAUAUGCGCGAAUGCAAACAAACAAUUAAGCUUCUCCAGCUUUGAUCAAUCUAUGUGUAUUCUAGAACAUCCUAUUCUUCUUGUAGCAUCUUCGCGACGAAUCUCCUGCUCGCCCCCGCAAUUGCCUUGCUUGUAAUCAAAGGGGCCGGUGUUUACAUCAAUCGCUUGGAUCUGUCAUGCUCAGCCGACACAUUUUUCUUCUUCUUCUUCUUCUUCUUUUUCGCGAGCUUGUCAUCGAGAACUCCAGAGAGGAAUAAGCCCACACUACUUAUAGAUGGAAUAAUCCACCUUCGAGUAGUGUGUGCCAAUCCUUCCUUUCGUCUCGUCUCUGUCAACGUCGCGCUGGAGCGGAAAAACUAUAUGCACAAGAGAGAAUGAUCGUCGAGAGUGAUUAUCUACGCAACGAAAGAGAGAGAGAGAGGAAAAGAAAAUGCUGCUUACCCGGUUAAAUAGCUCGCGGAUCAAUCAAUCAGCAAAGAGAUGAUCGCCUUUAAUGGAGUAUGUAUAUAAAUCCGGUGGUCUCGUGUUCUUCCUUUAGGCAUUUUUCCUGGCACUCGGGUAAUAUCCCCCUCCUCCCCCAGCUCUCCACGAAUCAACCCAUUCCUCCUCCAUGCUCUUUCUCUCUGACUCGAGCCUUGCUAGAUUCAAUGCCGCUGCUGCUGCUGCUGUCCGUUUGCGUCAUUUAAUCUUCUGCGAGAAGACAGAAGACGAAUAUUAAAAAAGUAUCGUCGAUCGCGAGCAAGCAAUUCUUUCUCUCCCAGUCUCCCAAAGUACGAAAGACUCGAACAAUUCAUAGUAGAAUUCAUCACUCCACCUCUUCCCUCUCUUCUAGUUCUUCCCCUCUAUCUAGCCAUGGGAAGGCAGCCAUGCUGUGAGAAAGUAGGACUUAAAAAGGGGCCAUGGACUGCAGAGGAGGACAGGAAGCUCAUACACUACAUCACCAGCCAUGGGCACGGAUGCUGGCGUGCAGUUCCUAAGCUAGCUGGUAAGCAAAGAAGGCAUUGCCAAGAGAAAAAGGAACAAAACCUUACCUCUUUGUAGUUGAAUUGAUCGAUCUCUCAUCUCUCACUCGACGAAAUUCGCAGGACUCCUACGCUGCGGAAAGAGCUGCCGCUUGCGGUGGACGAAUUAUCUCCGCCCCGAUCUCAAACGCGGUGUUCUCACGGAGCAAGAGGAGCAGAUGAUCAUCGAUCUGCACGCUGUCAUGGGAAACAGGUACCAUCUAUCAGGAGAAAUCCAAAAACGAGCUUUGGAAAGCAUAGUCACCGGUUGGCAUGAAAUUUUGUGUCUCAGGUGGUCUCGCAUUGCGGCACAGCUCCCCGGCCGGACGGACAACGAGAUCAAAAACUACUGGAACACCAGGAUCAAGAAGAAGCUCCGGCAGAUGGGGAUCGAUCCAAUGACUCAUCAGGCCAUCAGCAGCAGCACCGCCAGCGGCCUGAGCUGCGUCACCGAGGAGGCGUCGCAGGCGGCGUCGCCAUCCUCGUCCACACCUGCGACCAUCCAAUUCACCAGCAGUCAGCAAGCGCAGGAGAACUUAGCGGAGACCAUGAUGAACCUGCUCGUCCAGGAGAUGCCAGGCGCUGACACCUCCGCUCACGAGUAUCUGGUCGUGCCACCCUCCUCGUCCGCUUCCUCUUCUUCUUCCUCCGGGAGUUCCUGGCAGCAACUGGCAAUGCUCAUGCCUCCCCCUCGCUUCCCGCAGCCAGAGGCCGCAGCACAGCUCCCGUGCUGUCUCCAAAAGCAGGAGACGGACUCCAGCGAGCAGCAGCAGCAGCAGCAGCAGCAAUCCACGAGUACGACUGUUGCAUGCGUGAAGCGGGAAGUGUCAUCGUCGCCGUCCCUGUGGGAGAUCAUCAACGGCCCCAGCAGCUUCCUCGACGACGAGUCGGCCUGCUCGCCGAGUUACUUCCAGCAAUGGAGCCACCCUGGUGCUGCUCAGCACCCCGUGACCGUUGCCAAUGCCUCCAGUUCACAUGAUCCCUGGCGUUCGCACCCAGCUUUUGUUGAAAGCCAGCACCAGCCUCAAGAGGAAGGCGUCCGCUACCCACACUCUUGCCAAGAGGAGCUCCAGAGGCUGGCUGCCAUCCUCGAUGACAUGUAAAACCGCUUCUAAUUCCACCACCACUUGAUUUAUUUUUUUUCUGUCUUUCUUUUCUCGUCCCCGCUGCACGGCUCAGUUCGAUGCUGUUUCUGUCCACAGUCGGUCGUCGAUUCUGUCACCAGGCGUCGUCUUACGCACACGCCCCUGACUUGAAAGUUUGAAUCUUCGACAGUGUACCCGUUGUACAAUAGUCCGUGACAGGAUCAUCUUGAAUAACGAAGCAGUAAAGCUCUCCCACCUGCGGUACAAAAAGUUCUGUUAUUUACUCGCCUGGAGAAUGGAGUUAACGAAAAACUUUGCUGCCAGCCUUGAAAAGAAAAGCGGUGAUAAAUACAAAUUCACAAGUACCCAGCUCGACAGCAUAAAAACCGGUACCUGAUAACGUGAGUAAAAUGCAUGCGCUGCGCCGUGUUAUGUGGACAUCAUGAGCUAAAAAGCUUCUUUCUUGCACUCGACUUGGAACCAGUUCAACAGCGCAGCGCUUAAAAACUCCUGCUCGUUUCCUGAACAUCACGUUGGCAGAGUCAAGCCAAAAAAAGUAGGAAAAAAAUUCACAGGAGCAAGUCUACUUGCGGGCUGCAAUGAAAAAAGAAAAAAAAAAUUUGCCGAAGUUACAAUCCAACCUGGUGUGUGUAAACAUGGUUAACGACUUCUUUUGGUAUAAUAGCUCAUCAGGCAGAGGCAAAGAAACAUUAAACUUGACGUAGGAUGCUUACCAAAUGGCGAGAAUCAUCUUUGACACAGAGUCAUGUCCCGCGGCCUGAAGCUCUUGCUUUUUAUGUUCACGCUGAGGCAAUGGCAACAGAAAACCAAGAGACAAACACCUGGAACAACAAAAUAGAAAAUUCAGUUCUGCAAAACAUUAGCUUUAAUCACUUCUGUUUUUCUUGUUCCAGGACGGGAUCAGCAAAAUUCCUGCUUAGCCUGUGAGAAAUGAAUUUUUGAUUUGACGAGCAAUCCACUGGCGAAUCCUCCUUUACAGUGGGGUCGCAGUGCGGAAGAAUCGAACUGUGAAAAGAAAUAAAACUCGUGCAUAGCAUGAAAAAAAAGGGGGAAGAAUUCUCAUUCUCACUUACAUGCAGGUAGAAUAAUAAUCAUAAGAUUUUUCCAGUUUCCUUACGAGCAUCAACUCGGCAACUAUUCACUUGAACGUGGUGAUAGCCUAAAGAAAAUACUUACAACAAUACUUACUUCGUCCUACUUCAUGUACCAGCAACCUCCAACUGGGUUCAAACGAAUCUCCAUUGCGACUGUUCCCCUGAAUCAAAACGAGAUCAAGAAAGAAAAUUUGCGACUAGAGCUUACAUGAUUCAGUCAAGAUCCUCUCUCGCUCCCAUCCCGAUCAUCCUCAAAGCCAGACACCAUGCAUUUCCGAAGAGACUGGAAACUUCUCCACUUCGUUCUGAGCUUGCGCCACAGCGAAUUGUCCUGCUCGAUCUGCUACACUCUCGACCGCCAAACCCUAGACAAGCCCUAAGCCACACAUUGGCGGGAAAGAGUUUAAAUGGGGAUUUUCGAUUCAAACAAAAGCGAAGAUCAUUUGAGAGGAGAAACGAAGUUUUUCUUUAGUUCGAUCAAGCAAGACGCUGGAAACACACACACAACACCCAACAAUCGCCUGAAGUUCACGAAAACAUUUACUGUGAACACAAGAACCUGGAAUCUCAUGUGGACAUCAUGAGCUGAAAAGCUUCGUUUUUGCACUCGUCUUGGAACUCGUAGCCCAAUUCUACGGCACAACGCUUGAACUCUUGCUCGUCUUCCGGAGGGACCUGGAUGCCGAUCAAAACGUUGGCCCCAACUUGGCCCUGCAAGGCGGCGCAGCGUCAAACCCACAAAAGCACGAGCAAAGCAAAGAUCAAGCUCACCUGCGCCCUGUAAUGGAAGAGACUGAUGUUCCAGCGUGGUGUAAACGUGUCCAGAAACUUUCUCAGCGCCCCGGGCCUCUCUGGAAAUAUAAAUCGGUACAAGAGCUCGUCCUUGAGAAUGGCACGGCCACCGAUCUACAAAACAAGAGGAGCUGUAUAGAAAGAUCACACCUGUGAAGAAGAUGCUUACCAAAUGCCGGAGAUGAUCCUUGACAAGGUCAUUCGAAGUCAUGUCAAUUACCAUAAGACCGGCCUCUUUCAAUCGCCGUUUCAAAGCCUGAAGCUCUUGCUCCUUGUGAACACCCACGCUGAGACAAUGCUUGUUAGUGGCAGCCGCGAGAUUGAGAGACAAAUACCUGCAGAGGACAAGGGCAGUUCGCGAAUCAGAAUAGCGAUAUCGAAACUCAGUGAUGUUCACAGGCCCGACCUGCAAAACGAUAUUAGCAUCAAUCAAACAUAGAAAAUUGAAAGACUCACUUCUUCAACGAGUCUCUUGAACGAUCCAGGUAUUUCCGCCAUGAUAAUCGCAAGAACAGCCUCCUUAGAAGCACCGACGUCGGCAAGCUCCGUUACAAUCCUUAGCCUGUCAAAGUUCAUGUUUGCACCACUAGUAACAGCAACCACUGCUUCCUUUUUCAAACCAUAGUAGUUACAGUACGCCUUGGCACCAGCAAUUGCCAAAGCUCCCGCAGGUUCUAGAAUGCUUCUCUUCUCUUCAAACAUGUCCUAAAAACCAAAGAUCCAUAUGUUUUCUUAGUUAGAGUUGGACUCGCAAGCAUGCGAUACAGCUUACCUUGAUAGCAGCACAAAUGGCAUCACGGCUCACAAGGACAAUGCCAUCCACGUAUUCCCUGCAAAGCCUGAAUGUCUCUUCUCCAACGAGCUUUACGGCGACACCAUCUGCAAAAAUCCCACAGUGAUCUAGCUGCACCCGAGUUCCGUGGUGGAGGGACAAUGCCAUGGCGUUGGCAUCCGUGGGCUCAACUCCAAUUAUUUGGACCUGGACAGAAAGCAAAAGUUAGAACACGAACAAAUAGUAGCUAAGACUGCAAAUCGACUUACUUCAGGUCUUAUGCGUUUCAUAUAGGCUGCUAUACCAGCUAUAAGUCCCCCUCCUCCAACUGGAACGAAAACUGCAUGGAGCGGCCCUUGGUGUUGCCUAACGAUCUCCAUGCCGACAGUUCCCUGUCCAGCAAUUAUCUCUGGAUUAUCGAAGGGUGGAAUAAAAAUCCGUCCUUCCUCCAGGCUCCGUUGCUUUGCAUACGCUUGAGCUUCAUCGUAUGAAUCACCGACGAGUACAACGGUGGCACCGAGACGCUUGACUGAUUGCCACUGCAACUCACAAUAACGCUGUUCGAUUAUCUCUGAAAACGAAAGGACCUUACCUUGAUUUCUGGUGUGGUGACAGGCAUCGCUAUGACUGCAUCGCAACCAAGCCUUUGAGCGGACAAUGCAACUCCUUGCGCGUGGUUUCCCGCGGAAGAGCAGAUCACUCCCUGGUCACGUUGCUCUUUUGUGAGCUGGACCAUCAUAUUGUACGCCCCCCGCAGCUUGAAAGAAAAAACCUGACGAUCCAAAGUGAGUCUACCAUGGAAAAGUUUUGCAAGAACUCUACCGGCUGGAGAUCCUCUCGCUUGAGCAAAACCUGGACACCCAGCUUUUCGCUCAGCUUCACCGCCGGCUCCAGUGGCGACUCGAUCGCCACAUCAUACACAUUGGCCGUCAAGAUCUUCGUCAAGUAGGCCAUGGAAUCCCUCUCGCUAGAUCCACCAAGCCUCGUCUUCUCCGAAAUCCCACCUACAAAUCCAGCUUCGUACUGCAGCGACUCCGCCGACGCCCUGAUCACCGCAUUGGAAUGCUCCUGCUCGAUCCGCGGCCAUGUAGCUACACUCCCAUUGCUGCUACGAUCCGCACAGCAAUUGAUCAGAAUCGCGCGCCCCCGCGCUGAUCGCGAAAUCCGACCGGACGGGCAGCGCGGCGCGAGCUGGAACGCCGGCGCCGUGGCCGCCAUAGCUACCUGCGAACCAAACCCUCGCUAGAAGAACCCUAGCCCAACCAAUGGCGCGAAAGAAGCUUUCAUUUAGAAAAGUAUUUACAAAGCUCUACCAUUUAAACAAAGGUCGAUGUGAGUGUUAAACUUCGCAUUGUCCUCCGGCUUGGUGGUGUCAAACGAAAACACUUGCGAGCAAAUUGGACAGAAAGUCGAUAGUGCCACUGUGACAAAACACAAGAACAAAGGAAGACCACGAAGAACAAGAUGAUCAAUCCAAGAAGAAAGAAUAGAACCAAUCGAGAACUUCAUACCUGGUGCUUUGCUCUCCACGGUCCUCCUCUCCCUCUCCAGCUGAGCCUUCUUCUUCCUCUCGCGAUCCCUCCUCCUCUCGUAGACUUUGAGCGGCGCCACUACCAGAGCUCGCGAGUGAUCUCCUGGCUCGGGAUCCAAGUCGAUCAAACUCGUCCCUGGAUCAUCUCUAUAGCCGUGUGACGGUUCCCCUCUCUCCAUGCGUCCCUGGAAAACCACUAGACUCCCUGGCGAGACGAUCUCCCGGCUAGCUUCUAGUUUUAGAUCCACCAUCUCCAUGUCACCUUGGUAAACUUCCAGUUCUAGACCCCCUGAAGAGACCCUGUCCCUGCUGCCUUGAUAAGCUUCCAGUUCUAGACCCCCGGAAGAGAUCCUGUCUUGAUACACCGUCUCGUCGGCUAGAUUCGAAUUGCUUCGAGCAUGCAUUCCCGGAUCGACCAUCUCGUGUGUAGAUUGUUUACUCGAUCCGGUCUGGUGUAACUUCUCGGAUAUCCUUGCGUUUUCUAGCAGCCUCCUUUCUCGCCUCCUGUCGAUAAGACGCUCCUCCUCUUCUUCUGGUUCCGAGGCACACCAGUUUUUCCAGCCGAUUAUCACGUCAGGCAUCGGUUUUCCCGCGGUCUCAACAUUCUGAAGUAUUCUAGUGUCUUUAGGAACCAAGCUUGCUUUCCGGAGUUUUCCUUUCUUCUCCAGGCCCCGGCUUUUCCCGAAAAACGAAUCCAGUCGGGGAAUUUUGAAGCUUACGUGUUUAUCAACGCUGUUAUUCGUGCGUUUGAAUGACUCCGUUGGUGGUUCCUUGACAUCUACACGAGAAAAAACAGGAAAUUAAACAUUCAUUCACAAGUUUAUAGAUACCUUUCGUGAGAAGAUCACUGCUUUCACCGCUUUUCUUCGUCUUGCUACAAUCAACGAAAGAAGUUUUAGAUUCUUACUUCACAGAAAAAAGAAGAGAGAAAAAGGAAAGAAAAAAAAAAUGCCUGACAUGACACGAGCGCUGACAGUAGCAUCCGGAAGAAAUUCUUGAACGUCCUCGCACUCUCGAGACUGCAAAUCGCAACAAUAGAAUUAGAAAACUUUCUGUGAAAGAUAAUGGUGUUCACUUCCGAGCAGCUCCCCUCCAAGAAAGAAUGUUGGAGACGAAUACCAUAGCCAUCCUCGGGCCUCUAAAAAACACAUUUUUUUAGCAGAGUCAAGCAAGAGAAAGAGACAAAGUAUCACCACCUCUUCAUCUUGAAGCUCAGAUUCUUUGAUCUGGUCCACUUUCAUCCUAAACAAAUCCCCGUGAUCACUGUAUCAAAGAAAAGAAAAAAGCGAGGAAUCACAAAGAGAAGCUAGAAGGCAGUGGCAACAUACUUGUGAUUCGCGUUCUCUUUAGUGACGAACAAAUGCGCGUGGAUCAUUUCGUGGAGCAGCGUCGAUUUCACCUCGCCCAAGCUUCGCGAUUUUAGAAUCGGCUCCGACAGCCGAAUCUGGCACCUUCCUGGACCGUAGAAGCACUCUCCAGCUUCGCUGGAACGAACCGAGACUUAGGGCUUAUGCUCGAGAAGAAGAAGGAAGGAAGACAAACCAUCGCACCUUGUUCUCCGGGAGCUCCAUUCGACGCUACACCCUGCAAGCUCGCUCGCGAAGUAGAGAUCAUUGUAGUAACCGAAGAGCCUGUGUACAUCCGGCCGCGAAUACGCAAUCCUCCCCGCUCCCAGCGCUUUGGCGCCCGAUCGCGGUGGCAAUCGCUGUGAUUUCUUCGUCAUCGCGUGGAAUCCAGCCCUGCGCGCAGACGCCCUACGCUACAUUCUUUCCCCGCAAGAGGAAAACCGAGCGCCAAAACCCACACACACAAAACACUCACAUCAAUGGCGUGUCCAGCCACAGCCGCCGGAUAUCUCAAACCACAGCCGUCAGAUCACCAAACGAAUACCACGAACGGGAAUGAGCCUUCAUUAAAAACUAUCCUUAGUAUCACCCGAUUUUUCGUUCUUCACGGAUUUCCUCGAGCUUAGCAUCGUUCUCUCGGCCUCUUUUUUUCGCUGGAUCUCGAGCUUUCUCUGCCUGGUGAGCUCGGCAGUGGCUUCCAGCGCUUGCUUCCUUCGUCUCUGCCGCCUUCGAUCGAUAUAUCUCUCCAUCGCGUUUGAAGGCUCCAGUUCCUCGAUAUCAGUCUCGUUCUCGUUCUCGCCAUCUCUGCUCGUCACUGUCCAUUCCACGGCCUCGAUCACGUCCGAGGAAACCACCUCGAUCGCGUUGUUGGUCCCGUUCUCCUCCGAUUCCGAGUCCUCGGUGCUGCAAAGCUCGUUGUCUCCCUUGGCGCAAGGAACCGUCUUGCCGUCCCAGAUUAUGGCAACCUUGUCCGAGUCAUUCGCCUCGCACUGCUCCUCCCAGGCACGCCUCACGAAACGAGGCAGCGGACGAGCUACGUCUUCGUUGGACUUUGAUGAAUCCAGCACCUCAAAGCGCGUCGCACCAACUUUCCUAGCGUUGCCAGCUAAAAUCUGGUGCAAAAAACAGUCCUCAAUGAAUUUUCUCCAGCAAUGCCCAUAGAAAACCAUACCUCGAGUUUGUAAGUUUGAAACUUUUCUUUUUUUUCUUCUUGGUUUUCUGUUUCCCCCUCUUGGUUUUCUUCCGGGUCUUGCUUUCCUAGAACCACUUUAAUGCUCUCUCCUGUUCGUGGAAUGUAGCCGAAUGCUUCACAGACGAAUCCAGAGACGGUUUCAUAGUGGUGCUCCUGGAGAAAACCACGUAAAAUUCUGUCACGCUGAACAAAAGAGUACUGACCUCCGGGAAUUUCACUUGCAAAGCCUCGGACAGAUCCUCGAUUGAUGUAUUAGCAUCAACAUCAAAUACACCUUCAGCUCUUUGGACUACAUAGCCCGUCUUUCGUCGUAUCUCUUCCUAUCGUCAUAAAAAGACCAUUUAUAAGCUUCAGAAAACAUCAGCAACAAGAACAAAGCAAAACCUUGGAAUCGUUUUCGUCAAAAAUUUCUCCAACAAUCUCCUCAACAACAUCUUCCAGUGUUACAAUCUGCAAUAGAAGUGUAUUAUACUCCCGAAAAGAACUACGAAGAUAUGAAACGUACCCCAACGGUGCCACCAUACUCGUUCAGCACAAUAGCCAUAUGUACUUUUCUAAUACGAAAUUCUCUCAGCAAAUUCCAUACGGACAUCGAAUCUGUAAUAAUCGUUUGCUCACAAAUACGCAUCGAAGCAAGAGCUUACCGGGAACAAAAUAAGCUGGCCUAUGAGCAACCCUUGCCACCGUGAUUUUCUGCAACAGCUCCGACUGCAUAUCGCUCGUAUUAGCAAUCGUAAGAUAAGUGUUGAAAGUACAAACCUGCUCUACAUAGUCAAGCAUAUCCAUAGCAUAAGCUAUUCCUACAAUGUUAUCAACACGACGUUCAAACACGGGAACCCUGUAAGCAAUCAGUUUCAGAACAUUAUCUCUGUUUCAAGGUGGAAGUACCUUGAGUACUGGUGCUUCACCCAGAAAUUUCGGAAUUCCAUCAAAGUCGCACCCCCGUCAAUGGCCACAACGUCGACUAAGGGAGUCAUUACCUCCCGAACGUAUGUAUCUUUAAUGUCCAAGACAUUUUCUAUCAUAUCCUGCAUAGUAAUUUUCAGUACUGUGUCCAAAGGCCAUGAUCUAAAUUAGACCUGUUCUUCCUCUUCAAUAGCACCGCUCAACUCUGCCCCUCGCAGCAUAAGUUUAAGCUCUUCCUCUGUAACAAACGGCUCGCUGCGAAAAGAAAAGAAAUUUUCAGUACAAAAACAGCACCUCGCACAGAUUAUCAAACUUACCCACUGCUUUUGAGGCCAAAAAAUUUCAGCAUCGCUGUGGAAAGAAUGGUGACUAUCCGUCCCACUGGAUACAGAACCACUGACAACCAUGCCACAGGACGGACCUACAAAUAAAACGAUGAAAGUCGAUUAUGUUUUUCUUCCACCAAAACUUACAAUCACUUACUACAAAACGGGCGACUUCAGUGGCAUUAUGCACCGCUAUACUCUUUGGAGCAAUCUCCGUAAGUAGUAGCACAACCACCUGCAAAGUUUUGAGUGUAUAUCAAAACCACGAACGAGUAAUGCUACCACACACCGUCAUAACUCCAGUGGCUGCAGUGACUCCGGCUUCACCGAAAAGAGCCGUGGCAGCAUCAGUCACGAGGGCCGUCGCAGCGAUGUUUGCGAUUCUAAAACGCACAUAACAAAUUUCAGUCGAGAGCAAAGAGAGAAGAAUUGAGAAAACUCACGUAGUGCCAAUCAAAAUGGUCGUGAGGAACCGCGUCACGUCCUGGCGCAGCAGCUGGAACACGCCUCCCUCACUCUCCUUCUCAGCCAAUUCCCUGACCUAUAGACAUCUUAACGAGGCCUCACCUAUUCAGUUUGAGAGUUAUACUGUGAGAGAGUAAAGAAAAGGAUGGCAUUACCUUCCAGGGCCACAGCGUCGUGAUCGCCGUCUCGGACAUGGAGAAGAACGCCGACAGUCCGAGGAGAACCGAUAGCAAAAGUCCUUGUUCCUUGAGCACGCCCAAAACUUGCAAGAUCUUGGGCCAGGCACCCUGUAGAAGAGCUCUCGAUUUUCCUGCCAGAUCCACCGCCGCGACUGCUCCAUAAGCUGGACUCGCCUUGCCGUUCCAUACCAUCCACAAGAUCCCGCUGCAUAGCAGGAAAGUUCUACCGUGACAAAACCACGCCUGGAGCUGGUCAAUCUGGACGUCCCUCUCUAGAGGCAGCGGCUGAGAACGAUUGGGAAUCCCUGUCCCUGGAUCGGCAGACGAAGAACAAGCUGUUGCCUGUAACCCUCCGCGCCCACGAUGGCUAUGGCAGCACUCACGGCUUCGCAGCUCCGCGACGAGCAGCUUCGCAUGGCGCAGACCCGGCCGGGCAGUUCUCCUCGCCGGCAAGAGCGCGUAAGUCCUGCUGCAAGAGAGCGUCGCUGUGGGAAGAACACCACCAGAUGCACACAUCCCGUCCCUGGCGCUGGCAAAAUAUGCGGCAAAAUCUCACCACGAGCGAUCCAGAGAGCUCAUCCUCGACGAAUCGAAGCUCCCAUCGCCCGCGAGCACAAGCGCAUUUCCCAGGAACCCUAAAAAGCCCUUGAGCAUAUUCGCACUAUCUUCUAGAGCAUAUUCUUUGAUCCUCGUGACCGUAAAGUUCACUUAUAUCUGUACGGACGAAGCUAUCAACUGGAGGAGAUGGUUGCCCGACUCGUUUAUCGUUUCCAAGCACGCCUCCCAGAACCAAAGAUCCACAGCCAACACUGACGAGAAGAGGAUGAGCGCUAGCGUUUCGUAUCGAUUGAGCGGCCAGUUUGUGAUCUUCGUAAGAGUUGCUAGAGAGAACACGUUGUCAUUCUUCUCGGAGCUUGAUCUUCUCGUCGUAGAUUGGAUCGACCAGGCAGUCUGCCACUUUAAUCUUUGUGGAAAGAAACCCAAGCUUCGCAGGCGAGAAUCCAUGUCGGGGAGAUGUCCACUGCCGUAGAAGAUGGCUAUCUUCUCGCAGCCUUCGGCUAUGGCAGCUUCCAGCUCCCUCAUCGCAACGCUGUUCCUUUCACCGAUUAUCACCGAGUCCUUGAGCAACGAGAACGCUCCUUCUGUUAAGCUGUUCCAGGAAAUCCUCUUUGUCAAGCGAAAAAACGAAAACGAGAACUUGUUCUCAAGCUUACUCGGUGGAUAGCUGCUUUGCGAGGAAGAGUUUUGUUGCCGCUGCAAGCUCCAAGUUGAACAAGGCCUUCAUUUCUGGAGAGCUUGACAGAGGUGCAUCUGGUGGAGCACAGACUCCCUCGAUCACGAAUAGUCCCAGCAGCGGCAUUGGAAAGACUCGAGAAGCCCACAAAAGCUUCCCUCGCCAUUGAUCCAAGUCGGUUCGCGCGAGAGCAGCUGCCGAGAGAGCAGCCGUCGAGAUCUUUGUCAUUUCAGUUGCAAAUCCAAAGAGGCUCUCUCCUUUCCUACGCUGGAAAAGAAAAAGGAAGGCCAAACUAGAGUUUAGUUCUCCAGGAAAUAAAAUUUUUAAGCACCUGGAGAUCUUGGAAAGUUUCAAAGUCGAGGUCUGCAUGGUACCAGUUAUCCUUUUGGUAGUCCAUGCAUUCCAGCUGAAAAUCCAAGCUGAGAACUUGAGCCAUGAGACGCUGGAUCGCGCCAACGAAACUAAAACUCCGAUUUUUCCUACUAUUCUUGCCUUGUGACUUGCGAUUUGGAGGCUUCCAUCUUCCACGGCCUUUCCAGUUCUUUCCUUUCUCCGCUACCAUCUCAUAUAGAACCGCGUCGUAAGCAUCCAAUUCAUUCUGGAGAGCACGAAAAUACCUGGAACGAAAAAAAUUGAGACCAAUGUCACUAGCGCUGCUAGAGUUCCAGCGCUUACUCUUUAUCAGCAAUGUGUACUGCUGCCACGAGAUCAAUCUGAAAAGUGAAUCAAAUUCACGAGAAAAAACUCAAGCAAUCGCUCUUACCUGGACUUGAGGCUGGAACAAUGACCACAUAUUCUUCUUGGGCGCAGCAUAGCUCACAAUCGCUGUCUGCAGCUCCGCGCCUUGAUCCCCCUUGUCCAAGAAGCGAGUGAAAUCGCUGAUGGAAUUCAGCCUCGCGGACGAAGAGCCGGGCAAUUCACCUGGCAACGCACCGCUCCAAUCGCCAUAGGCAAGCGCGGCGGCCACAUUGAUCCUCGCAAUCCUCCUCUUCCCUCCUCCAGCUCGGCGGCAUCGAUUCGUCGAUGAAGAGAAGACGGCGCACGGAGGAUAUUGCGUUACCGCCAUGCCUGGCAAAAUGCCAGGAGCCCUAGAAAAAUCUUGGCUCCGUACCAUAUUUGUACGAAAAGAAUCUAGAAAUGCGUCCUACUAAGAUUCCUGGAGAUAUUCUAUCCAAAGUUUGAAGGAAGUCAGUCACGCAAUUUAAUAGCACGAGAGAUAGUCAAGAAGUGUCCGUGAUUGUGAUCAAUAGAUGUGCUUUGGUCGAUUAUACUAUGGAGUUGGGGGUGGUAAAUAUUUGGAGCUUGACGUGAAAACGUCAGAGGGGAAAGUUUCACCUCGCCCGUCACGCCCGUCACGCGGAGUGUCGAUGAGUUAUCUCUUUUACCUUGUUCUUCUCCUCAUACACUGGAGCGUUUUCUUCGGUUUCACUCGCUCCAGCCAGCGCCUUAUAGCGCUUCGCUUCUCCAGGUCAGCUCUUUCGAUCCGGGCAAUCGAAAUUCGAUCACCGCGCGUCUCGAUCGGUGUUCUUGCCGUCGCUAGGGUCGGGCCGCGAAGAAUUCGGAGGAUUUCACUCGGAAUUCCAGCGCAUUGCGUAGGAUCUCGGAGUCGCCAGCAAUAUUUCGGCCAAUGCUUCCGCGAGAAAUCCCCUCACCGGCGUUGUAGCCGGCUCCUGUCCAUGACGCGGCGAUGCUAGAUUGCUGCUAGGAUGGGGAUCUGUUUCUCUGCUGAUAAAUCCGAGAAGGCGGAGAAGGAGAAGAACAAGAAGCACGGGGAUCACGCUGCUAAAGACCAAGUCAAGAACAAGGAGCAGCGCUCAAAGAACCAGUCGGCUCAUGUGGUUCCUCUUGGAAAGAGGACCAAUUUCGGGUAUGGGAGGGAUUUCCAGGCCAAGUACAAGCUCGGCAAGCUCCUGGGCCACGGGCAAUUCGGCUACACUUAUGCCGCUACAAAGAUUGGAUCAGGGGAGAAUGUCGCUGUGAAACGCAUCGAGAAGAAGAAGGUUUGAUCUAUCGAUUGGAAGUUUUUCUAUGCUCGUCUAGACCAAUGUUUCGUGUGGUUUUUCCAGAUGCUACUCCCAAUUUCUGUGGAGGAUGUUAGGCGGGAAGUGAGGAUCUUACAGCUUCUAAGUGGCCACGAGAACGUUGUACAGUUCUAUGCGUCAUUUGAGGAUGACGACUACGUCUACAUCGUUAUGGAGUGAGUUUAGAUCCGUCCUGGAAACAGGCUCUUGUGUGUCGAGGCUAAGAUUUGCUGAACAGGUUGUGCGAGGGUGGCGAGCUUUUGGAUCGGAUCUUGUCCAAGUAUGAUCGAUCUCUUAGAAACUUUGUGUUGUUCUAAGACACUGUGUGUAUUGUCAUCAGGAAAAAUGGCUGCUACUCGGAGAAAGAUGCCGCGGAGCUUGUGAGGCAAAUGCUCAAAGUCGUUGCUCGUUGCCACCUUCACGGCGUUGUUCACCGGGACUUGAAGCCAGAGGUACUGCAUCUCACGAAAGGUUUGUAGUGCUAAUGCUGUACCAGUUUGCAGAAUUUCUUGUUCAAAUCGCAGAGGGACAACACACCGCUCAAGGCAACAGAUUUUGGCUUGUCAGACUUUAUCAGACCCGGUAAUGUUGCUUGUACAGAGCCUUCGUUUGUGGUUGACAGCUCCGAACAUACAGGGAGGAGAUUCCAUGAUAUUGUUGGAAGCGCGUAUUACGUUGCCCCCGAAGUUCUCAAGAGGAAGUCUGGGCCGGAGUCCGACGUCUGGAGCAUCGGGGUUAUUACCUACAUUCUGUUAUGCGGCAAACGGCCGUUCUGGGAUAAGACAGAGGCUGGAAUAUUUAACGAGGUUCGUUUCGUGGGUAAACGUGUCGUCUGUAUAAUUCUUCUUACGUCGUCUUGUAAGUACAGGUGCUGAAGAAGAAACCGGAGUUUCGAAUUAAGCCUUGGCCGUCUAUAAGUGCCAAUGCCAAGGAUUUUGUGAAACGCUUGCUCGUGAAGGAUCCACGGGCGAGGCCGACUGCCGCUCAAGCACUAUGUAAGCAAGUGAAGUUUAGUUAUAGUUCACUCGUACCUUCUUUUUUUGUUCUCUUUUGCAGCUCAUCCAUGGGUCAGAGAGGGCGGGUGUGCACCUGAUUUCCCACUGGACAUCAUUGUUCUCUCUAACAUGAGAGAGUUUGUCAAGUUCAGUCGAUUAAAGCAAUUUGCUUUUCGGGUAAGUGUAUCAUGCUGUUUUGCAAUUUUCAUUCUGAUUUUUAUUGCCUAGGCUCUGGCUACAACCUUAGAACCGGAAGAAAUUCACAAUCUUCGUGACCAAUUCAACAUCAUUGACGUUGAUGGGAGUGGCACAAUCACUCUAGAAGAAAUACGACAGGUUAUAUCCGGCAUUUUCUAAUGUUGAGCUUGAGUUGUGUGCUGGUUAGCUAGGCACUCUUGAAGGACCGUCCAUGGACGCUGAAAGAAUCAAAAGUAUUAGAAAUCGUCCAAGCUGUAAGUUUACUACUUACGUUCAGGCGCAGCUAGAUUGACGAUGCAUGCCGGCAGAUGGACGCCAAUAUGGACGGAUUCAUAGACUUCGACGAGUUUGUUGCUGCCACGCUCCAUGUUCGUCAACUCGAGGAGCUGGAUUCUGAAAAGUGGCAGCUGCGGACAAAGUGCGCGUUUGACAAGUUCGACAAAGACGGUGACGGAUUCAUAUCUCCAGACGAGAUCAAAGAGGUAAGCGACAAGUAAAACCAUAUUAUUUCGAGUUUAGAAACUUUUCUCGCUGUGCAGUACACAGGGCUCAAAGGAUCGCUAGAUACACUGCUGGACGAAGCUGAUGCUGAUGGCGAUGGCCGGAUCAGCUUGCGUGAGUUCCAGAAGCUCUUGAGGCAAGCAAGCCUUGGCUCCCGCACCAAUCACCACCACAUCCAACCUCAUCUCAAGCAUCCCAAGCUUCUGGAGGUACUCUUGUUUUUUCACCCCUCAGUUUUUCCAUAUUUGUUGUCUCCAGAUGCACGCUCCGAGUCCUAAGAUAAGCGAAGAGUCAUCACAGUAAGAUAUUUGAUGGAAAACAAAGACUCUGACGAGGUAACGAGACAAACUAAACUAGACUAGGAGCUGAAAAGUUCAGAUUUGCGAAAAUAAAGAAAAGAAAAUCCCUAUUAAACUUGAUAAAAAGCUUUUGGAUUAAAACGUAGGAACAAGAACCAUCACAGCCACUCCAAUCCGUCUAUAAAAUCCGUGCUUGCGUAAAAUUCAGCAGCGUCUGGCUUUAUCGUUCUGGUCCAGUUUGCGCGUUUCAACGAAUGAGCACCGGGACCGUAAUUUUGAUACUCCGCAUAAAAGGCAGUGCUGUAAGAGAGCGAUAAAAAAAGUUAGCAAAGAGGUGUGAAGUUACUAUGAUUUACCUGUUGGAUGGGCCGUAAGUAUCAGUCCAGUGAGUCCAGCCAACAGGAUCUACCACAUCCUCCAUGUAACAAUUGCUAAAAACCACAAAUGCGUUGCUCCCCCAAGGUCGGCCCAGCGUCAUCUUUCCAGUCCCACCAAGAUAGCAAUUGUGGAAGGAGUACCCAGAAGUGAAAUUAGUGAGCGCGGCUUUUCCUUGUGCCGUCAAGGAUCCACUGGUUGUGGCAUUGACAUUCGAGAUGAGAUUACAUCUCUGUGCGAGGGGAGAAGAGAGUUGUGGUGUAGGAACUGAAAGACAAAAGUUUUCCUUACCUCGUAGAGUGACCUUCCAAGGCCAAAUAUGAAAUCGAUGUUCCCCUCGAUGUAUGUGUUCUUGAAGUAGUGCCUCCCACGAUCGUCGUAGAGGGUGUCCUGGCUUGACAGGAUGAAGCAAUCAGAAAUCUUUGCAAAAUCGCCACUUAAUUUCAAGGCCACGGCUUGCAUGUCAUGGGCUCCUGGAUUUGCGAAUGGUGCAUCGUUCUACCAAACACAUCAAAUCAAAAGUUAUAAAAGAGAAAACUAUAGGAAUGACUUACUUGGAAGGUGAUGUAUUGAGCAAUAAAAUAUCUAGAAAAUACUUCAAAAGUUGCACUUUUACCAGUUCCAUUAGCUGAUCCAUGAUUUGCAUUAUAAACAAUCACAGUAUCAAAUAUAUACUUGGUUUGGCCUUGCAAUGUGAUAUAAUCUUUAAAUUUUGGUAUUGUGAUCUUUUCACUGCAUUCCAGAAACAAAAAAAAUUCAGAAAACAGAAUAUAAUGAAAAAUAUUACGUACCGGUAGACACCUGGCUCAACCAAAAUCACAAAUCGAUUUGAUGCAUUAUAAGGAAUCCAAUCGAUUGCAGAGCUAAUAUUUUGGAAGGUAUAAGCACGCAAUGGAUUGGUAGCAUCAUAAGUAUAAUUUGGAUCAACAAAAAUAUAGAGUGGAUGAUUGUCAGCAUUUAUCACGGAUUGAUGCCUCUCGUCGCAGACAAUGCAUGGAACAAAGAUCAAAUUCAACACAAGAACAGUUGCAGCUAACUUAAACAUUUUGACUUUUGACAAAUAUUGAACUAUAUUUUCUGAUUUAUAUAAUACGACAAUAAGCCAUAUAUAAUUUGUAAUUUUUUACGGUUCACAAUAUUUUUAAUGCUACAGCAGCUAGAAAUAGUGUUUAAUGCUAGAUAUAUUAUUAAUGCGAACUAAAAUAUUAGUUCAAUUGAAAAAAUGAAAUAUAUAAAAUCUAUGGAGUCCAUGGAGGGGAGGGUGGUGGUGGAGCUGGAAACAUAGGAGGUAUCGCAGAAAAUAUCGUCAUUGCAUCAAUACCAGCGUCGUCUUUGCCAGAGAGUGCGAUCAAAGCUGCGACUAAACCCGCAUUUCCAGCGAUGGUCGGCUCCGUGAAGUUGUAAUUCCCUCUCUUGUCUUGGAACCUGUCCUUGGGAUCGGGGCCCCCGACUAGAGCGCCUUCGAUAACAUUGGGAUUGGGCUGCUUGCUAUCCCUCCACUUGAAUCCAGACACAUCGCAAGCAGUCUUGCGAUUCUUGGGAACCGAUGCUGCUCGGUGGUGGACGUACUUGGGAUACUUGUUGCCGAAUCCCACAACGUAGCUCAUAUGCCGUGGGUUCUUCCCGAGAAUGUAGUCCAUCUGGAUAGGAAACUAGUUAUAACUCGAAGGAAAACUGGGAAACUAUCGAUGCUUGCCUGAGACUUUGCAAAUUCGCGUAGCUUGUCAGCCUUGUAGAGCUGCGGACCGCAUGACCAGCCAGGAAUGUCCGCCGCCAGUAAGUAGUCACUGUAAAGCGUCGCUAGGAAUGCAGCAUUGACGGAGUAUUGCAAUGGUGCCGGGCCGCCUCUGUUGAAGAGCACGAGUCCUCCUGGAAAAUGCGAGUUAUGGAACUGAUUAUAUAGAUUCUUGUCUGUUUGCUGGGAUGUACCUGGCGUCUUUGGAAAUAUUUUAUACACUGGCAAGUACGAGCACAUAACGAUGUCUGUCUGAUUGUGAAAGCUCUUAAGGACGGUUUCAUAUGGAUAUCCAGGACCUUGGAGCAUCCUUAGUCUGGUUAGCAACACCUGUACAUUCCGGAGUUUUGUAUUUCAAGUCGACUUGCUCAAAAGGAACAAAAACAGAACCAAAACGAAAAAAACUAGAGUGUACAUACCUGAGCACCGAUAAGUUUGUUGUCCCAAUUGAAAACUCCAUAAAACUGGCUGUUUCUGUAUGCCCCGGCAUGCCGUCCUAUUCCAUAAGUUGUCACAAGUUGGAGGUAGCUGAUAUUUCCCGUUGCGUAGUACAGCCAAGCUCCACCCCACAAAUACUCGUCGUAGUAUCCACUCGAGUUGUAAAAUCCCGCUGCAUCAGGCACGCUUGCACUGUAGCGACCGCGUCGAUCCCUGGACAUCUUGAACAAGAUGUCCGCACCGUGAACCAGCUUCUGGGAGUAAGCACUGUUUCCUUUAAAAACUAUAGAUGCCGCGGCCAAGGCGGCUGCCAUUUCCGCAGCCAAGUCUGAUGCCGUGCCAGUCUGCAUCGAUGGCCGCGGGUAGUCCAUGUCUUCUGGCCUCUCCCAGCAGAAAUGAUCAUCAGGAGAAUCCCCACGUCCCUUGCCUACCUGGUCAGAAAAAGAAAAGAAAAACACUUUUCUCUUGACAGCUCUUUCAACUUAACAACCAUACCUGAGCAUAGAUCGAAUUCACGCUUGGCGCAGAGGCAUUAAACGUCUUGAGCAGAUAGUCAGUCCCCCAUUUAAUCAAGUCUUUAACGUGACCGAGCUCGCCCACCGCCUCAUACUUGCUACUGUACUCAAUCACGCUCCAACUUAGCAGCGUCAUAGCGAACGCCUGUGGAAAGUGGAACUUGAUAUUGUCGCCGGCAUCGUAGUAUCCUCCAACCAAAUCGGCCUGGUUGUCCGAUCCAUCCUUAAGACCCGAGUCACCUCGGUACGAGAUGUUGUUCCCAUGCGGGAGUUUCCCAGCUGGAAGAGAAAACAACUUCAAACUUCCUCCUCCUCCUAGAAAGCCAAAAGAAGAAAAGAGUAUACUCACAUUUUUGGGCGUUGAAAAACUUGAGAGCUUUGUGUAGAGCGAGCGUGUAGUUGUCCGGAGGGGACGGAUGGCGGUGGUGCCUGGGAGCUGUCUUGACGAUGAGAACCGUGAAUCCGGCGAUGAAUCCCACCGCGAGGAUGGCGUAGACGAUCCCGAGGAAGAGCUUCUGGCUACAAACGAUGCAUCCCAGAUCGAUCGUUUUCUUCCUUUUCUUCUCCCCGGCACCGAGAAGCCAGCUCUGCUGCGUCUCCUCCAGCUUCUGCAAGGCCGCCCUGUCCAAAUCCAUGCUCCUGUUGCUCUGAUCUUCCUCGUUCACGGAAGGAUCCAGCUCCAGGGGGCCGCCCCAUGAAUUAUGGUACAUGGCGAUCGAUCGAUCGCGGCGCUGACCAGAAAUUGGCGUGCCCGGCCGGCAAUCGACGCAAUGCGGCUAGAAUCUUGUCAAGGAAGUGUGGCGGCGGCGAUUCUUGCGACCUGUAACGCACGCUUUGCCCGAUCCAAAUAUCUCCAGCAAGACGCUGGACGAUCUUGGAAAGAAGUCAAGGAAUGCCGCUCAGCUUACCGAAAUUUCUUGCGAUCGCAGAGCGUCGACGCCAGCCCAGCCCAGCUCGGCGCCUCCGCCAUAGCUGGCUGUGACGAGCACCGGUUAGAACCUGGCUUGGGAACACGCGGAAAGAAGAAGCUUCUUCUCUCCGGCGAAAAAACAAAUAAACCCCUCGCUCAUUCUUGACGUGCUGCCCGCCAGCUCAGGGCGCCUCCACCCAACCACGAUGUGCCACGUGUUUCUACCUUGACUUUGCUGUGAGCGCAACGUGGGAUCGUGGUUAGGUUUGAGUAUUAUAUUUGAUCGAGGUUUAUUGUUGUAGAGACGUGCUUUGGUUUGGUCAUUCUUACACUCAGCUUGGAGUUUUUAGUUUUUUAUUCUCAAAGUUUGAUGGUAGGUUUUAGAUGAACUGGCUGGCUUUUCAAGCAAUCCUUGCUCGCACCUGGAGAGAUUGUGGAGGGAAUUAUUCCAUUGUGGUAGCUGUCUAUGUAGAGUGCGUUUAGUGAUGACGAGCUACCUAACAAAACAGCCCCUCGGUUUCUAACUCCAGCAGCAACAGUCGCUUUGUUUGUUACGCCAACUUACUUGGUUUCGCAAUCAAAGCAAUAAUGUUUAGUGGGCUUUAAGAACAUUCUCUGUUUUGUGCUCUUUUAACGGUCAAGAUGUAUAUGAUGUUUCUAACCGUUGGUUUUUAAUUUAAAUUAAACGUUUUUUUCAAUAAUUAUAGACAAUGGCGUGAAAAAUGGACUCAUAUAUCUACGUCUGGGGGGUUUUCUCUAUACACGAGAGAGCUACAAAACCAAGUGAGCGAAACCAAGACAAUAGCUAUUUUACGUAUCAUUGUAACGCGACGAUGAGGAGCCAUCUCCCAGCCUUCUCCGAGGAUGCAUGCUGGCUCGCCUGGCCACGUCCCACGACCUGUGAGGGGUGCUCACGCCCUCUUGCAGCGCAAAGAAGGAGUCGAAACCCGGAGAGUCGAAGGAGAAGCCCGUGUGCCGGGACCUCUCGCGGGGGAGCUGAGCCAUGGCCAGAGUCCGCCGCUCCUCCUCGGUCAGUGACUGCUCCCCGUCUAGCAGGUGCAUCUCGUACGCGUCCUCGGACGAGAAGGUCGGGGAGGAUCGCAGGUGAUACUUCUCGUCCUCUUCUAUGAUCUCGUAGUCGUAAGGAGCGAACCAGCGCCUGAGUCUGCAAAGCCAAAACAGUCGAGAGAAAUGCUAAGACAGAUGGUGGAACAAGUAGGCUUACCCGCUGUAGAGGAAAUCGCCAAGUAAAGCUACCACUGGAACUAAGACUAACGUGAACCAAAAGUAGAAAGUCCCCAUGAGAACGAAUAUCACGAAACGGAUGUUUAGCUGGAAAGGCACGCAACAAAGCAAGCGUAAGACGAGAGCUAGCAGCGAAAUCGGUUUGCGAGGACGUACCUGACUAGUCCAGUUUGUUCUAAGAGCCGAGUAUAUGAAAACAAAGACGAACCACGCCAGGAUGCUGCAUCCAACGCUUAUAUGGUGCCAGAUGGUCAAGUACGUCGAUGCCAUUAGGAGCCGCAAGUUAACCGUGAUGACGAUACAUGUGAAAGCCAUCGUGCCUAGAUCCCACAGGCCAAGUAGCAUACCAGAGCUGUUUUGACCAAUCCUUCCGGCGUGAACGGGGAAAGCGAAGAGAAUGAUGGACUGGUAAAUUCCCGAGAUGAACCAAACCGCUAAGACACGCCAUCUGAAAUACGCAUUUCUUAUUCCAGCCAUAUAAAGUUGAGGAUUUAGCUUGGACUUGGUCGCACUGACAUCCUGCCUCAAACAAACACCGUGAAAAUGAAACGGAGCGAAGUAGUGUAUCGGUUACCUGGUCGAAAAUUCCAACAACGAUGACUGGCAGUGCUGUGAACAACACAUUGUAUAAAGACUGAAACCAGUCGUCGUAGAACCGUUGGCCAGAAAAACCAGUGUAGCAAUUGAACCAGAACUGCGUCAAGGUGAACGUAAGAUUCUUGUAAAAGAAAUAGCUCACGACCUGAAAGCGGCAGCAUUAGAGGACUGAUAGAACGAGACAUUUGAACCAUACGAACCUUUGUUAUCCGAAUAUAUGACCACCGUCCAUGCACCAGGAGCAGAUCAGUAAGAAAUCGAAACUGUGCUAUAGCAAAAUCGCUUGCCAUCACUGCUUGCAUUCCUUCCUGCCCACUGAUUCCAACCCCGAUAUGAGCAGCUUGAAUCAUGCUCACGUCGUUAGCACCAUCACCAAUGCUUAAAGUUAUUUUCUUGGCUCCGUCUUUCACUAGUUUCGUUACCUGCCAAUAGAAUUACAAGAUCAAAACACACAAAUGGAAAGGAAACACUUACUUGAGCUUUCUGCAAUGGAGAAACUCGACAGCACACAACAGCCUUGCACUUAAUUCCCAGUUUCAAGAGAGUGGCGCGUAACGGAGAAUCCAGCGCAAACAUUAAGCAUUUACCGUCGAUUACUAGCGCCAUAUCAAGCCCUGUCCUUGCACGUUCAUUGUCUUCCGCCUCUGUUAAAGAGGAAAACAAUUGGUCUCUCACCCAAGACUCGAUUGUGCGAGCAGUGGCAGCAGGAUCUCCCUGGAAAGAAGGUCAAUACCAUACUUUAACGAACUGUAGAGCAGCUCUCACUCACCCUCUCUUCGACCUCUCGGAUUGCCUUUGUUUCAGAACCAAUAACAAACUGCUUCAUUUCGUUGUUGACGAGGUUGCAAGCUGAUCAAAAAGCAAAUCUUGCGAGCUGUUUAACAACGAAAAACAAUACCAUACCGUAGGCAAUAUUGAUAGCUGUCUCCAUUUUGUCCCCGGUUAACACCCAGAUUUUAAUUCCAGCCCUCGCAAGAGUUUCUAUGCACGUUGGGACUCCUUCCUGCAACUUAUCUUCAAUGGCUGUUGCUCCAAUCAACAUUAGCUCUUUCUCAAUAUGUUCCGCAACCUAUAUUCGAAAACAGCAUCAGAAGACCGUCAUUUUGGGGACUGCAAUGAAAACCUCGUCGAGCUUCUUUUCUCGAUCUCGUAAAGCUGAUUUUGCUUGCACGAAUUUCUCGUUCCACGCAUCAUAGAGCUGCGGAUCCAGAUCACGAUACGCCAAGCACAAGGUUCGAAGUCCAUCUGCUCCAAACUUCUCGAGGUGUUCUCUCGUCACUUCUUUGAUCUCAGUAUUCUUGUCGGACAACCUCUCAUAAAUAACAUUAUCGGCUCCCUAGCAGAUGCAAAAACGUUAGAAAAAAAGAAGAAGCAUCUUCAUGGUCUACAAACCUUGCAGUACAAGACGAGCCUCCCGUUUGGAUAGCGGCAAAUGACAGACUGACGUUUCCUUGUGCUAUAGCACUAACAAAGACUGUUAAGAAACUGGCGCCUAGAAUUAACUUUCUUCACCUGUUGAACUCCAAAACAUUUAAAAUUUCGUAUUCAGCGUCUUGGACACGACCAGCCUUCUCGAGGUAUGAUUCUCGAACUUUGAUCGUUGUGGGUGACCUCCUGCAAGCACCAACCAGAUAUAUUUAUACAAAAUUAAAUUGCUGUUUCAACUUACCGGUAAAAGAAAAAGCCAAAAUUUUUAGCAGCUUGCACAAGAGCAGCCUCGUCCGGAGAGGCGGCUUGAUAAACUAUUUUGUCCGGCGUCUCAUCCCCUUCAGGCAACACCGUAUGGCAAAUUGCAAGACACCUAAAAAACUCCUGCACCACAAGUGAUAUAAGCUAGAACUUGGUACCAAACUAAGCCCACCAUGCACAUUUCAGGUUGAGUUUCGUUUUUCCAUGCUCCCUUCAUCAGCCUUCUAUCGUCAAAGUUGAACCCCUUCUCUCGGAUGGCAUAUUCGGAAGGUUUUACCUAUUGCCAUCGUUAAGCCUUCCAGAUCAUGAAAAAACUAUCAGAUAAAAUACCUCUUCAAUAGUAGUCCCAGUGCGUCGAGCAGCUGCUCUUUGAAUUUCCGUUAUUCCUGUUCCGUACAUUACUCCGGCGAUCGAGCAUUUGAAAAAUUCCAUCAAGUUUCUUGUUAGUGUACCAGUCUUAUCUGAGAAGAUGUACUCGAUCUGCAAAUAGUGAGCAGAAAUGUUCUUGUGUGAAUUUGACUUAAGACAAAAUAGUUUACCUGGCCAAGCUCCUCGUUAAGGUUUGAUGUACGAGCCAUCGCGUAUGUUUUACUGGGAGCAUGGUACAUAUUACGAUCAUUAUUGAUAAACUGUGUUGACUGGAUAAACUUGAUCAUCUGCCAGAAGAAUCGAUUCAGGCAGAGAUUGAAUAGAACGAAGGUAAUCACCUCAAUGGACACAUAUAAAGAAAUUGGAAUAAUGGGCGAAUAGAGGGUGACAAAAGUGAACAGAUUAAGAAUCGCAACCUGUAGAGUCGGGUUUUAAAACCAGCAAAAAUAGCCAAAAGAUAAUACCACAAAUUUGUUGCUGGGGUUGUAUUGCUGUUCCACGUCAUUACUGAGAUUGAGAUACCAGUACUUGCGAUCGAUAAAAGCUGCACUGUCAUCCAUCCAGAAAGUGUUAGCAACAAUAUAGCAUUUCUCUCAACUUACCUUCCAAUGGCGCCAAUCACACAUAGGACAAACAAUAUACAGAAUAAAAGGAGAAUCAGCUUGUCAAGCCUUCGUUCUAGAGUACUGCGUUUAGAAGGUACGGCCAUUGCAUUCAUCAUCACCUGGAUUAAAGUUUGAAAAUUGUGAAGUAAAAUGCACUUGUGUACCUUUGUCUCAUGACCAGUAAAAAGAACGACGCCAACAACCCACUCCGUGUUCCGCAGGCUACAACCCUGCGUAUCACAUCGAUAUCAGCGGACGCAAACUCCAACUACACCAGUGUUACCCUCAGCAAAAUCUGGUUCGGUGACAACGGCAGUGUUUGCUUUCCCAUGACUAGAUUCCCAGUGAACGUGUACAAAGAGUUAUUAGGCUGCUCGCAUUCUAUUACGCCUGCGCAUCGCAAACGCUCAGAAUAGCUUUUCUAGAGUUCGAGAUUACCUCUAAAGUCUGGCGCCUUAUCGGGAUACAUGUAAUCCCAGGUUUUUUCUAGUGCUUUGCGAAUCUUCAAAUUAGUUUCUCCAUCAAGGUUAGAUGUCUGGACCAGAUGAAAGAAACUUCAGUGAAUGAACGAACUCUAGACGUCAAGAUGUAAACAGUACCUCGAUGUAACAGAUCCCAUCAGCAUUGGUACUUGCUAGGAAAAGCAAGUCUGCUGGAAAGUACUGGUCUUGGUUAACCUGUUAAGAACGCUCCGUGAAAUGCCUAAAACACGAGAAUUACGUACCCUGAUAACAUCUCCUACAUUCAAAUCUUUCCACGCAACAUUCCUCCACUCGUUUCCUCUACAGACUUCGACGGGGCUCGCGUUGACUAUUUUAUCGCUUUGAUAGCGUCUCUAUACGACUGUAGAAUUAAAACGCGUGUGUCUAGAAGCUUUCAUAAUGCCCACCUGAUCCUCGAAAGCCUCCUUGAUCAAAGAUACUGCAAGCACUAGCGACAGUGGUACGAUGUUCGUGAUGGGCUGAACAGGGCUGCAAAUUUCACCACAACGUUGGAAAAAUGAUACCAGCAAACAAAGAACUAAGGUCAGACCUUACAGGUGUUGCUGAAAGGAUGGCGAUCAUAAGAAAAUAGAGGUUUGCAACACGUCGGAACUGCAUAGGAGAAUGAAGAAGAAAAGUUUAAGAAAAAGGAUGAGUAGAGCGCUAUGAACCUGUUCAAACAAGCCCUUGGGCAGAAAAGUGACCAAAUUAUACUUCGUCGUUGAUAUCACGUUACCCUGGAUCGUAAAACCCCCAAGCAAGGAAUCAGACAAGAGAACCAAAUUCCAGUAACUCCACCUUGAACUUGAAGGGCGCAUUUUGCUCCGGAUCAUUGCAGUACACUGUUCGAUGCGCGAUAUGCGCAUCCCCCAUCGCAUUAUGCUGCUGGAAUCGCGUCCCACCCCUAAAUCCGGGAGCCAUCGCUUCGAAAUCUCACACGCAGCGGGCCAAUUCUUGCAGCUACCAAUCUCCAGAUCUCGCAAAUGCCGCGCGGAGCUACUAACCUCGGGCGCGGAUCCGGGCGCCUCAGUGGAGCUCCCCCAUCCCAGAGCUGGACGAAAUGAAAAACCCUAAAGUAAGACGCUUGGUGCUGGGACCAAAGAAAGGAGGGAAAAGAAGAAGGAAAAAAAUACACCCAAGGUACUUUCCAAAGAUCCGCCGAAUAUCCUGCCUUUCACUUAUUUUGGGUCGACGUUUUGGCCACCCCAUCGUACAGCCAUUCGCGUACGAAAGGUCACGCCCUUUGGGCCCUGUCAUCAAGCCCAGCUCGCGAGCAAAAGCUUUCUUCUUCCUCUCUUUGGAAGCGAUAGAGAGAGAGGGAGAAAGAACCAAAAGAAAUGGCGACCGCGUCAGUGGAUGUCAAGGAGCUCCCAGCAUCAUACGUGUUUGUGGCCGAUGUCCCGGGGCUCAAGAACACGGACAUCAAGGUAAAAUCACCUAAACAAACGCGAUCGAAGGAAUUUCACACCAAAUGCAGCCCCGGGGCGAAUCCUCUCUCGAUCAACUCCCUCUGUGUGUGUGAUCCAAUCCAAUCCAGGUCCAAAUCGAGAACGAUAGCAUCCUCAAGAUCAGCGGCGAACGCAAGCGCGAGGACAAUCCAAGCUAUGACAUCAAAUACGUGAGGGUGGAGCGCGCCGUGGGCAAAUUCAUGAGGAAGUUUAAUCUUCCCGCCAAUGCCAACCUAGAGGCGGUGGCGGCGUCUUGCCAGGAUGGAAUCCUCACCGUCACUGUGCCCAAGAUCCCACCUCCAGAGCCCCACCAGCCCAAGACCUUCGAUAUCGCGGUCGCUAGCACCGCUGCUGAUAGUAAAAAGUAAAACCAGAGAUUAUACCUUUACCACUUAUCCAUGCGUUUUACCCAUACGUAUGAGUUGAGGGGGAUCAUUCCCGGAAUGUAUUCCCUCCAUCCAGAAGAAUAUAUAGUGCUCUAGGGUCACCAUUUAUGCAUCUCUAUUCGUGCCGUGCGCAAGUGCUCGUCCUCUCGCGCUGUUCGUCGCCAUCGCCGCCGGCGGACCAGCAGCGCCAUCGCGGGCGCCAGCAUUGGAUCUCGUCGAUUCACCUCGAAAUCCGGCGUCACAGCAGGCUCUUCCGGCGAUCGUCGUCGUCGUCUAGGGUAAGGCUCCGGGCGAGGAGCGCGUCGGCAAUGCCCGCCUUCCACAGCGCUGGGUCGAAAUUCCAGGAUCUGGCGUCCUACGAGACGAUUGAUGCGUCCACGUUCCUGGCCGGAUUGAUGCCCAAGAAGGAGAUUGGCGCCGAUCGGUUCCUGGAAGAGCAUCCCGAGUAUGAUGGGAGAGGAGUCGUGAUUGCGAUAUUUGGUUCGUUUGAUUGGUAGUUUUUGCAUUUCUUAUGCUCUCUGUUUGCAGAUUCUGGUGUAGAUCCUGCCGCAGCUGGGCUACAAAUCACAUCGGAUGGCAAGCCAAAAAUCAUAGACAUCGUUGAUUGGUGAGUCUAGUUUCAGUACUUCCUAGUGUGUGUUUACGUGCACCAACCAAAUUCUUGUAGCACUGGAAGUGGAGACGUUGAUACAUCCAAAGUUGUACGUCAAGAUGACAAGGGAUGCAUUAUUGGAGCCUCUGGUAUGAAAAUUGAUCACGACUAUGCUCGGUUCGAUAUUUGUCUUUCCAACCAGGUGCCACAUUGCGGCUCAAUGGAUCCUGGGUAAAUCCAUCAGGAGAUUGGCGAGUCGGCUGCAAAUUUGUGUAUGAGCUCUUUCCAGAGAGACUGUCUACUCGUCUGAAGGUAAUAGUCCGUGUCUCCGGCAUGAGUUCGAAAUAUGUUUUCAGAGGGAGCGAAGGAAACACUGGGACAAAAAUCACAGGGAGGCCAUUACCGAUGCUAUCCGGCAACUCCAAGCAUUUGACCUUGUAAGAGCUCAUCUCUUUUUUUGUUUUUCAUCUUUUUUCCUUGUGCUUCCUUUCCCGUUUCCUUUUUUUCGGCUUUACUCCUAAACACUGAUGCAUUCUACAGAAAUAUCCAAAGCCUUCGGAUUCCAACUUGAAGAAGCAAAGAGAGGACCUUCAGAAUAAAGUGGAUAUCCUUCAGAAGCUAACGGAUGUGAGCAAAAGUUUUUCUUUUUUGUGAAUCGUUCCUUCUGAUUCGCUGCUUUGUUCUAGAGCUACGAGGACAAAGGUCCUAUUAUAGACGCCGUGGUAUGGCACGAUGGAGAGGUUUGGCGCGUUGCACUUGAUACAUCAGAGAUGGAAGAUGAUGAUGGGAUUGGAAAGCUUGAGGAUUUUACUCCAAUGACCAACUACAAGUAACACAGGCGUAUAAUUGUUUGUGACUGACCACUUUUUUUGUAGGAUUGAGAAGAAAUACGGCAUUUUUUCUCGAACGGAUGCGUGCAGCUUCGUGACUAAUGUCUACGACAAUGGAGAUAUCCUUAGCAUCGUGACUGAUUGCUCCCCUCAUGGUACUCAUGUGGCUGGGAUCACGGCAGCUCACGAUCCGAAGGUUGUUUAUCUUACUUCUAUGAUACGUACUAAAGCUGUGACGUACUUAUAGGAGCCAUUGUUGAAUGGGAUUGCUCCUGGAGCGCAGCUAGUUUCCUGUAAAAUCGGAGAUACGAGACUUGGCUCCAUGGAAACAGGCACCGGCCUCACUCGUGCACUCAUUGCUGUAAUUGAGGUACUUAUGAAAUGGUACUGUUCAACGGAGCUCAUAUGUAACAGCUUUCUCAUGCCAAUGCAAGCCUUGUAUCCUUUUCUCCUGAUAGACUGUAUUACUGCACCCGUGUUGCUUGUGCGAAACUCCUGGCGUCGUUCAGUUUUUCGUUCUAUAUAGUGACUUACUUUCGCCUGACAGAACAAAUGUGACUUGAUCAAUAUGAGCUACGGGGAGCCAACGAGAUUUCCUGAUUAUGGUCGCUUCACCAGACUGGCGAAUGAGGUAUCAUGCAAACACUUGUAGCUUGUUCUGUUGUUUCUGAACAAGUUUUAUGUUUUAUAGGUGGUACAUAAGCACGGUGUGAUUUUUGUGAGUAGUGCUGGGAACAAUGGACCUUCACUAACUACAGUGGGAGCACCUGGUGGUACUUCGUCUUGCAUUUUGGGGAUUGGUGCAUAUGUAUCGCCGGUGAUGGCUGCCGCUGCUCAUUCGAUCUUAGAACCACCAUCUGAGGGGAUGCAAUACACAUGGUAAAGUUUGCUCGCUAUUCCCUUGUUUCCAUACUCAUGAACGUGAUUCUGGACAGGUCCAGCCGUGGUCCUACUUCGGACGGUGAUCUGGGCGUUUGUUUAAGUGCACCGGGUGGUGCUGUUGCACCUGUUCCCAAAUGGACACUGCAGCAUCGCAUGUUGAUGAAUGGAACUUCCAUGGCGUCGCCGUGUGCUUGUGGAGGCAUAGCACUCGUGCUCAGCUCCUUGAAAGUAAGGUUUUUCUAGAUGCCUUGUAUAUUGACUAAAUGUCAGUUCAGGAAGAAGGCAGGCCUAUUAGUCCAUACGUUGUGAGGAAGGCAUUGGAGAAUACAGCGGCGCGAAUACGCAAUUCUCCUGAAGAAUGUUUGACGACUGGAAGAGGACUUCUUCAAGUGGACAAGUAAGAUCUGUGAGCGCACUAAUCUAAUAAUCUCUUCAUCUCUUUUCUGCGUUCAGGGCCUAUGAAUAUUUGCAAAAGUGCAAGGAGCUACCUUCCCUUUCGUAUCCAGUGCAAGUAACUCGGGCGGCUAAUCCAGGUGCUACAAUGCGUGGCAUUUAUCUGAGAGAUGCGUGUGAAUCUCAGCGUGCAAGUGAGGUGAUGUUUAGUCUUGUUUUCAGCUCUUGUUGUUUUCAACUUCCGUUAUUGACAAGCGUAUAAAAUUGCAGUGGACGGUGCAAGUGAAGACCAAGUUUCAGGAGGGAGUAGACAAACUAGAUGUGCUUGCACCAUUCGAAGAACGUCUUCGACUCGAGAGCACUGACGUAUCAAUCGUUAAAUGCCCCGAGUAUUUGUUGCUCACGCACAAUGGGCGAACCUUCAAGUACGUUACGUUCGUUCUACUAGCCACGUUGUUAAUAAUUGAUUUACAGUGUGAUAGUCGACCCAACAAAUCUUAAGCCGGGUGUGCAUUAUGCUGAAGUUGUUGGCAUAGAUUGUAUGGCACCGUGGCGAGGUCCAUUGUUUCGUGUCCCGGUCACAAUUGUCAAACCCGUUCAAGUAACCGAAGUGCCACCAGCGGUAUCUUUCUUAAAAUUGAUAUUCUCACCUGGUAAAUCCUCGCUCGAAACCUCAUUUUUAUGAAUUGCACUCAUGUUUUUUCAUCAAGGUCAUGUUGAGAGGAGAUUCAUAGCCGUUCCCGAAGGUGCUACGUGGGCCGAGAUGACUGUCCGAACUUCCAAUUUUGAUACACCUAGGAAAUUUUUCCUUAACGCUGUUCAGGUACUAGUGUUUUUAUACGUCUUCGUGGUAACUUAAAAAGAAUUUCCAGCUUCAAAGGAGUGCAAGACCAUCCGUUUGGGAAAGCAUUCUUACUCUAACUGCACCUUGCUCGAAAAGUUUUGCCUUUUCUGUUUGCGAGGGCCUAACGAUGGAGUUGACUAUAUCGCAAUUUUGGUCUAGCGGCAGUGGUAGUCAUGCUGCCGCUCAUGUAGAUGUGGAGGUAUUUUUGUACGUUAUGUUAUAAUGUUCCCAUCUUAUAUUUGUGUGCAGAUUGAAUUUCGUGGCUUAACUCGCUGUAGCGGUGAUCUGUUCUUAAACGGAGCUGAUGUAGCGACACGAGUCAACGUUAUGUCUCCUCUUUCUAGUGAAAGACUGACUCCUUCAAUAACCUUAACAAGGGUAAGGAUCUUAUUUUAGUCAACGUUAAUUCUGAAUGAUGUUACAGGUGCGAACUCCUUACCGGCCCUCCGAAUGGAAGUUAGAAGCCUUAUCUGCAGAGCGAGACAAUUUACCAGAUGGACGACAAAUACAUGGUCUAACACUGAUGUGAGUUCUCUGUCAUUGUGUCUGUUAAUAACUUACGCUUGUCCAGAUAUAAGUUCAACCUUUCAGAAGGGGGUAAAUAUACUCCAAGAUUUCCCGCCUUGAAUGGUCGAGUUUAUGACAAUGAAUUUGAAUCGCAGUUUUAUAUGAUUUAUGAUGCUAACAAGGUAUGGCACAGCUUUAUUCUUUUACCCAUUUAUGCUGUGAAUUUUGCAGAGGGUACUUUCAAUGGGGGAUGUUUAUCCCAAAGGCGUGAAGCUUUCCAAGGGAGAAUACACCAUUCGUUUGCUCAUUAGGUACUAAAUAUUUCCUUUUAAAAUCAGCUUCAACGAUAUUUUUGUAGGCAUGACAAUUCAAGUUUCCUAGAGAAGUUAAAGAAGGCAGUAUUAUUCAUUGAUCGUGGACUUGAAGAAAAGGUGUGCUUAUUUUUCACUGUAAAUGAGCUCACAGGCGGUGUUCUGUGCAGAAUUACAUAAAAUUGAGCUCCUAUUCAAAUAUCGAUGGUGCUAUCACUGGUACGAACGGCCUCAAACCUACAGUGCUGGCUCCCGGGUAUGUCUAAGAAAAGCGUUGCUUGACUUAUCCUUUUUGUUAUUUGUGUUAGAGAAAAACGUGCUUUUUAUGUUGCAUCUCCUGGAGACGAUAAAGCUCCAAAGGUAAUGGAGUUUUCCAGCAAACAAAGUUUUCUUACCAGCAGUUUUCCAGGACGCGCCUAUUGGAACAUUGUUAAUGGGAAAAAUGACGUUGGGAAAGACUUCAUUCGCGAACAACAAAGGUGAAGAAAAUGGACAGGCGUGCCCUGCGGUGUCACGGGUUGUGGUCCCGAUUGCUCCCGCUGCCAAGGUAAUUAUGUUUCUUUUUUCUAUUGCCGUUGUAAUUUGUGAGUUCUUUUAGAAUGAUGAAAAGGCCAAAGACAAGGAGCCAGAGCAACAAAAGUCUCCUUUCAAGAAAAUUGAGGAGGAAGUAAGUUGCAAUGUCAAAGCUGUCGGUGUUUUUCAUUGUCGUCUCGCUGCAGGUUAGAGACGUUAAGAUCAAAUUGCUAUCGCUUCUCCCAAGAACCACAAAAGAAGAGCGCGCUGAAUGGUCUAGUCAAGCAAAUUCUUUAAAGGUAAUUCCUUUCUCAACUGAAAUUGGUUUUGCUUAUUUCGCCCUUCUGAUAUGCUGCCAGGCGGAGUUUACAAACUACAUACCGCUCCUGUCCGAAAUUUUGCAGAAGCUUGCAGCAUCCAAGGACAGUGAGCAAGAUUACGACGAGGUAUCCGAAAACACGAUGAGCAUUGUGGCUGACGAGGCCUUUUUGACGUUUCAGGUGAUCGCAGCCGCGGACGAGCUCAUCAGUUGCAUUGACAAAGACGCUCUCGCAAAGUUUAUUGCCAUGAAGAACGAACCAGAAGACGCUGAUGCUGUGGUACGUUUGUAGUGUUGCACAAACUUGGCCGAGACUAAGCACUCCAUUUGCAGCAAGCCAAAAAGGACAUGGAAAUGCAGCGCGACGCAUUCCUGGACGCGCUGUGUAAAAAGCUGACUGCGAUUGCGGAAAAAGAAGAACAGCAAAACAAGGCCGGCGUCUUCGAAUCGGCCAAGCAAGAGAGCAUUGAAACUCCACAAGACGAAAGCGGAGAAGGCUCGAGCGAGGUCGUGAAAGAAGAGGACAAGAAACAAGAAGACAGUAGCGAGUACGAGGCCACAUUCGCUGAGCUGCGAAAGUGGGUCGAUAUAACAUCGUCCAAGUACGCGCUCUUCAACGUCAAGCGAGAGAGAAAGCUCAAACGCUACGGGAACGCAAUGAAGGUAUGUCACAGCUUUGUUUUUUUUUUUUUUUUUCUCAAGACUUUUGGAUCGAUUUCUCUCCAGGCACUCAACGAGCUCAUCCAAGACGAUUCCAAGCCGCCGCAGAAGCCACUGUUUGAGCUGCGAAUCCAGAUCCUAGAAGAGAUGGGAUUGAAGCACUGGGUGGAGUACGAGAAGCACUGGCUCGCCAUUCGCUUCCCAAAUAGCCUGCCACUUUUCUAAACAUUCCUUUCGUUUGAAGCCACAUUCUAGGGUUUUUGGGCUCCAAUGCAAGGAACUGGGGUCCCCGUGGCUGGCGCCAGUCCUUGCAACCAGAACGCGUGCGACAUCCAGGAUUGCCUCAAGAAGAACGAUUAUGUGAUCCAAAGGUAACAAAUCCCAAACGCAAGCUCCAAUUCCUCUGGAGAUUUGAUCUCUGGCAGAUGCCGUGGCGUGAUCAUGGACCUCCAGCAGUGCUGCGAGGACUGCGAUUAUAAAUCCAAGCACUGUGGAGCGCUGUCGGGGCUGAUCGCGAGCUUUGACAAGAAGAAGAGGGCCCAAAAAUCCGCCGAAGUUGCCAAGUAGAAAUCGUCCUCCUCUGUGUAGGUUACUUCUAUUUUCCUGCAAGCAAGGUAGCGAUCUCGAUUUAUCUUUCUAGGGCACCUCGUUUUACUCGGCUUGGAUCCUCUUUCUCCCAGAAAUGCCCAAGAGCAAAGACCCGUGUAAUCAGCACGCUUGCGACAUCCAAGCGUGCCUCCAGAGAAACCACUACGUCAUGGAAAGGUACGAGGAUCGGUCACUGAUUUGCCUCGUGUUUCCAAUUUUGCCUUUCUAGCUGCCGACAAGUGAUACUCAAUCUUCAGAAGUGCUGCGACGAGUGUGAGAAUCGAUCCAAGCACUGCGCUGCGCUCUCGGGCCUCAUCGCGCAGGUCACUCGAACCGAACCAAAGUGAAACCAUGAAGAUAAUCAAAACGUAGUGAGAUUAUAUGUUUAACCUGCGGUUAGGUGAAAAAAUAAAACUUUUGAGUUGAGGGUGCCAGGAUUGGAACCCGGAAAUUCGCUUUCACUGUUAUAUAGUGAAUCGCUUGAAUUAGCCACUACACCCCUCUUAACAUCUGUGAAAAAUUCGUGCUUGGCCGGCGACGUGUGAUUCUCUUGACGUGGAGGCCACAUCGGCUGACACGUCACACUUUUGUGUGUGUUUGCUCAACCUAAAAGUUUUCAAGGAACAUUUUUAUUCGUGAAGAGAUUCCUUUAGACAAAGAGCUAAAAAACGAUGUCUUUUUAUACGGGGAAGAUGCCUGGCGUUGCAUGCCCUGACCAAUGCAUUUAGCUGGGAGGAGGAAGAGCAAUGAGCAGAAAAAAGAAAGAGAAGAGAAACAAUGAAAGAAGAAAAAAGACGAAGAGACUCCUACCUAGAGGAGUUUUCUUGCUGCUCGACGCGGGAGUUCGUCUUCGUCGUCUAAGCCUGCGCCUUCUUCAUUUGGAACCUGACGACAUAGAUCGGAAUCGCGAUCCCCAGCCCGACGAUCCCGCCCCACACCAGCAGCCCAAAUUUGAGGUUCCGGUUCUUCAUGUUCCAGAUCUCAUACAUAUGCUCCCGGUGCUCGUAAUCGUAGUAGCACUGCCUCGGCGCGCCCGUCUGGAAGCUCCUCGUCGCUGGAAGAACAAGAAAGAGGAGAAAAAGAAAGCCCUAAUCGAUCGCGAGAGAAUGCGAGUCACUUACAAGCUAGCUGCGAGGACUGCGCGAUCGUCCUGGUCGCCGCUCUCGCCACCGCCGCUACGCCCGCCAUCGCGCUCGCUCCAAUCAAUCCUAGGGUUCUUGCAAAAGAAUCUUCACGGGUCAAAAACGAGUAUAUUCUAUUUUCAUCUUAUCCAGGCCGUCCGUAC